AUGCCUUCUGUUUCCGGUUUAACCCAGACUAUCUCAAACACUGUUGGACAGAAUGCUAACAUGCAGAGUAUCUCUGGUGUUUCACAUAACCCAGUGGGGAAUUCAAUGGGACAAGGGAUUCCCUCCAAUAUGUUUGUCAAUUCUCAGAGACAAAUGCCAGGCAGGCAACAGGUUGUUCCUGUUGGAGGGAGGAACCACUGGUGGUGGCUUUGAAACACUCAGAGGGGAUAAAACACACUGGUUUUAUUACAAAAUCCGAAGCUUACAAUUAAUUAAAACAAAAGCUUAAACACACCCUCUUUCUCUCUUUCUCUUUCAAGUGUUUCUCUCUAUUCUCUCCACUCAUAUAACAUAAGCUGGGCAUUCUAUUUAUACACGAAAUCAAAACAAGAAAAUUCAACCUUCAAGUGUGAAGGCGGCUGGCGGCUGGGGCAGCUGUGGGGGCGGCUGGCGGCUGGCGGCUGCGGCUGCGGCUGGUGGCUGGCGGCUGGUCGGUUGGUGGCUGGUCGGUGGCAGCUGGUGGUUGCCUUCCUUGACCAUCUAGAGGUUGAGUUUAAUUCAACAAAUCUCCCCUUUAAACUCAAUCGAGAGAUAUCAUGCCAAGCAUGAACACUUCUCUCUUCAAUGCCUUCUCUCUGCUUGUAGCCUUUAUCCACUAAUUUGGCUUUCGUCUUGUAGACCCUUUUGACACCUAUUGCUUUCUUCUUUUCUGGUGGGUUCUUAUCUGCAUGGAAACAAAACAGAGUUGUAUCUUCCAUGACCUGAGUGGUAUCGUACAACUCUUCAAGAUUCCGCAUCUUUCUUGGUCCUUCUGAUGAAGAUGCUGAUGGUGGUGUUGAUGAUGAUGCUCCUGGUGUGUUCCUCCUGUUGAAUACAGGGAAUCUGUGUACCGGACUUUGUGGUUCAGCUGCUGGUAUAAACACCGGACUUUGUGGUUCAGCUGCUGGCACAAUCGGUUCUUCGACAAGUACUGUUGGUACUUCUUCACCUUCAAGGAUCAAAUCAAGAUUGAUCCAUUUGAUUGCUUCUUGAUCACCAUUCCAUGCCCAAGAUUUAUCUUCUUCAAAGAUAACAUCUCUACUCGUAAUCACCUUCUUCGUGAUAGGAUUAUACAGCCUGUAUCCCAUCCUUCUUUCACCAUAUCCGACAAAGAUGCAUUUCUCGCUCUUAUCAUCGAGCUUUCUCCUUCUUGCAUCUGGGAUCUUUGCAUAUGCCACACAACCAAAGACUCGUAGAUGAGUAACACUUGGUUUGUGACCACUCCAUGCUUCUUCUGGAGUAACUCCUUGCAAACUUCUGGUUGGGCAGCGAUUCAGUAGAUACACUGCACAUGAUACAGCUUCAGCCCAGUAUUGCUUGGGCAGCUUCUUUGCUUUGAGCAAACUUCUAGCCAUGUCAAGAAUCGUGCGAUUCUUCCUUUCUGCUACACCGUUCAGCUGUGGUGUAUAAGCUGGCGUCGUCUGAUGUCUGAUGCCUUGUUGUGUACAAUAGGCUUCAAAGUCGUUGCUGUAUAUUCUCCACCUUGAUCAGAUCUACUGUUCUGAUCGUGUAACCAGUUUGCUUCUCCACAAUUGCUUUAAAAUCUUUAAAACAAUUGAAUACUUCUGACUUCCUCUUCAGAAAGUAUAUCCACGUCUUUCUACUAAAAUCAUCAGUAAAAGUGAGGAAGUACCUAUUUUGUCCAGUCGACAUAGGCGUAAUUGGGCCACACACAUCUGUGUGUACUAACUCCAGUGGCCUCUUUGCUCUCCAGUUGACUUCUUUGGCAAAACUGGAUCUGUGUUGUUUGCUGAGGACACAACUCUCACAGACUUCUUCUGGAUGAUCAAUGUGAGGCAAACCUUUGACCAUCUUCUUGCUUGCUAGCAUCUUCAUACUCGUGAAAUUCAGAUGUCCAAGCCUCAGGUGCCAAAGCCAUUCUUCACUGUUGGUGAUGGCACUCAAACACCUUGUUGCAUCAUACUGGAUGUUCAAAGGAAACAUCCUAUUCUUGGACAUUUUCACGUAGGCCAUUAAUCUCCCAUUGUUGUCUCUAAUUGUCAGAUGACAAUUCUUCGAGUAAAAACUAUAUCCUCUCUCCAAAAGUUGGCCUAAGCUGAUCAGGUUCUGCUUUAUGGCUGGGACAUAAUACACAUCGGCGAUGUAGCUGGAAUCGCCAUUCUUCAACUUGACUGGGAUGUUGCCUUUACCUUUGAAUGGAACCUUUGUGGUAUCUCCAAAAGUAACUAGACCUUGCUUGGUCUCAUCUAGAUCACCAAAUAACUCUCGGUAGCCGCACAUGUGAUUGCUGGCUCCAGUAUCUAGAUACCAUAUCUCCUCUUGUUUCUCGCCAUGUCCUUGUUGGACAAGAAAUGCAGAUGCUUCUCCAUCAUGCUUCUCUACAUAGUUGGCUUGCUCACGUAUCUCCAACGGAGCUUUCCAUCGGCAUUCAGUGCUAUAGUGCCCAAAUUGAUUGCAGCUAUAACAUUUGAUAUUUCUCUUGUCACGGUUAUUGUAACCGCCUCCUCUUCCUCUAGGAGUGAAUGCUUGUUGGCCUCGGCCUCCUCUGGUGGUGUUUCUGCCACCUCUUCCUCUAAAGCUUGUAUUCCAAGAACCUCUUCCUUGGAAUCUCUGGAAUCCUCCUCUGGAUUGUUGACUUCCUCCUUGAGUGGUGUAGCCACUUGAUGAAGUCUCCCCUUGCUCAUAUCUGUCCUUGAAAGACAGCUUUGCUUGUAAGGCAUGCUCAAUGGCCUUAUCUUCAUUUCGCAUUACAAUCUUCUGCUCAUGAGCUUGCAAAGAACUCAUAAGCUCAUCCACUGUCAACUUGUCCACUUCCUUGGACUCUUCAAUUGCGACAACAACAUGAUCAAAUUUUGGAUCUAUGGAUCUCAAAAUUUUCUCAAUAAUUCGAGUAUCGAUGAGGGCUUCUCCAUUUCUUCUCAUCUGGUUGACUAUCACCAUAAUCCUUGUGUGAUAAUCAGAAAUAGACUCUGAGGACUUCAUUCGUAAUAAUUCGAAUUCUCCUCUCAAAGAUUGAAGACGAAUCUUCUUGAUUCUGUCAGCACCUUUGUAUUUCUGUUGGAGAGCCUCCCAUAUAUCAUGUGACGUUUCAGCGGAAGCUAUUAUCUCGAAUGUAUCUUCAUCAAGACCUUGAUAGAUGAUGGUCUUUGCUUUGUUGUCCUUCUUUCUGUUGACUUUGAGGGCUUGCUUCUGUGCCUCUUGUAAAACAUCUUCUCUUUCUUUGGACUCUGGUUCAUCAUAACCAGUUUGUACAAUAUCAAAACACUCUUGUGACCCAAGAAAUGCCUUCAAUCUGAUGCACCAACUAUCAUAGUUGUCUUUGGUCAGCUUCGGGAUGAGUGUAUGUGUACCUUCUGUAGUCAUUUUGCUCUUUUAAUGACUAUAUCGCCUUCUGGGAGCCGAAUUUGACCAAACGGACACUGUAGAUCGAUCCGGAAUGGUCCAAAUAGUCGGGAACCGGUCUGACUUUGUUGAAAUCGGGUCAGAAAAUGGGUGAACCGGUCAAAAAACCAAUUCUAUACGGCGGGCGGUUCGCUGGGUUGAACCGGGAAUAUUCUGUGGAAUAUUCUGGGGAAUAUUCUGGGGAAUAUUCGGGGAAUAUUCUGGGGAAUAUUCUUGGGAAUAUGCUGGGGAAUAUUCGUGGAAUAUUCUGGGGAAUAUUCCUUCGGCUCGGCUCGGCUCGGGGGUACGGCUCGGCUUGUGGCUCGGCUGGACUCGGCUUAGGCGGCUCGAAUAUGGCGCGCGUGUGGCUCAGUCGUCUUCAACCUCGGGGCGCGUGGGAUGCGCGUGGGCGAUCUGGCUGAAUAUUCAGACGGCGCGUGUGGGCUACCCCGGACUCCGAUGAGGCUGAUUUUUGCGGCGUUGAGUUCGUCUUGAUGAGCUCUACACUGUAGAAUGAUCAAAACUUGUUUUGGACAACUUUGAAAAUUCGGAUAUACCCCAAAACUCUUCUGUUUUCCGACGAACGGGGCUCUGAUACCAAUUGUUGGAGGGAGGAACCACUGGUGGUGGCUUUGAAACACUCAGAGGGGAUAAAACACACUGGUUUUAUUACAAAAUCCGAAGCUUACAAUUAAUUAAAACAAAAGCUUAAACACACCCUCUUUCUCUCUUUCUCUUUCAAGUGUUUCUCUCUAUUCUCUCCACUCAUAUAACAUAAGCUGGGCAUUCUAUUUAUACACGAAAUCAAAACAAGAAAAUUCAACCUUCAAGUGUGAAGGCGGCUGGCGGCUGUGGCAGCUGUGGGGGCGGCUGGCGGCUGGCGGCUGCGGCUGGUGGCUGGCGGCUGGUCGGUUGGUGGCUGGUCGGUGGCAGCUGGUGGUUGCCUUCCUUGACCAUCUAGAGGUUGAGUUUAAUUCAACAGUUCCUCCACAGCAACAGCAGCAGUCCCAAAAUCCUCAGCGGUAUCUUUAUCAGCAGCAGAUACAACAACAGCUUUUAAAGCUCUCAUUUUGAAUUUAUCGGACAUGAAUUUUAAAAAUAUAUGUAUAACUGGACAAUGCAUUUGACACUAUGGUAACUAAUCAUCAGCCAAUUGAUUUUUAUGGGAAGAAAGAAAUUAGCAAGUGGACUAACUCUGAGGCACUUAAGGUUUGGUGUGCUGAUAAAUCAUCACCUUGCUGGAAAAUCUCAUGAUCACCUCCUCGAUGCUAAUUCUGUAAGGCAUGUGAAGUGUUUCAUCCUUAACUUGUCAAGGAACAAGGACUCUGAUGCAUGGCUAUCUAUAUUUUAUGAUUGAGAUGGUUUAGUUUAAAGAUUUUCCUGGUUAGGAGGUAAAGUGUCACUUUUGUGCUUUCUUCCAUGAUAAAUUGUUUGAGCCUUUUUUUAAAAAAAAUAUAUAAUGAUCACUUGUUGGAGGAGGGUCUCUCUGUCUGUUUGAAUGAUUACAUAACGUUGAGAUGGAGUUCCUAGUACUCCAAGUCCAAAAGGACUUGUAUUCCUAUGUAAGAAAAUACUAAUGGUCUAUCUAGGAUAGGGAAACCUAUUAAAGCUCCUUAUUCUUUAGGAACAAUAAAAUACUAAAUAGAAAUAAAACCAAGACCUACAAUAUUCCAUAAUUUUCAGCAAGUGUGAAAAUUACAGAAAUACCCUUGUGUGCAGAAAACAUUCAAAAAAUACAUGAAUUCUAAUCUUUGGUUGGCUGUAUCAAAAUUUUUGUAGCAUCCCUAGAUUCUACAGCAGAGACUGGACAUUCAAAUGGUGCUGAUUGCAAGAGGAGAUCUACCGAAAGGUAAUUUCUGUAGUUUACUGUUCAUGCAUGUCAUCGUCUUGCAAGAUUUCAAUGGAAAAGGUCUCCUGGAAUUUGGUACAAGGGAGUUUUAUUCAGCUAUUGUUGUGAUUAGUUAGGAAGCAUUGUAAGUUCCAUGAUUGCCGUAACUAAGAAACGAUAAAUUACUGAUAAGAUGAUUAAAGGUAAAUAUUCAGAUUUCUAGGUCAAGAGGGUUAUUUUCUUGGUACUGAUUUUUUCUAUUGCAAAUCUCUCCCUUUCAAUUUUUUCCCUGUAUUUCCAUACAUUUAUUGUGUGGUGAAUUAUUAUUUUAUUAUUUCCAAUAAGUCCAAUUGACAAUACUUCUUACUGUAAUAGACAGACUAGAAAACAAGAGUGAAUUGUUUCUGAAUAGUCAUCGUUAUAUUUGGUUAAGUGAACAGUUAUUUUCAGGAUUACAAUCAAAUUUGUUCUGAAACAUGUGACAAUGGAAGAAAGGAAAAUAAGUGGACCUAAUCCAUUGAAUCAUGACCAUGUCCAGUAUUGUUGAAUUUUAUAGAAAACGAGGUUGAAAUUCUGAAUCGUUUAAUGGCUGUAGUUGCAAUUCAUAACUGCAUAUUUGAAAUUUUUUAACUUAACUUUUUAUUUAAUUUAAAUUUUUAAUUAAAUCAUGUGAGAAUUAAUUUAAUUUAAAUCGAUUAAUUUUAUAAGUUCAAAUACAAUCUUAAUAAUCGAUAAAAAUAUGAUUUAACUUUAAAAAAAACUUCAAAAUUAUAAUUUUUUAAAAAAUUAUUGAAAUAAUGACAAAUUGGAUCACCCCCGACCUGGAUCAUGAACUUUAUUGAGUUUCAUAAAUUUUUAUAUUUAAUUAUAUGAUAAAAAUAGAUGCUCAUAAAAUUAAACAUCAACCUAAAAACUAGCACUUAUUUGAGACAAUUAUCCUAUAAAGCAAAUAAAAAUUAAUAAUGUAAAUCAUUUCCCAACUAAUUUAAUAUUAAAUGAUGAAAUUAAAAAGAAAUAAAUUAAAAAAAAUUAAAAGACCAAAAAAACAUCAUAUUGGUGGCUAAACUUGUCAAAUCUAUGAAUCAGGUAAGUUCAGUUAGUACACUAAACAUGUGAACUGGGUUAUGGACUCCACCGGGAUAGUGAUUUUUUUAAUUUAUUUUUUAUUUAACUACAUAAUAACAAAAAUAGAUGAUUGUAAAAUCAAACACCGACCCAAUAUCGAGAUUUUUUUAAAUUACGAUAGCCACGCAAAAAGCAAAACGAAACUAGUUAUGAAACGGAAUUCCCAAUUAAUCUAGUAUAUAAGGAUAAAAAAAACUAGUUUAAAAAAUUAAACUUGUCAGACUAGCAACAUAAGUCAAUCAGUCAAACAUGUGAAUAGGUCCAUAGACUUUAUAAAGUUUAAUAAUAACUUUUUUAAAAAACUAUUCUUUUUAACUAUAUAUAAAGUUUAAUAACAUAACUUUUUUAAAAAAAAAACUAUUUUUUUAACUAUAUAAGAAAAAAUAGACAAUGAAAAAGUCAAGUUCAAUUAAAAAAAGAUAUCACAACAAACUCGUAAACUAGGAUAACCGGGUUAUCCUGGCAAACCAUGUUAACCUUAUAGAAAGGUAAAAUCUAAAGUUAUAAAGCUAAGAAGUGUUUACCAAAGUCGUGACAUCCAUUGACUUGAGUGAGAACAAUAGAAAACAAUGGUGAGUAGUUUCCGUGAGACAAAGUAACUGAACUUGACCAACCCCUGAAUCUUGUCUGAAGGGGUAACUACACAAUCCUUUGCAUCUUUGCAUGCAAUCAAUAACUAUAUUCUCUAUUGAGUUUUCAGCAUUGAUUCCACUCUGCUAUUAUAUGCUGUCCUCUGCCAUUUUAUUUUUUUAUUUUUUUAUCAAUUCUCUCAAGUUUGCUUAUGUUGCUUUCUGACUCUGGCACCUGAAGAAAUCAAGCAUAUGAUUGAUAAUGUUUUGCUGGUUAUAUGUACUUCCUAGAUCAAAGUUAUGAAGGAAACGUAUUUGCCUGAAAUAAAUGAAAUGUAUCAGAGAAUUGCUACCAAGUUACAGCAGGUAAAUUGUCUUUGUAAUUUUUUCUGAUUUAUUUGCUCACACAUGAUUCAUAAACCCCCACAGUUGAACUUUUGUAUUAAUUUUCCCCAUCAGCAUUGCUUGUCACUGUAUCAUCUGCACUAAUUACCCCCCCCCCCACCCCCAACCACCCCACAACCAUGCAUUGACACAGAAGAAUUGGAAUAGAAACAUUUUUUUCACUUAUGUUUUACUAGUUUAGCUACAAAGGGUCAACGCAAUUUUUAAUUCUCGUGUAUGUUAACUUUGCUUUCCAGCAUGACCCUCUUCCGCAACAACCGAAGUCAGAACAGCUUGAAAAGCUGAAGGUAUUCAAGGUCAUGUUGGAGCGCUUGAUAGCAUUCUUACAGGUCUCUAAAAGCAACAUCACACCUGCUUUCAAGGAGAAAUUGGGUUUCUAUGAGAAGCAGAUUGUAGGUUUUCUAAACCCAAGCAGAUACAGGAAGCCUAUUCCUAAUCUACAGCAAGGACAACUUCCCCAACCUCAUAUUCAACCUAUGCAGCAACCCCAAUCUCAAGUUCCUCAAUUGCAGUCCCAUGAAAAUCAACUGAAUCCCCAGUUGCAAUCAAUGAAUAUGCAAGGUUCUGUACCAAAGAUGCAGCAGAACAAUAUGUCAAGCUUGCUGCAUAAUUCGCUUUCAACUUUAUCUGGGGAUUCGACGUCACAAUCAAACAUGAUGAAUCCAAUACAACCAGGCUCCAAUUUAGAUUCUGGACAAGGAAAUGCACUGAGCUCAUUGCAGCAGACACCUGUAGGAUCUGUACAACAGAAUCUCGUGAGCAUUUCCCAACCAACCCAAUGUUAACACAUUGUCAACACAAAGUGGGGCGAGUAUGCUGCAGCCAAAUAUUCCCCUUCAGUCGAAUCCAAUGAUUCAACACCAGCAUCUAAAACAGCAGCAGCAGCAGCAUGAACAACAGAUGCUACAAACACAACAGCUUAAACGAUUGCAGCAACACCAGAAUUUAAUGCAGAAUCAACAGAUGCAGCAGCAGCAGCAAUUACACCAGCAAGCUCCAUCUCCUAUGCCAGGAGAUUCUGACAAACCAGUUUCUGGUAUUUCCUCACUCUUAAAUACUGGAAAUAUUGUACACCAACCAUCUGUUGCACAAGCACUGGCUCCCUCCCUUGCAAUUGGCACUCCUGGGAUAUCUGCAUCACCUUUGCUUGCAAACUUUACCAGUCCUGAUGGUGCUCAUGGCGGUGCUUUGACAACUGUUUCUGGCAAGUCAAAUGUUACAGAGCAACCACUUGAGUACUUGAUUGAAGCGGUUAGUGAUGCUCUCCUUUUGGUUUUACUCCACCCCACCCUUAUUUUGGAGGUUUCUGAAAAAGAAAACUUCUUUGUGAAUGAGAUGGUGAUGCUGUAAUUUUUUUUCCCAGGUGAAAUCUCUGUCUCCCAAAGCACUUAGUGCAUCUGUCGGUGACAUUGGCUCCGUUUCAGUAUGAUUGACAGAAUUGCUGGUUCUGCAGCUGGUAAUGGAUCUAGAGCUGCAGCCGGUGAGGAUUUGGUAGCAAUGACAGGAUGUCAUCUUCUUUCCUUUUUGUCUUUUAUAUUUUUCACGUGUUUCUCACAAGAUGGAACUCGAGGGAAUAAAAAGUGCUGCUGGAACUUCUUGUGUAACACAUCUUCUUUCGAUGAUGACCUCUUGGAUGGCUGCAUGAAGCUUGUUCCGCUUUAAAUUUCAAGGUUAAUCUAUUGCUAUGAGCACUGGUGUUUCAAUUUGAAACUUGAGUUGCAACUGAACUUAAAUGAAUGGUGUUGGAUUUGGGGCCUUCUAUUAGUUUUAACUUGUACAGGGUUGAAGUGAUAUUAAUCUUAAUAGUGUAUGGUUUCCUAGUUUCUCAGUCUGAAGUUGAAUGUUUUGGUGAUAUCUCGACAUCCAAAAUCACAUAGACAGCUACUGCUGGCACUUGCAGUAGCCAAUGAGCACUGUAGAGUAUAUAUUGCAGCGUGAGAUAAGGUUACGUCAUUGCAUUUUCAUAAAUUAAAGGGAUUUCUCUUCUUUUCUUUGUCAAUUACAGUGCUAUUGUAAUGUUUUCACAGAGUCCCCCCGGUUUGCAACUAAUUCACUUAUAUAUCUUGGAGCAUAGCCAUAGCCAUAAAUGGAAGGUUCUUCCGGUUCAAGAAAAUUAACCACGAAGCUCGUAACUAGAAUGGCCACGUAAACUCCUAUAUCCUGUUAUCUAGAACCUUAUUUAAUCUGCUGUGAUGAAACAUAAGCUAUAGGGUCAAGCCUGAUAUUAUUAGUGAAGUUUUUUUUUGUUUUUUUGUGAUAGGAACAUUAAAGAAAAAAAGUAUCCGGCUGGUUCAUGUGCGAAAAUAUGAGGCAUGUUAAGCAAUUGGACCAGACUAUCACAUAUCAAAAUCAUAUGUUUCAAUGAUACUUGUUGCAAGAGUCUCCUUAAACAAUCCAAUGUGCUUUACUUGAUAUGUUUUUUUUUUUUAAUCUCAUUUGAGUAACACAAUUGAGGUACCCUUUUCAGUUCAUUCGUAAAUCUUUCCAAAACUGAAAUUUUGGCAGGUAACUUUUGAUGGGUCAUUGGUGAUUGUAUUAAUUUGGCUACAUAAAUAGUGCAUACUGUGAAAUGAUGUUUGCUGGAGCAAUGGGGCUGGAUGAAGGAGGGGAUUUUCGAGCUCAACGAAGCAGUGGAUGUCUGGUGCAGCAGCUGCUCCAGAUGGUCCUCACUAUUGGGGCAGCCUAUCGAGAUUGUUUUCAGGGACUUUUUUAAAGACAUUGAAAACUACAAUCUUGCUUUGAUUAGUGUCAAAUCUAAGCUAAGAAAUCAUGGUUUUGUUAAGCUUUGCUAUCAUCAGAGGCUUGAUAAUGGAAGGAUUAUUGUACUCUCUUACAUACACAUAAUGUUGUGCUGAUGAGCCAAAGAAGUUCUCCAUAGACUCGCCAACUAAGAGGAAGUUAUCGACAUCCUCCUCAUGUUAUAACAUGAUUAAGUAAAGGUAAGAUAAAAACAGUUAAAAGAUGAAUAUGAAGUUUAAAAUGAAGGGGAGAAAGCAAACCCUAAACUCAUAAGGAUCCAUUAAUCAAAUUUAGCAUGGGUUUUGAUGAUAGGGAAACAUCUGAUUAGAUGUGGCACUUAUUUGAUAAAAUAUUUGUAAGAAGAGUGAAAUAACAUUGCAAUGAUAACUGAGACGCAUAUAAUUACUUUUCAGAAUCUAAAAAAAAAAGAUUAACAAACAUCUUAUGCCAUUCAUGACCAUAUUAUAAAUUUUGAGGACUUAAAAGGUCUAUAAGUGCCAACAUUUGUCUAACAACAGCAGCAACAACGACCUAGACAAAAACUCCCUGAAACUUAAUCAUGUUAAUUUUCAAUAACGAAGAGGUUUUACAUGGUUAAGCAUGAACUCAACCAUAUUAAAAAAUCUGGACAGCCCCACUGCAAGAUGUUCAAUUCGUGCUUCGUACGUAAAAGAAAUACAAAGAUUCAGAUCCAUCCUAAAAACACACAUAACUUAUCAACCUCAACCUACAGGCAAACAAAGGUUGAAACUGAGGUAAGACAUCUAAAGCAAAAGGACAUUUCAGCCUCUGUUUUUCCUGACAUUUUUUUUCAUCAAGUGACCUCUUCAAAGACCUGCUGUAACAUAUAUGUAUGACCAACACAAACAAACAUGCAAAAAGAAAUUUUUUCAGGGGAACCCAAGUCGAAAAAACUUUUUAAAAAAGUGUUGUCUUCGAAAUCAAAGCCUUCUAUCAUCAUAUGAAAUUUUUUUAAAAGGAAAAUCCUCGUACAACCUAACACAAAGCAAGAAUCCAACAAAAUCAAAGACUAAUGAAAAGAAAGACCAAAGAACUGAAAACAAACCAAGGCUGGAAUUAAGGGAAGAAUCUAAAGCAAAAUGAAACUCCAGCCUCUUAUUUCCGCGGCACAAAGUUUUUUCCUCACCCAAGUUACCUCUAGAAAAACCUGUUGCAAUAUAUAUAUAUAUAUAUGGAUAAGCAACAUAAAUAAACAAGCAAAAACUAAAACUUUUUUAAGGAAACCCAUGUCGAAAAAACCAUAAAGACAAUGUUGCCUUUAAAAGCAAAGCUUUCUAUCAUCUCUAAAGGUAAAAAGAUGUGUUCCCAAGCACAAAAGAAAUAUUUUUUUCUGAGGGAAAAAACUUUAACAACCUAAUACAAAUCAAGCACCUAGCCUAGCCAAAACAAUUGAAGAAAAAAGGUCGAUCUAGACUUUUCCCAAACACGUAGCAUGCAAGAAACACAUGUAAAGAAAACCAAGUAAACUUCCUUUCAAGACACGUGCCACCUUGUGCGAAACAAAGACAACACCACCUCUAUAAAGAAUGGAUAAUAGAGGGCUGAAGCUAACCAAAAGACUAUGCCCAAGAAACCUCAUAACUGUAGCAAAAAAGGCAGCCAAAGCCUCAAUAAACACACAUAUAGCCUAACAAUGCAACAAAAAACAGAGAGACAAUCAACAAAGAGUAAGGCAUUUUCCGAAGAAACAAAGAAAUUUAAUACCCUAAACUAAGCAGCAGGUAGAAGGCAAAAACUGAGCGUAAAUUUUCAGGAAGGGACGAACAAAAAACACCAAAAAGAAGGUAGAGAAAAAUGCAGACUCAAAUUCACAACACCCAUUUUCUUUUCAUUGGAACACUUUAGAUAGUUUAUUAAAUUUAUAAUGAUCUGAUUUCUAUGCAUAUAUAAAAAUCAACUUAAUGAUCAACUCUCUAUAAUUUCAGCAUGACUAAAAAAUCCAAACUAAUAAACUAUUAAUUAUUUUAGUCAUUUUAAUAAACAUUUUAGUUAUAAAGUGACAAAAUAUUUUCAACAAUUCAUAUUGAUGCAUUAACAUGUAAUUUUAGAUUGUUUAACUUAUUAGUUUCUUUAUGAGUUACUUAUUGUAAAGCAUGUUAUAUAUCUCUAAGCAUUUUUAUUUAAUAUAAUUAUGUCAAAUUCAUUUUUGCCCGAUGUAUAAUAUAAAAUAUUCAUGGCUUUAGCAUUUAUGAAAAGUAACUUUUUAUCGUUGUCCGUAUAUUUACUUAUAGUUUUAGAAAUUUCAAUACUAUUUUCAAUUUUUAUAGGUCCAUGAGAUCUAUUUUGUAUGGAUAACUACAAAUUAAAAUAAAUAGAUUCACGAUAAAUUAUCAUAAAACAAUUUAUUACCUACUCCUUGGUGCUAGCAAUGUAAUUGUAAUAUUAUUUUUCAAGCUUACUCAAUCUCUGAUUCUUGAUAACACAACCAAGAAUAAAUGAUGAACUCAAAUUUUUAUGUUACUCUCUGUAAGAAUUUUGACUCAAGAAAUGUAAAAGAGAAGAGUUUUAAAAAGAUUAGAAGUUUUCUUCAUUAUCAAAACUAUGUCAGAAUUUCUCUUUUUAUAGGUAAUUUUGACAUUUAAUUUUAAAAUAACUUUUAAGACAAAAGAUUACAACUUUCUAGUUUAAAAGUAUACGAAUAUAUUUCAAGUAGAGUUUUAACAAACAUAACUUUUCAUCCACAUCCUAACAAUCCCUCCACGUGAUAAAAUAAAAUACAAAGUAGAUACGAAAAUAGAAAGUAGGAGCGAAAAGUCAUUGCAUCGAGCAAGAUAGGUUUUGACCUUGAACCUUCCAUAGUCGAACUAUUGGAUUCACUCGGCUAACCAGCGAAUAUGAUGUCUUGAGUUGUUUAGCUGUUUGUGUGAAACCAAAUAAUAGAGAUUACACAAUUCAUUUUCUUAUAAUUUUGGUUCUCACAGUUAUAUUCAUUUUGGCCUUGAAUACGUCUUGAUUUCAAAGAGCAUUAGAGAAUUUGCAUUAUCAAUUCUCAUAGAAGUGGUCUCGUUUCAAACUCACAUAGGUAAUUCUUAUUAAGAGUAUCAUGUAAUACUUCUCAAGCUAUAAAAGUCAUUAAAAGCUUAGCUUAUCCUAUUUUUGCUGCUGAUAGCACUUUAUAUAAUAUAAAUGGGUAAGAGGGACACUAUUGAAUUGACAUAUGAUUUGGUUGUCUAUUUGAACCUAGAACUUGAAAUCUCCAAUAAACUAGAUAAUUCAUUGAACUAUCUUAAUCUCAUUCUCCUUAGUGAUUAUCGACUUGCUCUAUUGUUAAGUAUUUUAUUAGCGAAUCCAUGAUAUUAUCAUUUAACUUUACAUGGUCAAUAAAGAUAAUCUCAUUUUAGAUCGAUUAUCUUACAAUAUUGACAAUUGUAUCAAUAUAUAUAUAUAUAUUAUACCCUUUCAAUUGCAAAUUAGCUAUUGAAAAAUUACAAUAUUAUUUCUUGAUUUACUCAAUAUUUUUAUUUUUGAUAUUACAUCCAAGAAUAAAUAAUAAGCCAUAAUUUAUCUGAUAUUUUCUAUAAAAAAUUGGAUAAAAAAAAUAUAAUAAAAAAUGAGAUAUUUUAUUUUAUUUUAUUAGAUACAACAGAGUGUGCAACGAAAACAUGGUGGUAUUUAUUGAUUUUUGAAGUGGACUUUAAAUGAUAGUUUAAGAAAUGAAAUUUUGGAGAUAAGUUUUGAAUAAUUUGUUUGAUCAUGAUGGUAAGACUUCGGUUCUUAAAGUUUAAAUUUGAGGACGAAUUUUGUUUAACGGGGGAAGUGUUGUAAGACCCAAACUUUUGGCCCAAACCUAAGCCCAAGUCAGCCCAAACCCAACCUAAGUUAACCUAGGUAUUUAAGGAAGAGUUGAAAGAGAAUUACUUUUCUCUCUUCUAAUUCUUGUAACCGCCGUGACCCUCCCCUACUCAAACCUAAGAUUUUAGUUUUUGAUCUUGAGUUUUCGGUUCAAGAAAGGUGAAAUAGCAAGUAAGUGGUUCUCUUUCAUAUUACUUUUGAUUAUAGGUUGUUUAUGGAAUGAUUAAAGAAGAGAUUAGGGUUUUUAAGGCUUAGAAUUUUAUGUUGUUAAGAUUGAUUUAUGAUUAUUAAGGGUUAAUUUAAUAUUAGGUGAUUAAUUAGUAUGUUGUUAGAAAUAAGAAUUUGUGAGUUGAUUUGUUUAAAUUAAUUCUUAUGGGGUUAAGAAAUUCAUUUUUACCUUUCUGGAAAAUCUGGACGGAAUGGUCUUGAGGUUGAAGAUAAUCAAAUUUUAUUUUGGUCCUUGAUUUAUGAAAAUUUCAGUUUAGUCCCUAAACUUUGGAAAAUUACAAUUUGACCCCUAAAUGUAUUUUGAGAUUCUGGACAGUGUUAUUAUGAGGUUAAUGAUGAUGAAUCUCAGUUUUAUAAUUGAUUUGGAAUAUUUUUAGUUUGGUCCUUUAAUUUUGGGAAUUUACAUUUUAGUCCCUAAACUUCAUAAAAUUACAGUUCGGUCCCUGAUUCAUUCUAGACAGAAUUGAGGAUGGUUUAUGGGUGAAAUUUCAGUAUGGUUAUGCAUUUAUAGUUUGGUCUAGUUUUGAUAAAAUUACGUUUUGAUCCCUGUUUUGGAUAAUUGUCGUUUUAGUCCCUAAACCUAAGAGACUAAACAUGGUUUUAUUUUAUGCAUUGAAAUCUUUUAAUUGUGUUGCUUUGAGUUGCUUUUGAGUAUAUUUUGUAUAUUUAUUGUAGGUUCUCCUAACGAUCCUCAAUAGGUUUUUCGGGUCUUUCAUCUGAUAUUCCUUUUGGUUCUAUAUUUUCCGAGUGAGUGGGAUAAUCUUUAAUAUGCAUAUAUUAUUAUAAUAAAUAUGUAUGUUGAUUAUACAAUGAGUACAACUAGUUAAUUUCUUGAAUAUUUAUAUAUGUUGCUUUAUUGUCCGAGUACUCAUUUAUUCUUGAAUUUGCACUCGCAAUCUUCGAAUUAAAUUCUAUUUGAUAUGAUAUACGUUUCUUUGAUGAUUCUGUAAAUAUCUAUUAUGCCUUGAUAUAGGACCUGUCAGUAACUCCAUGCUAACGGAGAGUAGUUAGCCUAUGUGCACAUAGUAUUCUAUAUAUCUAGCUGGUGAGAGAGGCAUUAGCCUGUGGCAACUGAUCAUCCCACAGUGGUCACCUUCGGGUGUCAUCUGGUCAUUUUUUAGUGUCAUCUGGUCAUCUUCGGGUGUCAUCUGAUCUCUGACAUGUAUUCCACUACGUUAUGAUAAUAUGUUUAGUAUGUAUAUGUAUAUCAAGAUAAAUCAUCUUGCAAACUAUUAAUAUCUAAAAUAUCUAAAAUGUAUAUUAAAUAUUAUUCCCUCACUGAGUUGGUUGAACUUACCCCUCAUUCUUAAUAUUAUUUCAGGUUCUUAGUUUCUGAAUAGCAGUUGGACUUGUAGAGUGUUCCUGCUUCUUCAAUUUUGGUCGGUAUGCCUUGCUUGUUUUGCGAGGCUUUCCUUUUAGUUUUGAUUCGAUGUCUUAGACACUCCACUAUUACCUUGUUUUAAUUAAGUUUGGAUUUUGACAAUGUAAUGGGUAUUAUAGAUUAUUGUUUUUGUUUUAAUUACUAAUGAGGAGUUUUAAACUAUCUUUUGGUUUUAUAAGUUUUGAAUAAUAUAAUAUUUCUGAAGAUUAUAAAAUGCUGCAUAUUUUUGAAUAAAUUGUUCUUUUGAUAUGUCUGUUCUAAGACUUAGCGUAGAUGAGGUGUCCUUUCGACACCGCUUCUACGUUGCCGAUCAUGGACCCGAGAUUCGGGUCGUGAUAUCUCUCCCAGGAUAGUGUGGAGAUUAGCACGGUUCAGUCGUGCUUGAUGAAAAAGAAGGAUACCCAUUACUGGACUGUUAGUGUCACAUCGUGGGUGAGAGAUUCGUGACAAUGAUCUGCUGCCGUUUCCUUUGAAUCGGUGGGAUGAAGGAGAUGAAUAGCUUGUUUUGAGACGACGCUUUUUCACCCGAAAAUGACUAUUUUAAUUUUGCCUCUAGAUUAGCUUUCGGUGUCAUUUACAAAACCGUUAUUGGUUUUCAAUUUAAUUAAUUUAGUUUUUAAUUCCUCUUUAACUUUUAAUUUUUUAAAAAAUUAUUCUUGAAAAAAUCAAUUAACCCCUUUAUAGUAUCACAAUCUAUUCACUUUGGUACUUGGAUUUUAAUUUCUUGCAAUGUUUACCCAAAUCAGCCCCAAACUUUAGUAUUUCUUCAAUUAAACCCCAACUUUUAUUAAUUAAACUAAUUCAAAGCUUAUGUAAGUCCCCAAACUUAUCAAUUCUUUCAAUAUCUGACCAAAUUAACUUCUAAAUUUAUAAUUACAUCUUUAUUGGUCCUUAAAUUCACAAUUUGUGUUAUCUUGAUCCAAUUCUCAAAUUAUUAUAUUUUCAUUUUUUAUUUUUAUUAAUUUUUUUAAAAAAGUUAAUAAAAAUAGGUUAUAACACAUGAUAUAUGGUUGGUUUAAAGGAACCGAUUGAUUUAUAUAUCAGAUUACAAAUCGAGAGGAAUCACGGUUGUUUUAUAAAACUGCGAAAAACUUUCAACCAUAGAUGUUUUAUUCAUGCGUGUUUGAAAUGUGAAUCAUAUUGUUUAUUCUUACUAGGAAAGGCCUUUUACCUGUUCCGGAAGCUCUGUUAGCAAUCUUUCUGUUACUAAUAUAUAUAUUUUUCAAUUCAAUUUUUCCUUCUCCAGGAAACAUUUUAAAUUCCUCUACAUCCUUAGGCUUUGGUUCUAUUGAAUGCCACCUUCCAUAAUCGACCAGCGCAGCUGCCAUUGGAUGAUUUGAUUUACUCUCGAUGCUUGAUACCCUGAGAAACUUGCAUAAACAAUAUUACUUGCCAGUGAAGAGUAAAGUUCGCCAUAAUUGAAGAAUUAUGGACCUAGUCUUCACCAAUAAAGUAAUGCUAGUGGAAUCACUGCUACGCCAGCUGUCAUGAAUAUGAACAGUGAACUAAAAUGAAAACUUUCCCACAAAAUGAAAGGUAGGAUUGUCUAGCAAUGGAGCUGACGGUUCAUUCUAAACGAAUGAUGUGAAGGGCUGUCCAAAUACAGUUUUUGGGGGAAAAAAAGAAAAAUCCAACCACAUCAAUUUAAUAAAUAAAUUGAACCGAUUUGAAUGGCAUGUUCAAAUUAAAUGUUACGAUUCACAGUUUAAUUCAAUUCAUUUUUUUUUUAUUAAAAAACCCAAUUUCAUCCUUGGGUUUUUUAGUUGAUCUUUUUAGAUAGACUCUAAUGUAAUGUGCAUGGCUUCUUUUUUUUAGGUUUUUUUAAUUUUUUAUUUUUAAAAAUCAAUUGUUUGGUUUCAUUCCGGUUUAAUUAUUUUUUAUUCUCUUAAAUCUAAAACCAAUUUAAGAUCUCUUAAAACUUUCUAAUCGUUUUUUUUUAAUUUGAUAUUGGUUGGUUUUUUCAAUUAAUUUUAUGUUGAUUUUUUAAAGUUAUUUGGUUAUUUUAUUCACUCAUGGAUAUAAGUAUCUCGUUAUAAGAACUAAAAAGAAAAAAAAACAAUUACAUGUCGCAGCCAUGUUUUCACAUGGCCUCCGUAAAGUUCGAACAUUGAAAUGGACUCUAGACAAUAAGAAACUGUUUGUAAUUUUAGCAGAAUUGUUUUUUAAAAUGCCUUUUGUUUUAAAAUAUAUUAUAAUAAUAUUUUUAAAAUUAUUUUUAACAUCAAUAUAUCAAAAUCAUCUAAAAAUAUUAAAUAAAUUAAUUUUUUUUUAUGAAAAUCCGGUUCAACUGCAGGGUUAAAGAUGUGUUUAGAAGUAUGGUAGUGGUAGUUUUUCAAAGUGAUUUUUACUCGAAAAUAUAUCAAAAUAAUAUUUUUUAUUUUUAAAAAAUUAUUUUGACAUCAGCCCAUCAAAACAAUGUUCAUAAAAUUGAGCAUCAACCUAAAAAUAAACACUUAUUUGAAAACAUUAUUCCUCGAAAGCAAACAAAAAGCAAUAAUGCAGUUCAGUUACUAACCAAAUCAAUAUUAAAUGAUAAAAUAAAAUAUUAAAAACAAUUAAAAGACAAAAAAAAAAUAUUCUAAUGGUGAGUAAACUCAUCAAACCUGUGAAUCGAGUAAGCCGAGCUAAUAUGUCAAACCUAUAAAUUGGGUCAUAGACUCUACUGGAAUUAUAAUUUAUUUUUUUUAUUAUUUUUUAUUUAAUUAUAUGAUAAUAAAAAUAGAUAAUUACAAAAUCAAAUACCAAUUUAAUAUCGAGAUUUUUUUAAAUCGUGAUAACAUCACAAAAUGUGAAACAAAACCAAUUAUGAAACUAAAUUUACAGUUAACUCAAUAUCCAAUAAUGAAAAAAAAAACUAAUUUAAAAAAGUUAAUCUUGUCAAAUCCACGAACCAAGUUAACUAGCCAAACAUAUCCUGAAAUUUAUAAAGUUUAAUAAAAUAACUUCUUUUAAAAUUUAUUUAUUUUAACUAUAUAAGAAAAAAAUAAACGAUAAAAAAGUCAAGUUUGAUUAAAAAAAAAAGAAGACACCCCCACCAAACUCAGUAAAUUAGGGCAACUUAGGUUACCUAGCAAACCCAUAAACUAUGUUAACCUUAUAGAAAUGUAAAAUAAAAAGAAAUAAAUUAUAAAGUUAAAUUCUCAACCAUCUUAAUAUUAAAAGAUAAAAUCGACAAAAAUAAAUUCGAGAAAAAAUCAUAACAAAAAUUAAAAAACAAAAAGAAAAAUGAAAGAAAGCAAAACACUAUGAUUACUAUUGUCAUUCACAGUGCAAUCUGUGCAGGUGAAUAAUGGUUUUCUCACACCCUUUAAUUUUUGUUAUUGUAUAAAGUUGAAUAACAUGAUUUUAUAUAUAUAUUUUUUAAUUAUAUGAGCAAAAAAACUCAUAAAAAAGUCGAGUUCAAUUUUUUAAAAAAAUACAACCCACUAAACUCGUAAACCAGAGCACUCUAGGUUACCUUAGUAAGCUCGUAAACUACACUAAUCUCAUGUAAAGGAAAAUCAAAAGAAGCAAAUUACGAAGCUUAUUUUUCAACAAUCCCAAUUUUAAAAGAUAAUAUUGAUAAAAAUAUAUUGAUAUCUGAUUUCAGUCUGAUUAUCUGCGUAAAAUAUCUCAGAAGAUGCUUGCAAUGGAGAUCAAGUCUCAAAAUACCAUACCCACCGACAAUGGAUCGAGAUUUGACAAAUUAAUACAAUGCUGUACCAAACUAAUACAAUCACCAACGACCCAUCAAAAGUGAAAUGAUGUUUGCUAGAGUAAUGGAUGUCUAGUGCAGCAACUGCUCCAGAUGGUCCUAGCAGUAUAUCGAGAUUGUUUUCAGGGACAUUUUUAAAGACAUUGGAAACGACAAUCUUGCAGCGAUUAAUGCCAAGUAUGAACACGUCAAAUCUAAGCUAAGAAAUCAUGGUUUUGUUGAGCUUUGCUAUCAUCAGAGGCUUGAUGAUGGAAGGAUUAUUGUACUCCCUUACAAAACAUAUAAUGCUGUGCUGAUGAGCCAAAGAAGUUCUCCGUAGACUUCCUAACUAAGAGGAAGUUGCCAUCUAUUUCUAACUCAACAAGGAAAAGAGUCUUGGGCAAGUCAAACAUGAAUUUUGACCAGUUAGGAAACCAAUGGCUGGCAUGUUUUUGGGUGUUUUCUUUUUUUGUUUUCUGAGAGCCAUAACUGGCAUUUUUGUUCUCUCAUCAAGUGCAGACGACACCAAAGGCAGAACACUCUGGUGUUCUUGACAAUUCGACACAUUGCUUUCUGAGGAUUAGGUGAAUAUGGUUCAGUCUAUGCCAUAAGUAUGUCAAGCUACCAUUAUUUUUUAUUUUUAUUUUUGUAUUCUUUUUUGAACAGUAACAAAAUUCAUUAAUUUAGGAAAGGGCAAAGCCCAGAUAACAAAUAACAUCCACACUUGCAAGGAUUUAUUCGUCAGGGAUAUUGAUUUGUUCGUAUCCUAUCUCUUUGAAAAAAAAUGUGGAUUAAUUAAUCUAUGCUCAGUAUAGUAUUUCCAGGACUAUUCUUUCUUUAAUAUGUUAAUUAACACCCCGAGCCUGCCCAGUUUUUUUUUUUUUUUUUUGUAGUUUGCUAAUGUGAUGUAGAAUUAUAUAUAAAUCAAUCUCAUCAGAAGAUGCAAAUAUGGGCAUAAAAUAUAUCGUGGGAACUUCAAUUUAGUCGCUGAAAUAUACUUAACUUCAUAAAAAUUGAAUUCUCAAAUAUUAAGAAAGAAAUACAAUACAAAAUAGCAGACUAUACAUUACAUUCAGGUAAGAAUUCACAUCCAUGCCCGUAUAUAUUAAAGCACUACUAUCUUGGUGAUAAGCUGCCAGCUGCAUUCAUUUUCUUUUUUUUUUUUCUGACAAAUAUACUUGUUAAGUUACAUUGCAUACAAGUAAGAAUUCAUAUACAUUCCCAUAUUAAGCUCUAUUAUUUUUGUGAGCUUCGUCCAUUUUCUUGAUUUCUGACGAGUAUAUUUAUCGGCGAAAGACAACAGAAAAUUGUGCAGACCACACGUUUAUCCACAAUGCAGCAAAACAAACACUAUUCUGCAGAAGCUUUAAAUGACCAAUCCACGGCUUUCUCCAGUCUUGGAGUUUCUACUGCAUAUACAAUUGUUAAAAGAGCCAAUUUGUUAUUAGUCUUGGAAACAAAAACAAUAUAGAGAGAUAUUUUUUUUAAAAAAAAAAAAGACUGCUUCAUAGUUUCUGCAGUCUUUACAAGAUGAGUGCUAUUCAUUUUCAAGUAAUACAGGAAAGCAAUGUAUGAUAAGUAGUGGAUAUAAACUUUGAAUGUACAGUAAGUAUAUUCAAUGAAUGCAAUAAAAAAAAAAUUUCAACGAAAAUGAAGUGAAUGAAAAUUAGUGCACAAAUCAAGUGUUCAGGGGUUCAAAUAUGAGCCAUAGUAAGUUGGAGACUUGGAUUAUCGACAUUUAGUUUCCACUAUCCUUGAGUUAUUAUUAAAUUAAUUUCACAAACCAAGUUAAUUGGUUACUAAAUGUAUACAAAAAAUUAUUAGGCGAUUUUUUUCCCCCAAGAAUCAAAGUCUAAUAACAUUUUAAAUUUCAAUUUCAUGAUUGUUAUUUUUUAAUUUUAACAAAGUAUCAUUAAAGAGGUAUUUAUAUGAAAGCAAGUUAAUUUUAUCCAUUGGUUAAUCUUAAGAAUUAGUGGUAAGCCAGAUUUAAAGGUGGAUACAGUUCAAAUUUCAUAUCUUUACAAGGGAAGUUGUAAGAGGGAUGGUUGGAUCAAGCAUUGUAGUCAAAGCAUCUACAAAAGAUACUCCAGCAAAAGCAACUUUAAACAAAUCAGGCCUCAUAUUAAGGACGGAGCCGAUAAGCAACCCCCCUGCAUUCCUUCCUUCAAUACACAGUUUUUCCUUUGCACAGAACCUCUGUUCUAUUCAAUACUCAGCACAUGCAAUAAUAUCCGUGAAAGUAUUCUUUUUCUUUAAGUACUUCCGAUUCUCGUACCACUGCCUUCCCAUUCCACCACCUCUACGAAUAUAAUACCCCAAGCUAUAGAAGUCAAAAUCAAGAAUAAAAAAUAACUAAAUCAUAGCUAAUCUAGCUUUUUAAUAGUGUAAAUUUUUUUAAAAAAAAUUUAUAAUGGAGAAAGAUAAACAAAAUCAGAAAGCAGGGCAGGUUGGGGGAUUUGGAUCUUUGCCCAAAACUUUUGUGAUGUUUUGAAAAUAAAAGUGGAUAUAAAAAGGUAACAAAGGGGCUUGGAGGCUUGGAAGGAGGUAUAAAUUAUAAAACUUGAUAUAUAUAUAUAUAUAUAUAUAUAUAUAUAUAUAUAUAUAUAUAUAUAAAGGAAAUAGGGAUCUGAAAAUUGAGGGUGAGUGACAGCAGGAGAGAAGAAAAGGGAAAGAAGAAAAAGAGAAAAGAAGGAAAGAUAAAGGAAGGAAAAGAGAGUUAAAGAAAAUAAGUAUAAAGGUAAAAUUUAGGUUUUGAUAUGCAUAAAUGUUCUUUUUUUUAGCUUUAAAUUUCUGUUUUGUUGAAAAUUAGUGUUUUGAAAAUUUUGUUUUUGGUUGAUUGAUAAAUUAAUUUCAAUGUUAUGAGUUGUUUGUUACGAGUAAUUAAUUAUAUAGUUGAUUUUGAAAGAUUUUAGGUAAAAAUAAUGAUUUUGAGUUAUGAUUUGUUUAAAUGAUGAAUUUGAGUUAGAAAUCUUGAUAUAAUAGUAGGUGAUAUGUGGAAAUUCUGGUUUGAGGUUGAAGAUGACAAACUUCCAGUUUGGUCCCUUAAUUUUUAAAAAUUACAGUUUAGUCCCCAACCUUUGAAAACAUUACAUAUUGGUCCCUCAAUUUGUAAAAAUUACAGUUUCAUCCCUCAAUUUGUAAAAAUUACAGUUUAGUCCCCAACCUUUGAAAACAUUACAGAUUGGUCCCUGGAGCAUAGUCCGACAUGAAUUUAUGACAUUUUCAAUUUGGUCCUCCCAUUUGGUGAAAUUACAAUUUGACCCUAAAAAUUUGAUAAAAUUCCAGAAUGAUCCCUGGAGCAUAAUUAGAGAUUCCGGACAGAAUUGAGGAUGAAUUUCCAGUAUAGUCAUGAAUUUAUGACAUUUUUAGUUUGGUCCUCUAAUUUGACAAAAUUAUAAUUUGACCUCUAAAAAUAUGAUAAAAUUCUAGAUUGGUCCUUAGCUUUAAUAUUAGUUUUUUUCAUAUUGGUUUGAUGAAUAAUUGAGAGUCAUUUAGUGAAUUAUCAUCAAGUUUUAUUAUUUGUUUUCUUAUGACUUAGGGGUUUCGGGAAAACCGUUUAACUUUUUUGUUUUUGAAAAACAUUACUAGUUGAGUUCAAAAAUAUAUAAGGUUAUGGAAUAAACUUUUAGUUAAAUAUAUUAAAUAAGUUGUAUAUUCUUUUAUUUUUAUAAAAAUCAAGAAUCUUUGAACAGUUUGAAGGUCUUCGUAACCUCAAGAGGUAAGUAGCACAUUCACAUCAAGAUUGAUGAGAAUUUCUUCAGCUAAGUAAUUGGUAUAGCAACUUCACUUUCAGAGAUUAUUCUGUAUGUUCCACUGUUUUUAUUCAUGAAUAUUUUCAUGGCAAUAAUUGCAUGAAACAAUGGACCAUCUCUUCAACUGCUGAGCUUUCCUUUAUAUUUGCAGCUGUAAUUUGGGAUAGCAAUGUCUCUGACAUGAAGUUUGGAUGGCUUGAUCUCUUUGCAUCAAGAAUGUCAAGUUACUUAAAUGUAUUAUUCACAAGGUGACUACAAGAGACACAUUGGAUGGUGCUGGGCCCAUGAAAGCUUGAUCUGUUUUUUGUUCGUUGUUCAAUUGAGGAUUUGUAGAUUGUUCCGUUCGAUCCUCUGUCCUUGGAUCAUUCAUGGGUGUUUUGACAUGUACUUAUUUCACUCUUAAUAAAGUAUUUCCCAUUAUUAGUGCUUAAUUUUUCAAUCCAAACCUUGGUUUUUUACCUGGAUCAAUUUGAAUCUGAAAGAAGUACCAAAAUCUAGUGUUUCAAGUACUCAGUGGUUGCAGGGGACAGCUCUCCUUCCUUCGAACUCUGGUUCGAGUCCCAGUAAAAGUGGGGCUGGAGAGUUUGUUCCCCUCGUCUCUAUUGAGUCCUCCCUGUACGGUAUGCUUGUCAUCCCCGCGGUGCCUUACAUGCUCACUGGGUUUGCAGGAUGUUCAGUGAGCCGUGGAAUUAGUCGUGGUGCGCGCAAGCUGCCCGGACAACCACGUAAAAAAAAAAAAAAAAGUUAACAGAAAUAAAUGUACCUUUGCCUGUCCCUUCAACAAAAUGCUGAGCUGUAUAUUAAUUCUCAGAGGCAGUGAUAACUAGCUGUUCUAACUAAUCCCUAUACUUUUAAAUAUUUUUACAAUGCGGUCCCUUCAUUAAUUUUUCGUUAGUAAGAUGUUGAGCUUUCAGCAAUAUUUCCUUAGUUUGUGCCGCUAACUUAACGGUAAAAUGUAAUUCAAGGAUCAAUUAGUUAUUUGAAUGAACUUGAGGGAUUAAUCUGUUUGUUUAACACAAAUACAGACACUAGUUAAAUAGAAUUUAACUCAAAUUUUAAUUAUCAUAUGCGUGCGUGCGUGCGAGCGAGCAAGCUAGUGUUUACUCGUUAAUUUUUUUAGAAGGAAUCUGGAAAAGAAUAAAGUCAUCCAUUUCACUUGGGCCCAGCAUUCCUCACCUCUCCCCGCCCGAGCUCUCACUCCCUCCCUCCCUCCUCCGCCUCUCGGAAACCGCCGCCGCCAAGAAGGCUUCAGAUUUCUGCCAGGUGCUUCUAUUUCUAUCAUGUUUUUGUUUUUAAAAUUUAUGGGUGUUUUCAUUUAUUUUAUUGUAAUUAUUACUCAGAGACAGAAAUUCUAUUUUAAUAAGUAAAUUAAAAAAAAAUAAUCGAUCCGAUGAAAUCUCUGCUAGUGAACGCAAUUCGAAUUUAAUAAGUAAAUUAAAAAAUAUAUAUAAUCGGAUCCGAUGAAAUCGUUGCUCGUGAACGAAUUCAAAGAAACGCACAAUCAGCCGAUUCUAAUAAUUUCUUUUUCAAUUUUUUCCCCUUAAUUUACAUGAUAUUAUCCGAUUUUUCUCACAGUUAUUGUUGUAAUAAUCAAGCCCUGAAUUCUUGAACCCAAAUUUAUUUUAUUUUAUUUUAUUUUUUAGUGGAGAAUAGAAAUCAAUUCAAAUCUUUUAGGCUCGAUCGAUAAUUUGUUAAUUAGUUUAUGCAGCAGCUGGAGUGGAAGAGAUAUUACAGCCGGAAUGGCCGAAAAAUGAGCUGUUUGGUGGAUUCUUCUUUUUUGGAAUUUACUGAAUUCUUCAAAAUUAUUGUGUUCUUAACAACAAUACGAUAUCCUUGGGUUUUAUGCUCGCUCACACAUGGAAACAAGAAAGAAAGAAAAGAACUUUAAAUUUUAUAAUUUGGUCAUGUUAACGUGAAAAAAAUAAAAAUAACAGGUCUGCCUUGAUAACCCUACAUGAUAUAUCUUUCUUUUUAGGACUGCUCAGCUGGUCUUGAGUAUGAGGUGAAAGCUUGAGUAGGACAGAUAGUCCUAACCAAGGACUGUAUUGUGAUUGAUUGAGUUGAAAGUUAAGAGCAUGUGAAAGUGUAAAACAAAUGACCUAGUUCACUUCACCCCAAAGGCGCACCUGUGCAUCUAGUUAGGAAGAACAUUUUAUAACUUACCUCAAGGUCGAGCAUGGUCAAGGUUAUUGUGUUGUCAAUUCCGAGAAAGAUGUGCCUGCAAAUUUAAUCUUAUUUCAACAAGAGUUGUUAAGUUGAUUCUUAUCAGUCUGCUCUUUAGAGUUGAUGAUAACAUGAAAUAUUCAUGGUUAAUGCUUGUUGUUUUCUUCUUCAUUUUCCUAGCUUAAAACAUCCUAGACAAUCUCUUCAUGUUCUAUUUUCUGGGAUAUUUAGACUGCUGAUAUUCAUCGGGGAUUGAAAAGCCUUGUUUUAUUACUUUGUUUUGUUUUCUUCUUCUUUCUUUAUUCUUUUGGGGAUGUGGUAUUCUCCUCUUUCUAUUUACACUAUUUCCUCCACACAACAUUUAUUCUUUCAGAAAAGUUAAUUCAUACAUAAAUAACAAGAACGGGGGGGUUUGACGGUAUGUAUUUGGUUGCGAGUAAAAAUUGGUAAGCACUCGAAAAAGGUCCUGUGCUGAAUCUAAAUUGGUAAGAUGUGAUAUACUGAUAUCUAGAAAGAUAACUUAAUCUAUCUAUUGAAGUAAAGCAUUUAAAUGCGUAUACAAUGUUUUUGGAACAUUAAAUAUCUAUUUGAUCAGAAUCUGUGAACCUAAAACCACAAUGAAUACAAAUGCAAGUUUGUCAUUGUAAACAUUGCAUCAAUGAUGCAUCACGAGUGUUGCUAGAAAACAUCAAGUUAAAAUUGAAGCACCAUGAGUUUCUCUAUGGCUUGGUUUACCAACACUCACCAUCUGUUGGUGCGGCAAUUUAUGAACUAGCUGGCUAGUUUUUUGCUUCCUUGGUUUUAGAAGCACCAUGAAGAUUCAGGCCCAAAUCUUGCUUAUAAUACCCGUCUACCUGAAUACCCAAGAUCCUAGCACCUUGCCUUGAAUGGUCGUGUAUAUUUGUUAUGGCUGUUCAGAUUUUAUGCAUCCAUAUUUGGUAGAAUUCUUUAAUAAAGUACAUGCUAUUAGAUGGAAGUUCUUUUUAAAUCUAUUCAAGUCUGAAUAAACUGAUAUUCCAAUUUUCAUGACUUUGAUGUGCUCUUACUCUUCUGUUGUUCCUGACUUUCUUUUUAGGGUCUAUUCUAACAUGCAAUAUAAUUAAUUUUUUUUUUUGUGAUAGAAGUGAUUUUUUUGGUUGGCCAAACCCCAUGGAUGCCAAUAAUUGGAGGUCCACUGCCCCAGGUGGAGAACCUGUGAUGGACACAGGUGAUUGGAGAACUCAACUGCAACCUGACUCACGGCAAAGAGUAGUCAACAAUAUGUAAGUAUCUGUUUCCUAAUAUGUGCAAGUGCUGCAAAAUAGUAAAUCUUGUAUUUAAAUGAAAGAAAAAGAGAAGGGCAAAAGGUUAAUUAAAAUCAGCAGGACUGCCAUGAGGCAACCUCAAGUAUCAUACACCUCUGUUUUUGUCUUUUUCAUUUUUCACGUGUUUCUCACAAGAAGUGAACUUGAGGGAAUAAAAAGUGCUGGGAAGUAAUUUUUGUUUGAACUUCUUGUGUAACAUAUUGUUUUGAUGAUGACCUCUAGGAUGGCUGCAUGAAGCUUGUCCGCUUUAAAUUUCAAGGUUAAUCUAUUGCUAUGAGCAUUGGUGUUUCAAUUUCAACCUUGAGUUGCAACUGAACUUAAAUGAAUAGUGUUGGAUUUGAGCCUUCUAUUUGCUUUAACUUCUACAGGGUUGAAAUGAUAGUGAUCUUAAAGUACAAAAGCAGCUGACAAAAAUCAUUUAGCCACAAUAGUGCAUGGUUUCCUAGUUUCUCAGUAUAAACUAUAAAGUUGAAUGUUUUGGUGAUAUCUCUACAUCCAAAUUCAUAUAGACAGCUAGUGUUGGCACUUGCUGUAGCCAAUGAGCACUGUAGAGUAUAUAUUGCAAAGUGAGAUAAGGUUAACUCAUUGCAUUUUAAUAAAUUAAAAGGAUUUCUCUUCUUUUCUUUGUCAAUUACAGUGCAUGUAUAAAAGUUUUCUUACUCAGACUAAAUGCUAUUGUAAUGUUUUCAUAGAGUUCCCCUGGUUUGCAACUAAUGCACUUAUAUACCGUGGAGCAUAGCCAUAGCCAUAAAUGGAAGGUUCUUCCAAGAAAAUUAACCAUGAAGCUCGUAACUAGAAUUUUAGACAGAAGGGUGGCCAACUGAACUACUAUACCCUGUACCUCUGGAAUAAUACGGGGAAAGGAAGUAAAAAUAGAUGUCUGUAUGUUGAUGCCAUAUAUUACUUGAUCGACACUCGGCUAUAUCAUUAUUUGUUUUUACUUUUUGCUAAUGAUUCCGUUGUAUACAUUUCUGAUAUUGGUGUGGUGUAUGAGUUCACGGUUCUUUCUCACUGCUGCUAACUUCUCUAUACCUGCCUUGUCAUUAAAAACUAAAUGUAAUGUUUUACAUGUGUAGAAUGGAGACAUUAAAGAGGCAUCUUCCGUUUUCUGAUCAAGAGGGAUUACAAGAACUCAAGAAAAUUGCCGUACGGUUUGAGGAAAAGAUUUAUACUGCUGCUACCAAUCAGGUAUUCGGCUAAUGCUAGGUUCAAUAAUUUCGAUACUCUCUAGACAUGAAUAUACACAUGCAUAGGUUCAAUAAUUUCGAUAUUCUCUAGACAUGAAUAUACACAUGCAUAAGUUUGUGGAUUUAUGUAUGUACACGUGUGUGUAGUGUGUCCACACCUCCUCACUGGUCAUUUUGUAGAGGUUCUCAUCUUUUCGUUAAUUCUCUUGGCAAGUGUUUUAUUUAGAGUGACCAAGGUCCUUUUCAAGUACAAGGGAAGUGUGCAAAAUGCAAAUAACGAAUCAAUACAUAAAUAAUUAAAUAAAAAGAGAGGACACAGAAGUAUAUCCUCACAGAAGAUGCAAAUACAAAGAGCCUAGCAUAUUAGAAAGAGCAUAAAUCCCUUUUCCCCCUUCUCUUGUAACAUGGAUUGCGCAGAGAUCUAAUCUUUUGUUAUUGAUAUCUGAUUUCAGUCUGAUUAUCUGCGUAAAAUAUCUCUGAAGAUGCUUACAAUGGAGACCAAGUCUCAAAAUACCAUACCCACUGGCAAUGGUAACAAACCCCUGGAUCCAGGAGGUAAUAAUGCAGCCAAGCAUUGAAUUUCUAAACAUCCUUACCUUUUGUUUUAUAUUUCGCAUUGUUAUCAAACUCUUUUACAUUUGAUUGCUGCAUAUUGCUAUGUAUAUACCAUGCUUUAAUAAAAAAGUUGAGUAAUUGAUGAAUGUUCAAAAAAAUUACAGAUUAUUUUUGUACUUUUAUGCUUUGAGGUAAAACCAUCUUAAUUAUUUCCCUCAUAACUUUACGUGUGAACUGUCAUUGUUUCAUUUGUUUUUCUUGCUCAAUGCCUUCUUUUUUUCCUUUGACAUGGUUUUCCUUUUUGCCUUCUAUCUUGAACAGCAUCUCAUAGUAUGCCGCCUCAAGCUCACAACCAAGGGCAGUCGCUCCCUAUCUCAUUGCCCACUAAUCAGUCUCAAGCAUGUCAGCAGUUAUCACAGAACAUGCAGAAUAGUAUAUCAUCUAAUGCCUUCUGUUUCCGGUUUAACCCAGACUAUCUCAAACACUGUUGGACAGAAUGCUAACAUGCAGAGUAUCUCUGGUGUUUCACAUAACCCAGUGGGGAAUUCAAUGGGACAAGGGAUUCCCUCCAAUAUGUUUGUCAAUUCUCAGAGACAAAUGCCAGGCAGGCAACAGGUUGUUCCUCCACAGCAACAGCAGCAGUCCCAAAAUCCUCAGCGGUAUCUUUAUCAGCAGCAGAUACAACAACAGCUUUUAAAGCUCUCAUUUUGAAUUUAUCGGACAUGAAUUUUAAAAAUAUAUGUAUAACUGGACAAUGCAUUUGACACUAUGGUAACUAAUCAUCAGCCAAUUGAUUUUUAUGGGAAGAAAGAAAUUAGCAAGUGGACUAACUCUGAGGCACUUAAGGUUUGGUGUGCUGAUAAAUCAUCACCUUGCUGGAAAAUCUCAUGAUCACCUCCUCGAUGCUAAUUCUGUAAGGCAUGUGAAGUGUUUCAUCCUUAACUUGUCAAGGAACAAGGACUCUGAUGCAUGGCUAUCUAUAUUUUAUGAUUGAGAUGGUUUAGUUUAAAGAUUUUCCUGGUUAGGAGGUAAAGUGUCACUUUUGUGCUUUUCUUCCAUGAUAAAUUGUUUGAGCCUUUUUUAAAAAAAAUAUAUAAUGAUCACUUGUUGGAGGAGGGUCUCUCUGUCUGUUUGAAUGAUUACAUAACGUUGAGAUGGAGUUCCUAGUACUCCAAGUCCAAAAGGACUUGUAUUCCUAUGUAAGAAAAUACUAAUGGUCUAUCUAGGAUAGGGAAAACCUAUUAAAGCUCCUUAUUCUUUAGGAACAAUAAAAUACUAAAUAGAAAUAAAACCAAGACCUACAAUAUUCCAUAAUUUUCAGCAAGUGUGAAAAUUACAGAAAUACCCUUGUGUGCAGAAAACAUUCAAAAAAUACAUGAAUUCUAAUCUUUGGUUGGCUGUAUCAAAAUUUUUGUAGCAUCCCUAGAUUCUACAGCAGAGACUGGACAUUCAAAUGGUGCUGAUUGGCAAGAGGAGAUCUACCGAAAGGUAAUUUCUGUAGUUUACUGUUCAUGCAUGUCAUCGUCUUGCAAGAUUUCAAUGGAAAAGGUCUCCUGGAAUUUGGUACAAGGGAGUUUUAUUCAGCUAUUGUUGUGAUUAGUUAGGAAGCAUUGUAAGUUCCAUGAUUGCCGUAACUAAGAAACGAUAAAUUACUGAUAAGAUGAUUAAAGGUAAAUAUUCAGAUUUCUAGGUCAAGAGGGUUAUUUUCUUGGUACUGAUUUUUUCUAUUGCAAAUCUCUCCCUUUCAAUUUUUUCCCUGUAUUUCCAUACAUUUAUUGUGUGGUGAAUUAUUAUUUUAUUAUUUCCAAUAAGUCCAAUUGACAAUACUUCUUACUGUAAUAGACAGACUAGAAAACAAGAGUGAAUUGUUUCUGAAUAGUCAUCGUUAUAUUUGGUUAAGUGAACAGUUAUUUUCAGGAUUACAAUCAAAUUUGUUCUGAAACAUGUGACAAUGGAAGAAAGGAAAAUAAGUGGACCUAAUCCAUUGAAUCAUGACCAUGUCCAGUAUUGUUGAAUUUUAUAGAAAACGAGGUUGAAAUUCUGAAUCGUUUAAUGGCUGUAGUUGCAAUUCAUAACUGCAUAUUUGAAAUUUUUUAACUUAACUUUUUAUUUAAUUUAAAUUUUUAAUUAAAUCAUGUGAGAAUUAAUUUAAUUUAAAUCGAUUAAUUUUAUAAGUUCAAAUACAAUCUUAAUAAUCGAUAAAAAUAUGAUUUAACUUUAAAAAAAACUUCAAAAUUAUAAUUUUUUAAAAAAUUAUUGAAAUAAUGACAAAUUGGAUCACCCCCGACCUGGAUCAUGAACUUUAUUGAGUUUCAUAAAUUUUUAUAUUUAAUUAUAUGAUAAAAAUAGAUGCUCAUAAAAUUAAACAUCAACCUAAAAACUAGCACUUAUUUGAGACAAUUAUCCUAUAAAGCAAAUAAAAAUUAAUAAUGUAAAUCAUUUCCCAACUAAUUUAAUAUUAAAUGAUGAAAUUAAAAAGAAAUAAAUUAAAAAAAAUUAAAAGACCAAAAAAACAUCAUAUUGGUGGCUAAACUUGUCAAAUCUAUGAAUCAGGUAAGUUCAGUUAGUACACUAAACAUGUGAACUGGGUUAUGGACUCCACCGGGAUAGUGAUUUUUUUAAUUUAUUUUUUAUUUAACUACAUAAUAACAAAAAUAGAUGAUUGUAAAAUCAAACACCGACCCAAUAUCGAGAUUUUUUUAAAUUACAAUAGCCACGCAAAAAGCAAAACGAAACUAGUUAUGAAACGGAAUUCCCAAUUAAUCUAGUAUAUAAGGAUAAAAAAAACUAGUUUAAAAAAUUAAACUUGUCAGACUAGCAACAUAAGUCAAUCAGUCAAACAUGUGAAUAGGUCCAUAGACUUUAUAAAGUUUAAUAAUAACUUUUUUAAAAAACUAUUCUUUUUAACUAUAUAUAAAGUUUAAUAACAUAACUUUUUUUAAAAAAAAACUAUUUUUUUAACUAUAUAAGAAAAAAAUAGACAAUGAAAAAGUCAAGUUCAAUUAAAAAAAGAUAUCACAACAAACUCGUAAACUAGGAUAACCGGGUUAUCCUGGCAAACCAUGUUAACCUUAUAGAAAGGUAAAAUCUAAAGUUAUAAAGCUAAGAAGUGUUUACCAAAGUCGUGACAUCCAUUGACUUGAGUGAGAACAAUAGAAAACAAUGGUGAGUAGUUUCCGUGAGACAAAGUAACUGAACUUGACCAACCCCUGAAUCUUGUCUGAAGGGGUAACUACACAAUCCUUUGCAUCUUUGCAUGCAAUCAAUAACUAUAUUCUCUAUUGAGUUUUCAGCAUUGAUUCCACUCUGCUAUUAUAUGCUGUCCUCUGCCAUUUUAUUUUUUUAUUUUUUUAUCAAUUCUCUCAAGUUUGCUUAUGUUGCUUUCUGACUCUGGCACCUGAAGAAAUCAAGCAUAUGAUUGAUAAUGUUUUGCUGGUUAUAUGUACUUCCUAGAUCAAAGUUAUGAAGGAAACGUAUUUGCCUGAAAUAAAUGAAAUGUAUCAGAGAAUUGCUACCAAGUUACAGCAGGUAAAUUGUCUUUGUAAUUUUUUCUGAUUUAUUUGCUCACACAUGAUUCAUAAACCCCCACAGUUGAACUUUUGUAUUAAUUUUCCCCAUCAGCAUUGCUUGUCACUGUAUCAUCUGCACUAAUUACCCCCCCCCACCCCCAACCACCCCACAACCAUGCAUUGACACAGAAGAAUUGGAAUAGAAACAUUUUUUUCACUUAUGUUUUACUAGUUUAGCUACAAAGGGUCAACGCAAUUUUUAAUUCUCGUGUAUGUUAACUUUGCUUUCCAGCAUGACCCUCUUCCGCAACAACCGAAGUCAGAACAGCUUGAAAAGCUGAAGGUAUUCAAGGUCAUGUUGGAGCGCUUGAUAGCAUUCUUACAGGUCUCUAAAAGCAACAUCACACCUGCUUUCAAGGAGAAAUUGGGUUUCUAUGAGAAGCAGAUUGUAGGUUUUCUAAACCCAAGCAGAUACAGGAAGCCUAUUCCUAAUCUACAGCAAGGACAACUUCCCCAACCUCAUAUUCAACCUAUGCAGCAACCCCAAUCUCAAGUUCCUCAAUUGCAGUCCCAUGAAAAUCAACUGAAUCCCCAGUUGCAAUCAAUGAAUAUGCAAGGUUCUGUACCAAAGAUGCAGCAGAACAAUAUGUCAAGCUUGCUGCAUAAUUCGCUUUCAACUUUAUCUGGGGAUUCGACGUCACAAUCAAACAUGAUGAAUCCAAUACAACCAGGCUCCAAUUUAGAUUCUGGACAAGGAAAUGCACUGAGCUCAUUGCAGCAGACACCUGUAGGAUCUGUACAACAGAAUCUCGUGAGCAUUUCCCAACCAACCAAUGUUAACACAUUGUCAACACAAAGUGGGGCGAGUAUGCUGCAGCCAAAUAUUCCCCUUCAGUCGAAUUCCAAUUGAUUCAACACCAGCAUCUAAAACAGCAGCAGCAGCAGCAUGAACAACAACUGCAAACACAACAGCUUAAACGAUUGCAGCAACACCAGAAUUUAAUGCAGAAUCAACAGAUGCAGCAGCAGCAGCAAUUACACCAGCAAGCUCCAUCUCCUAUGCCAGGAGAUUCUGACAAACCAGUUUCUGGUAUUUCCUCACUCUUAAAUACUGGAAAUAUUGUACACCAACCAUCUGUUGCACAAGCACUGGCUCCCUCCCUUGCAAUUGGCACUCCUGGGAUAUCUGCAUCACCUUUGCUUGCAAACUUUACCAGUCCUGAUGGUGCUCAUGGCGGUGCUUUGACAACUGUUUCUGGCAAGUCAAAUGUUACAGAGCAACCACUUGAGUACUUGAUUGAAGCGGUUAGUGAUGCUCUCCUUUUGGUUUUACUCCACCCCACCCUUAUUUUGGAGGUUUCUGAAAAAGAAAACUUCUUUGUGAAUGAGAUGGUGAUGCUGUAAUUUUUUUUCCCAGGUGAAAUCUCUGUCUCCCAAAGCACUUAGUGCAUCUGUCGGUGACAUUGGCUCCGUUGUCAGUAUGAUUGACAGAAUUGCUGGUUCUGCAGCUGGUAAUGGAUCUAGAGCUGCAGCCGGUGAGGAUUUGGUAGCAAUGACAGGAUGUCAUCUUCUUUCCUUUUUGUCUUUUAUAUUUUUCACGUGUUUCUCACAAGAUGGGAACUCGAGGGAAUAAAAAGUGCUGCUGGAACUUCUUGUGUAACACAUCUUCUUUCGAUGAUGACCUCUUGGAUGGCUGCAUGAAGCUUGUUCCGCUUUAAAUUUCAAGGUUAAUCUAUUGCUAUGAGCACUGGUGUUUCAAUUUGAAACUUGAGUUGCAACUGAACUUAAAUGAAUGGUGUUGGAUUUGGGGCCUUCUAUUAGUUUUAACUUGUACAGGGUUGAAGUGAUAUUAAUCUUAAUAGUGUAUGGUUUCCUAGUUUCUCAGUCUGAAGUUGAAUGUUUUGGUGAUAUCUCGACAUCCAAAAUCACAUAGACAGCUACUGCUGGCACUUGCAGUAGCCAAUGAGCACUGUAGAGUAUAUAUUGCAGCGUGAGAUAAGGUUACGUCAUUGCAUUUUCAUAAAUUAAAGGGAUUUCUCUUCUUUUCUUUGUCAAUUACAGUGCUAUUGUAAUGUUUUCACAGAGUCCCCCCGGUUUGCAACUAAUUCACUUAUAUAUCUUGGAGCAUAGCCAUAGCCAUAAAUGGAAGGUUCUUCCGGUUCAAGAAAAUUAACCACGAAGCUCGUAACUAGAAUGGCCACGUAAACUCCUAUAUCCUGUUAUCUAGAACCUUAUUUAAUCUGCUGUGAUGAAACAUAAGCUAUAGGGUCAAGCCUGAUAUUAUUAGUGAAGUUUUUUUUUGUGUUUUUUUGUGAUAGGAACAUUAAAGAAAAAAAGUAUCCGGCUGGUUCAUGUGCGAAAAUAUGAGGCAUGUUAAGCAAUUGGACCAGACUAUCACAUAUCAAAAUCAUAUGUUUCAAUGAUACUUGUUGCAAGAGUCUCCUUAAACAAUCCAAUGUGCUUUACUUGAUAUGUUUUUUUUUUUUAAUCUCAUUUGAGUAACACAAUUGAGGUACCCUUUUCAGUUCAUUCGUAAAUCUUUCCAAAACUGAAAUUUUGGCAGGUAACUUUUGAUGGGUCAUUGGUGAUUGUAUUAAUUUGGCUACAUAAAUAGUGCAUACUGUGAAAUGAUGUUUGCUGGAGCAAUGGGGCUGGAUGAAGGAGGGGAUUUUCGAGCUCAACGAAGCAGUGGAUGUCUGGUGCAGCAGCUGCUCCAGAUGGUCCUCACUAUUGGGGCAGCCUAUCGAGAUUGUUUUCAGGGACUUUUUUAAAGACAUUGAAAACUACAAUCUUGCUUUGAUUAGUGUCAAAUCUAAGCUAAGAAAUCAUGGUUUUGUUAAGCUUUGCUAUCAUCAGAGGCUUGAUAAUGGAAGGAUUAUUGUACUCUCUUACAUACACAUAAUGUUGUGCUGAUGAGCCAAAGAAGUUCUCCAUAGACUCGCCAACUAAGAGGAAGUUAUCGACAUCCUCUUCAUGUUAUAACAUGAUUAAGUAAAGGUAAGAUAAAAACAGUUAAAAGAUGAAUAUGAAGUUUAAAAUGAAAGGGGAGAAAGCAAACCCUAAACUCAUAAGGAUCCAUUAAUCAAAUUUAGCAUGGGUUUUGAUGAUAGGGAAACAUCUGAUUAGAUGUGGCACUUAUUUGAUAAAAUAUUUGUAAGAAGAGUGAAAUAACAUUGCAAUGAUAACUGAGACGCAUAUAAUUACUUUUCAGAAUCUAAAAAAAAAAGAUUAACAAACAUCUUAUGCCAUUCAUGACCAUAUUAUAAAUUUUGAGGACUUAAAAGGUCUAUAAGUGCCAACAUUUGUCUAACAACAGCAGCAACAACGACCUAGACAAAAACUCCCUGAAACUUAAUCAUGUUAAUUUUCAAUAACGAAGAGGUUUUACAUGGUUAAGCAUGAACUCAACCAUAUUAAAAAAUCUGGACAGCCCCACUGCAAGAUGUUCAAUUCGUGCUUCGUACGUAAAAGAAAUACAAAGAUUCAGAUCCAUCCUAAAAACACACAUAACUUAUCAACCUCAACCUACAGGCAAACAAAGGUUGAAACUGAGGUAAGACAUCUAAAGCAAAGGACAUUUCAGCCUCUGUUUUUCCUGACAUUUUUUUUCAUCAAGUGACCUCUACAAAGACCUGCUGUAACAUAUAUGUAUGACCAACACAAACAAACAUGCAAAAAGAAAUUUUUUCAGGGGAACCCAAGUCGAAAAAACUUUUUAAAAAAGUGUUGUCUUCGAAAUCAAAGCCUUCUAUCAUCAUAUGAAAUUUUUUUAAAAGGAAAAUCCUCGUACAACCUAACACAAAGCAAGAAUCCAACAAAAUCAAAGACUAAUGAAAAGAAAGACCAAAGAACUGAAAACAAACCAAGGCUGGAAUUAAGGGAAGAAUCUAAAGCAAAAUGAAACUCCAGCCUCUUAUUUCCGCGGCACAAAGUUUUUUCCUCACCCAAGUUACCUCUAGAAAAACCUGUUGCAAUAUAUAUAUAUAUAUAUGGAUAAGCAACAUAAAUAAACAAGCAAAAACUAAAACUUUUUUAAGGAAACCCAUGUCGAAAAAACCAUAAAGACAAUGUUGCCUUUAAAAGCAAAGCUUUCUAUCAUCUCUAAAGGUAAAAAGAUGUGUUCCCAAGCACAAAAGAAAUAUUUUUUUCUGAGGGAAAAAACUUUAACAACCUAAUACAAAUCAAGCACCUAGCCUAGCCAAAACAAUUGAAGAAAAAAGGUCGAUCUAGACUUUUCCCAAACACGUAGCAUGCAAGAAACACAUGUAAAGAAAACCAAGUAAACUUCCUUUCAAGACACGUGCCACCUUGUGCGAAACAAAGACAACACCACCUCUAUAAAGAAUGGAUAAUAGAGGGCUGAAGCUAACCAAAAGACUAUGCCCAAGAAACCUCAUAACUGUAGCAAAAAAGGCAGCCAAAGCCUCAAUAAACACACAUAUAGCCUAACAAUGCAACAAAAAACAGAGAGACAAUCAACAAAGAGUAAGGCAUUUUCCGAAGAAACAAAGAAAUUUAAUACCCUAAACUAAGCAGCAGGUAGAAGGCAAAAACUGAGCGUAAAUUUUCAGGAAGGGACGAACAAAAAACACCAAAAAGAAGGUAGAGAAAAAUGCAGACUCAAAUUCACAACACCCAUUUUCUUUUCAUUGGAACACUUUAGAUAGUUUAUUAAAUUUAUAAUGAUCUGAUUUCUAUGCAUAUAUAAAAAUCAACUUAAUGAUCAACUCUCUAUAAUUUCAGCAUGACUAAAAAAUCCAAACUAAUAAACUAUUAAUUAUUUUAGUCAUUUUAAUAAACAUUUUAGUUAUAAGUGACAAAAUAUUUUCAACAAUUCAUAUUGAUGCAUUAACAUGUAAUUUUAGAUUGUUUAACUUAUUAGUUUCUUUAUGAGUUACUUAUUGUAAAGCAUGUUAUAUAUCUCUAAGCAUUUUUAUUUAAUAUAAUUAUGUCAAAUUCAUUUUUGCCCGAUGUAUAAUAUAAAAUAUUCAUGGCUUUAGCAUUUAUGAAAAGUAACUUUUUAUCGUUGUCCGUAUAUUUACUUAUAGUUUUAGAAAUUUCAAUACUAUUUUCAAUUUUUAUAGGUCCAUGAGAUCUAUUUUGUAUGGAUAACUACAAAUUAAAAUAAAUAGAUUCACGAUAAAUUAUCAUAAAACAAUUUAUUACCUACUCCUUGGUGCUAGCAAUGUAAUUGUAAUAUUAUUUUUCAAGCUUACUCAAUCUCUGAUUCUUGAUAACACAACCAAGAAUAAAUGAUGAACUCAAAUUUUUAUGUUACUCUCUGUAAGAAUUUUGACUCAAGAAAUGUAAAAGAGAAGAGUUUUAAAAAGAUUAGAAGUUUUCUUCAUUAUCAAAACUAUGUCAGAAUUUUCUCUUUUUAUAGGUAAUUUUGACAUUUAAUUUUAAAAUAACUUUUAAGACAAAAGAUUACAACUUUCUAGUUUAAAAGUAUACGAAUAUAUUUCAAGUAGAGUUUUAACAAACAUAACUUUUCAUCCACAUCCUAACAAUCCCUCCACGUGAUAAAAUAAAAUACAAAGUAGAUACGAAAAUAGAAAGUAGGAGCGAAAAGUCAUUGCAUCGAGCAAGAUAGGUUUUGACCUUGAACCUUCCAUAGUCGAACUAUUGGAUUCACUCGGCUAACCAGCGAAUAUGAUGUCUUGAGUUGUUUAGCUGUUUGUGUGAAACCAAAUAAUAGAGAUUACACAAUUCAUUUUCUUAUAAUUUUGGUUCUCACAGUUAUAUUCAUUUUGGCCUUGAAUACGUCUUGAUUUCAAAGAGCAUUAGAGAAUUUGCAUUAUCAAUUCUCAUAGAAGUGGUCUCGUUUCAAACUCACAUAGGUAAUUCUUAUUAAGAGUAUCAUGUAAUACUUCUCAAGCUAUAAAAGUCAUUAAAAGCUUAGCUUAUCCUAUUUUGCUGCUGAUAGCACUUUAUAUAAUAUAAAUGGGUAAGAGGGACACUAUUGAAUUGACAUAUGAUUUGGUUGUCUAUUUGAACCUAGAACUUGAAAUCUCCAAUAAACUAGAUAAUUCAUUGAACUAUCUUAAUCUCAUUCUCCUUAGUGAUUAUCGACUUGCUCUAUUGUUAAGUAUUUUAUUAGCGAAUCCAUGAUAUUAUCAUUUAACUUUACAUGGUCAAUAAAGAUAAUCUCAUUUUAGAUCGAUUAUCUUACAAUAUUGACAAUUGUAUCAAUAUAUAUAUAUAUAUUAUACCCUUUCAAUUGCAAAUUAGCUAUUGAAAAAUUACAAUAUUAUUUCUUGAUUUACUCAAUAUUUUUAUUUUUGAUAUUACAUCCAAGAAUAAAUAAUAAGCCAUAAUUUAUCUGAUAUUUUCUAUAAAAAAUUGGAUAAAAAAAAUAUAAUAAAAAAUGAGAUAUUUUAUUUUAUUUUAUUAGAUACAACAGAGUGUGCAACGAAAACAUGGUGGUAUUUAUUGAUUUUUGAAGUGGACUUUAAAUGAUAGUUUAAGAAAUGAAAUUUUGGAGAUAAGUUUUGAAUAAUUUGUUUGAUCAUGAUGGUAAGACUUCGGUUCUUAAAGUUUAAAUUUGAGGACGAAUUUUGUUUAACGGGGGAAGUGUUGUAAGACCCAAACUUUUGGCCCAAACCUAAGCCCAAGUCAGCCCAAACCCAACCUAAGUUAACCUAGGUAUUUAAGGAAGAGUUGAAAGAGAAUUACUUUUCUCUCUUCUAAUUCUUGUAACCGCCGUGACCCUCCCCUACUCAAACCUAAGAUUUUAGUUUUUGAUCUUGAGUUUUCGGUUCAAGAAAGGUGAAAUAGCAAGUAAGUGGUUCUCUUUCAUAUUACUUUUGAUUAUAGGUUGUUUAUGGAAUGAUUAAAGAAGAGAUUAGGGUUUUAAGGCUUAGAAUUUUAUGUUGUUAAGAUUGAUUUAUGAUUAUUAAGGGUUAAUUUAAUAUAGGUGAUUAAUUAGUAUGUUGUUAGAAAUAAGAAUUUGUGAGUUGAUUUGUUUAAAUUAAUUCUUAUGGGGUUAAGAAAUUCAUUUUUACCUUUCUGGAAAAUCUGGACGGAAUGGUCUUGAGGUUGAAGAUAAUCAAAUUUUAUUUUGGUCCUUGAUUUAUGAAAAUUUCAGUUUAGUCCCUAAACUUUGGAAAAUUACAAUUUGACCCCUAAAUGUAUUUUGAGAUUCUGGACAGUGUUAUUAUGAGGUUAAUGAUGAUGAAUCUCAGUUUUAUAAUUGAUUUGGAAUAUUUUUAGUUUGGUCCUUUAAUUUUGGGAAUUUACAUUUUAGUCCCUAAACUUCAUAAAAUUACAGUUCGGUCCCUGAUUCAUUCUAGACAGAAUUGAGGAUGGUUUAUGGGUGAAAUUUCAGUAUGGUUAUGCAUUUAUAGUUUGGUCUAGUUUUGAUAAAAUUACGUUUUGAUCCCUGUUUUGGAUAAUUGUCGUUUUAGUCCCUAAACCUAAGAGACUAAACAUGGUUUUAUUUUAUGCAUUGAAAUCUUUUAAUUGUGUUGCUUUGAGUUGCUUUUGAGUAUAUUUUGUAUAUUUAUUGUAGGUUCUCCUAACGAUCCUCAAUAGGUUUUUCGGGUCUUUCAUCUGAUAUUCCUUUUGGUUCUAUAUUUUCCGAGUGAGUGGGAUAAUCUUUAAUAUGCAUAUAUUAUAAAUAAAUAUGUAUGUUGAUUAUACAAUGAGUACAACUAGUUAAUUUCUUGAAUAUUUAUAUAUGUUGCUUUAUUGUCCGAGUACUCAUUUAUUCUUGAAUUUGCACUCGCAAUCUUCGAAUUAAAUUCUAUUUGAUAUGAUAUACGUUUCUUUGAUGAUUCUGUAAAUAUCUAUUAUGCCUUGAUAUAGGACCUGUCAGUAACUCCAUGCUAACGGAGAGUAGUUAGCCUAUGUGCACAUAGUAUUCUAUAUAUCUAGCUGGUGAGAGAGGCAUUAGCCUGUGGCAACUGAUCAUCCCACAGUGGUCACCUUCGGGUGUCAUCUGGUCAUUUUUUAGUGUCAUCUGGUCAUCUUCGGGUGUCAUCUGAUCUCUGACAUGUAUUCCACUACGUUAUGAUAAUAUGUUUAGUAUGUAUAUGUAUAUCAAGAUAAAUCAUCUUGCAAACUAUUAAUAUCUAAAAUAUCUAAAAUGUAUAUUAAAUAUUAUUCCCUCACUGAGUUGGUUGAACUUACCCCUCAUUCUUAAUAUUAUUUCAGGUUCUUAGUUUCUGAUAGCAGUUGGACUUGUAGAGUGUUCCUGCUUCUUCAAUUUUGGUCGGUAUGCCUUGCUUGUUUUGCGAGGCUUUCCUUUUAGUUUUGAUUCGAUGUCUUAGACACUCCACUAUUACCUUGUUUUAAUUAAGUUUGGAUUUUGACAAUGUAAUGGGUAUUAUAGAUUAUUGUUUUUGUUUUAAUUACUAAUGAGGAGUUUUAAACUAUCUUUUGGUUUUAUAAGUUUUGAAUAAUAUAAUAUUUCUGAAGAUUAUAAAAUGCUGCAUAUUUUUGAAUAAAUUGUUCUUUUGAUAUGUCUGUUCUAAGACUUAGCGUAGAUGAGGUGUCCUUUCGACACCGCUUCUACGUUGCCGAUCAUGGACCCGAGAUUCGGGUCGUGAUAUCUCUCCCAGGAUAGUGUGGAGAUUAGCACGGUUCAGUCGUGCUUGAUGAAAAAGAAGGAUACCCAUUACUGGACUGUUAGUGUCACAUCGUGGGUGAGAGAUUCGUGACAAUGAUCUGCUGCCGUUUCCUUUGAAUCGGUGGGAUGAAGGAGAUGAAUAGCUUGUUUUGAGACGACGCUUUUUCACCCGAAAAUGACUAUUUUAAUUUUGCCUCUAGAUUAGCUUUCGGUGUCAUUUACAAAACCGUUAUUGGUUUUCAAUUUAAUUAAUUUAGUUUUUAAUUCCUCUUUAACUUUUAAUUUUUUAAAAAAUUAUUCUUGAAAAAAUCAAUUAACCCCUUUAUAGUAUCACAAUCUAUUCACUUUGGUACUUGGAUUUUAAUUUCUUGCAAUGUUUACCCAAAUCAGCCCCAAACUUUAGUAUUUCUUCAAUUAAACCCCAACUUUUAUUAAUUAAACUAAUUCAAAGCUUAUGUAAGUCCCCAAACUUAUCAAUUCUUUCAAUAUCUGACCAAAUUAACUUCUAAAUUUAUAAUUACAUCUUUAUUGGUCCUUAAAUUCACAAUUUGUGUUAUCUUGAUCCAAUUCUCAAAUUAUUAUAUUUUCAUUUUUUAUUUUUAUUAAUUUUUUUAAAAAAGUUAAUAAAAUAGGUUAUAACACAUGAUAUAUGGUUGGUUUAAAGGAACCGAUUGAUUUAUAUAUCAGAUUACAAAUCGAGAGGAAUCACGGUUGUUUUAUAAAACUGCGAAAACUUUCAACCAUAGAUGUUUUAUUCAUGCGUGUUUGAAAUGUGAAUCAUAUUGUUUAUUCUUACUAGGAAAGGCCUUUUACCUGUUCCGGAAGCUCUGUUAGCAAUCUUUCUGUUACUAAUAUAUAUAUUUUUCAAUUCAAUUUUUCCUUCUCCAGGAAACAUUUUAAAUUCCUCUACAUCCUUAGGCUUUGGUUCUAUUGAAUGCCACCUUCCAUAAUCGACCAGCGCAGCUGCCAUUGGAUGAUUUGAUUUACUCUCGAUGCUUGAUACCCUGAGAAACUUGCAUAAACAAUAUUACUUGCCAGUGAAGAGUAAAGUUCGCCAUAAUUGAAGAAUUAUGGACCUAGUCUUCACCAAUAAAGUAAUGCUAGUGGAAUCACUGCUACGCCAGCUGUCAUGAAUAUGAACAGUGAACUAAAAUGAAAACUUUCCCACAAAAUGAAAGGUAGGAUUGUCUAGCAAUGGAGCUGACGGUUCAUUCUAAACGAAUGAUGUGAAGGGCUGUCCAAAUACAGUUUUUUGGGGGAAAAAAAGAAAAAUCCAACCACAUCAAUUUAAUAAAUAAAUUGAACCGAUUUGAAUGGCAUGUUCAAAUUAAAUGUUACGAUUCACAGUUUAAUUCAAUUCAUUUUUUUUUUAUUAAAAAACCCAAUUUCAUCCUUGGGUUUUUUAGUUGAUCUUUUUAGAUAGACUCUAAUGUAAUGUGCAUGGUUUUUUUUUUUUUUAGGUUUUUUUAAUUUUUAAUUUUUAAAAAUCAAUUGUUUGGUUUCAUUCCGGUUUAAUUAUUUUUUAUUCUCUUAAAUCUAAAACAAAUUUAAGAUCUUUUAAAACUUUCUAAUCGUUUUUUUUUAAUUUGAUAUUGGUUGGUUUUUUCAAUUAAUUUUAUGUUGAUUUUUUAAAGUUAUUUGGUUAUUUUAUUCACUCAUGGAUAUAAGUAUCUCGUUAUAAGAACUAAAAAGAAAAAAAACAAUUACAUGUCGCAGCCAUGUUUUCACAUGGCCUCCGUAAAGUUCGAACAUUGAAAUGGACUCUAGACAAUAAGAAACUGUUUGUAAUUUUAGCAGAAUUGUUUUUUAAAAUGUUUUUUUGUUUAAAAUUAUUAUAAUAAUAUUUUUUAAAUUAAACAUCAAUAUAUCAAAAUCAUCUAAAAUAUUAAAUAAAUUAAUAUUAUUAUUUUUUUUUGAAAAUCCGGUUAACUGCAGGGUAAAGAUGUGUUUGAAGUAUGGUAGUGGUAGUUUUUCAAAGUGAUUUUUACUCGAAAAUAUAUCAAAAUAAUAUUUUUUAUUUUUAAAAAAUUAUUUUGACAUCAGCCCAUCAAAACAAUGUUCAUAAAAUUGAGCAUCAACCUAAAAAUAAACACUUAUUUGAAAACAUUAUUCCUCGAAAGCAAACAAAAAGCAAUAAUGCAGUUCAGUUACUAACCAAAUCAAUAUUAAAUGAUAAAAUAAAAUAUUAAAAACAAUUAAAAGACAAAAAAAAUAUAUUCUAAUGGUGGGUAAACUCAUCAAACCUGUAAAUCGAGUAAGCCGAGCUAAUAUGUAAAACCUGUAAAUUGGGUCAUAGACUCUACUAGAAUUAUAAUUUAUUUUUUAAUUAUUUUUUAUUUAACUAUAUGAUAAUAAAAAUAGAUAAUUACAAAAUCAAAUACCAACUUAACACCGAGAUUUUUUUAGCUCGUGAUAACAUCACAAAAUGUGAAACAAAACCAAUUAUGAAACUAAAUUUACAGUUAACUCAAUAUCCAAUAAUGAAAAAAAAAAUAAUUUAAAAAAGUUAAUCUUGUCAAAUCCACGAACCAAGUUAACUAGCCAAACAUAUCCUGAAAUUUAUAAAGUUUAAUAAAAUAACUUCUUUUAAAAUUUAUUUUUUUAACUAUAUAAGAAAAAAAUAAACGAUAAAAAAAUCAAGUUUAAUUAAAAAAAAAAGACACCCCCACAAAACUCAGUAAAUUAGGGCAACUUAGGUUACCUAGCAAACCCAUAAACUAUGUUAACCUUAUAGAAAUGUAAAAUAAAAAGAAACAAAUUAUAAAGUUAAAUUCUCAACCAUCUUAAUAUUAAAAGAUAAAAUCGACAAAAAUAAAUUUGAGAAAAAAUCAUAACAAAAAUUAAAAAACAAAAAGAAAAAUGAGAGAAAGCAAAACACUAUGAUUACUAUUGUCAUUCAUAAUGCAAUCUGUGUAGGUGAAUAAUGGUUUUCUCACACCCUUUAAUUUUUGUUAUUGUAUAAAGUUUAAUAACAUGAUUUUUUAUAUAUAUUUUUUAAUUAAAUGAGCAAAAAAACUCAUAAAAAAGUCGAGUUUAAUUUUUUAAAAAAAAACAACAAAAAAAAAAAAACUCGUAAACCAGAGCACCCUAGGUUACCUUAGCAAACUCGUAAACUACACUAAUCUCAUGUAAAGGAAAAUCAAAAGAAGCAAAUUACAAAGCUUAUUUUUCAACAAUUCUAAUUUUAAAAGAUAAUAUUGAUAAAAAUAUAUUGAUAUCUGAUUUCAGUCUGAUUAUCUGCGUAAAAUAUCUCAGAAGAUGUUUGCAAUGGAGAUCAAGUCUCAAAAUACCAUACCCACUGGCAAUGGAUCGAGAUUUGACAAAUUAAUACAAUGCUGUAGCCAAACUAAUACAAUCACCAACGACCCAUCAAAAGUGAAAUGAUGUUUGCUAGAGUAAUGGAUGUCUAGUGCAGCAACUGCUCCAGAUGGUCCUAGCAGUAUAUCGAGAUUGUUUUCAGGGACAUUUUUAAAGACAUUGGAAACGACAAUCUUGCAGCGAUUAAUGCCAAGUAUGAACACGUCAAAUCUAAGCUAAGAAAUCAUGGUUUUGUUGAGCUUUGCUAUCAUCAGAGGCUUGAUGAUGGAAGGAUUAUUGUACUCUCUUACGAACAUAUAAUGCUGUGCUGAUGAGCCAAAGAAGUUCUCCAUAGACUUCCUAACUAAGAGGAAGUUGCCAUCUAUUUCUAACUCAACAAGGAAAAGAGUCUUGGGCAAGUCAAACAUGAAUUUUGACCAGUUAGGAAACCAAUGGCUGGCAUGUUUUUGGGUGUUUUCUUUUUUUGUUUUCUGAGAGCCAUAACUGGCAUUUUUGUUCUCUCAUCAAGUGCAGACGACACCAAAGGCAGAACACUCUGGUGUUCUUGACAAUUCGACACAUUGCUUUCUGAGGAUUAGGUGAAUAUGGUUCAGUCUAUGCCAUAAGUAUGUCAAGCUACCAUUAUUUUUUAUUUUUAUUUUUGUAUUCUUUUUUGAACAGUAACAAAAUUCAUUAAUUUAGGAAAGGGCAAAGCCCAGAUAACAAAUAACAUCCACACUUGCAAGGAUUUAUUCGUCAGGGAUAUUGAUUUGUUCGUAUCCUAUCUCUUUGAAAAAAAAUGUGGAUUAAUUAAUCUAUGCUCAGUAUAGUAUUUCCAGGACUAUUCUUUCUUUAAUAUGUUAAUUAACACCCCGAGCCUGCCCAGUUUUUUUUUUUUUUUUUUGUAGUUUGCUAAUGUGAUGUAGAAUUAUAUAUAAAUCAAUCUCAUCAGAAGAUGCAAAUAUGGGCAUAAAAUAUAUCGUGGGAACUUCAAUUUAGUCGCUGAAAUAUACUUAACUUCAUAAAAAUUGAAUUCUCAAAUAUUAAGAAAGAAAUACAAUACAAAAUAGCAGACUAUACAUUACAUUCAGGUAAGAAUUCACAUCCAUGCCCGUAUAUAUUAAAGCACUACUAUCUUGGUGAUAAGCUGCCAGCUGCAUUCAUUUUCUUUUUUUUUUUCUGACAAAUAUACUUGUUAAGUUACAUUGCAUACAAGUAAGAAUUCAUAUACAUUCCCAUAUUAAGCUCUAUUAUUUUUGUGAGCUUCGUCCAUUUUCUUGAUUUCUGACGAGUAUAUUUAUCGGCGAAAGACAACAGAAAAUUGUGCAGACCACACGUUUAUCCACAAUGCAGCAAAACAAACACUAUUCUGCAGAAGCUUUAAAUGACCAAUCCACGGCUUUCUCCAGUCUUGGAGUUUCUACUGCAUAUACAAUUGUUAAAAGAGCCAAUUUGUUAUUAGUCUUGGAAACAAAAACAAUAUAGAGAGAUAUUUUUUUUAAAAAAAAAAACGAGACUGCUUCAUAGUUUCUGCAGUCUUUACAAGAUGAGUGCUAUUCAUUUUCAAGUAAUACAGGAAAGCAUGUAUGAUAAGUAGUGGAUAUAAACUUUGAAUGUACAGUAAGUAUAUUCAAUGAAUGCAAUAAAAAAAAAAUUUCAACGAAAAUGAAGUGAAUGAAAAUUAGUGCACAAAUCAAGUGUUCAGGGGUUCAAAUAUGAGCCAUAGUAAGUUGGAGACUUGGAUUAUCGACAUUUAGUUUCCACUAUCCUUGAGUUAUUAUUAAAUUAAUUUCACAAACCAAGUUAAUUGGUUACUAAAUGUAUACAAAAAAUUAUUAGGCGAUUUUUUUCCCCCAAGAAUCAAAGUCUAAUAACAUUUUAAAUUUCAAUUUCAUGAUUGUUAUUUUUUAAUUUUAACAAAGUAUCAUUAAAGAGGUAUUUAUAUGAAAGCAAGUUAAUUUUAUCCAUUGGUUAAUCUUAAGAAUUAGUGGUAAGCCAGAUUUAAAGGUGGAUACAGUUCAAAUUUCAUAUCUUUACAAGGGAAGUUGUAAGAGGGAUGGUUGGAUCAAGCAUUGUAGUCAAAGCAUCUACAAAAGAUACUCCAGCAAAAGCAACUUUAAACAAAUCAGGCCUCAUAUUAAGGACGGAGCCGAUAAGCAACCCCCCUGCAUUCCUUCCUUCAAUACACAGUUUUUCCUUUGCACAGAACCUCUGUUCUAUUCAAUACUCAGCACAUGCAAUAAUAUCCGUGAAAGUAUUCUUUUUCUUUAAGUACUUCCGAUUCUCGUACCACUGCCUUCCCAUUCCACCACCUCUACGAAUAUAAUACCCCAAGCUAUAGAAGUCAAAAUCAAGAAUAAAAAAUAACUAAAUCAUAGCUAAUCUAGCUUUUUAAUAGUGUAAAUUUUUUUAAAAAAAAUUUAUAAUGGAGAAAGAUAAACAAAAUCAGAAAGCAGGGCAGGUUGGGGGAUUUGGAUCUUUGCCCAAAACUUUUGUGAUGUUUUGAAAAUAAAAGUGGAUAUAAAAAGGUAACAAAGGGGCUUGGAGGCUUGGAAGGAGGUAUAAAUUAUAAAACUUGAUAUAUAUAUAUAUAUAUAUAUAUAUAUAUAUAUAAAGGAAAUAGGGAUCUGAAAAUUGAGGGUGAGUGACAGCAGGAGAGAAGAAAAGGGAAAGAAGAAAAAGAGAAAAGAAGGAAAGAUAAAGGAAGGAAAAGAGAGUUAAAGAAAAUAAGUAUAAAGGUAAAAUUUAGGUUUUGAUAUGCAUAAAUGUUCUUUUUUUUAGCUUUAAAUUUCUGUUUUGUUGAAAAUUAGUGUUUUGAAAAUUUUGUUUUGGUUGAUUGAUAAAUUAAUUUCAAUGUUAUGAGUUGUUUGUUACGAGUAAUUAAUUAUAUAGUUGAUUUUGAAAGAUUUUAGGUAAAAAUAAUGAUUUUGAGUUAUGAUUUGUUUAAAUGAUGAAUUUGAGUUAGAAAUCUUGAUAUAAUAGUAGGUGAUAUGUGGAAAUUCUGGUUUGAGGUUGAAGAUGACAAACUUCCAGUUUGGUCCCUUAAUUUUUAAAAAAUUACAGUUUAGUCCCCAACCUUUGAAAACAUUACAUAUUGGUCCCUCAAUUUGUAAAAAUUACAGUUUCAUCCCUCAAUUUGUAAAAAUUACAGUUUAGUCCCCAACCUUUGAAAACAUUACAGAUUGGUCCCUGGAGCAUAGUCCGACAUGAAUUUAUGACAUUUUCAAUUUGGUCCUCCCAUUUGGUGAAAUUACAAUUUGACCCUAAAAAUUUGAUAAAAUUCCAGAAUGAUCCCUGGAGCAUAAUUAGAGAUUCCGGACAGAAUUGAGGAUGAAUUUCCAGUAUAGUCAUGAAUUUAUGACAUUUUUAGUUUGGUCCUCUAAUUUGACAAAAUUAUAAUUUGACCUCUAAAAAUAUGAUAAAAUUCUAGAUUGGUCCUUAGCUUUAAUAUUAGUUUUUUUCAUAUUGGUUUGAUGAAUAAUUGAGAGUCAUUUAGUGAAUUAUCAUCAAGUUUUAUUAUUUGUUUUCUUAUGACUUAGGGUUUCGGGAAAACCGUUUAACUUUUUUGUUUUUGAAAAACAUUACUAGUUGAGUUCAAAAAUAUAUAAGGUUAUGGAAUAAACUUUUAGUUAAAUAUAUUAAAUAAGUUGUAUAUUCUUUUUUUUUAUAAAAAUCAAGAAUCUUUGAACAGUUUGAAGGUCUUCGUAACCUCAAGAGGUAAGUAGCACAUUCACAUCAAGAUUGAUGAGAAUUUCUUCAGCUAAGUAAUUGGUAUAGCAACUUCACUUUCAGAGAUUAUUCUGUAUGUUCCACUGUUUUUAUUCAUGAAUAUUUUCAUGGCAAUAAUUGCAUGAAACAAUGGACCAUCUCUUCAACUGCUGAGCUUUCCUUUAUAUUUGCAGCUGUAAUUUGGGAUAGCAAUGUCUCUGACAUGAAGUUUGGAUGGCUUGAUCUCUUUGCAUCAAGAAUGUCAAGUUACUUAAAUGUAUUAUUCACAAGGUGACUACAAGAGACACAUUGGAUGGUGCUGGGCCCAUGAAAGCUUGAUCUGUUUUUUGUUCGUUGUUCAAUUGAGGAUUUGUAGAUUGUUCCGUUCGAUCCUCUGUCCUUGGAUCAUUCAUGGGUGUUUUGACAUGUACUUAUUUCACUCUUAAUAAAGUAUUUCCCAUUAUUAGUGCUUAAUUUUUCAAUCCAAACCUUGGUUUUUUACCUGGAUCAAUUUGAAUCUGAAAGAAGUACCAAAAUCUAGUGUUUCAAGUACUCAGUGGUUGCAGGGGACAGCUCUCCUUCCUUCGAACUCUGGUUCGAGUCCCAGUAAAAGUGGGGCUGGAGAGUUUGUUCCCCUCGUCUCUAUUGAGUCCUCCCUGUACGGUAUGCUUGUCAUCCCCGCGGUGCCUUACAUGCUCACUGGGUUUGCAGGAUGUUCAGUGAGCCGUGGAAUUAGUCGUGGUGCGCGCAAGCUGCCCGGACAACCACGUAAAAAAAAAAAAAAAAGUUAACAGAAAUAAAUGUACCUUUGCCUGUCCCUUCAACAAAAUGCUGAGCUGUAUAUUAAUUCUCAGAGGCAGUGAUAACUAGCUGUUCUAACUAAUCCCUAUACUUUUAAAUAUUUUUACAAUGCGGUCCCUUCAUUAAUUUUUCGUUAGUAAGAUGUUGAGCUUUCAGCAAUAUUUCCUUAGUUUGUGCCGCUAACUUAACGGUAAAAUGUAAUUCAAGGAUCAAUUAGUUAUUUGAAUGAACUUGAGGGAUUAAUCUGUUUGUUUAACACAAAUACAGACACUAGUUAAAUAGAAUUUAACUCAAAUUUUAAUUAUCAUAUGCGUGCGUGCGUGCGAGCGAGCAAGCUAGUGUUUACUCGUUAAUUUUUUUAGAAGGAAUCUGGAAAAGAAUAAAGUCAUCCAUUUCACUUGGGCCCAGCAUUCCUCACCUCUCCCCGCCCGAGCUCUCACUCCCUCCCUCCCUCCUCCGCCUCUCGGAAACCGCCGCCGCCAAGAAGGCUUCAGAUUUCUGCCAGGUGCUUCUAUUUCUAUCAUGUUUUUGUUUUUAAAAUUUAUGGGUGUUUUCAUUUAUUUUAUUGUAAUUAUUACUCAGAGACAGAAAUUCUAUUUUAAUAAGUAAAUUAAAAAAAAAUAAUCGAUCCGAUGAAAUCUCUGCUAGUGAACGCAAUUCGAAUUUAAUAAGUAAAUUAAAAAAUAUAUAUAAUCGGAUCCGAUGAAAUCGUUGCUCGUGAACGCAAUUCAAAGAAACGCACAAUCAGCCGAUUCUAAUAAUUUCUUUUUCAAUUUUUUCCCCUUAAUUUACAUGAUAUUAUCCGAUUUUUCUCACAGUUAUUGUUGUAAUAAUCAAGCCCUGAAUUCUUGAACCCAAAUUUAUUUUAUUUUAUUUUAUUUUUUAGUGGAGAAUAGAAAUCAAUUCAAAUCUUUUAGGCUCGAUCGAUAAUUUGUUAAUUAGUUUAUGCAGCAGCUGGAGUGGAAGAGAUAUUACAGCCGGAAUGGCCGAAAAAUGAGCUGUUUGGUGGAUUCUUCUUUUUUGGAAUUUACUGAAUUCUUCAAAAUUAUUGUGUUCUUAACAACAAUACGAUAUCCUUGGGUUUUAUGCUCGCUCACACAUGGAAACAAGAAAGAAAGAAAAGAACUUUAAAUUUUAUAAUUUGGUCAUGUUAACGUGAAAAAAAUAAAAAUAACAGGUCUGCCUUGAUAACCCUACAUGAUAUAUCUUUCUUUUUAGGACUGCUCAGCUGGUCUUGAGUAUGAGGUGAAAGCUUGAGUAGGACAGAUAGUCCUAACCAAGGACUGUAUUGUGAUUGAUUGAGUUGAAAGUUAAGAGCAUGUGAAAGUGUAAAACAAAUGACCUAGUUCACUUCACCCCAAAGGCGCACCUGUGCAUCUAGUUAGGAAGAACAUUUUAUAACUUACCUCAAGGUCGAGCAUGGUCAAGGUUAUUGUGUUGUCAAUUCCGAGAAAGAUGUGCCUGCAAAUUUAAUCUUAUUUCAACAAGAGUUGUUAAGUUGAUUCUUAUCAGUCUGCUCUUUAGAGUUGAUGAUAACAUGAAAUAUUCAUGGUUAAUGCUUGUUGUUUUCUUCUUCAUUUUCCUAGCUUAAAACAUCCUAGACAAUCUCUUCAUGUUCUAUUUUCUGGGAUAUUUAGACUGCUGAUAUUCAUCGGGGAUUGAAAAGCCUUGUUUUAUUACUUUGUUUUGUUUUCUUCUUCUUUCUUUAUUCUUUUGGGGAUGUGGUAUUCUCCUCUUUCUAUUUACACUAUUUCCUCCACACAACAUUUAUUCUUUCAGAAAAGUUAAUUCAUACAUAAAUAACAAGAACGGGGGGGUUUGACGGUAUGUAUUUGGUUGCGAGUAAAAAUUGGUAAGCACUCGAAAAAGGUCCUGUGCUGAAUCUAAAUUGGUAAGAUGUGAUAUACUGAUAUCUAGAAAGAUAACUUAAUCUAUCUAUUGAAGUAAAGCAUUUAAAUGCGUAUACAAUGUUUUUGGAACAUUAAAUAUCUAUUUGAUCAGAAUCUGUGAACCUAAAACCACAAUGAAUACAAAUGCAAGUUUGUCAUUGUAAACAUUGCAUCAAUGAUGCAUCACGAGUGUUGCUAGAAAACAUCAAGUUAAAAUUGAAGCACCAUGAGUUUCUCUAUGGCUUGGUUUACCAACACUCACCAUCUGUUGGUGCGGCAAUUUAUGAACUAGCUGGCUAGUUUUUUGCUUCCUUGGUUUUAGAAGCACCAUGAAGAUUCAGGCCCAAAUCUUGCUUAUAAUACCCGUCUACCUGAAUACCCAAGAUCCUAGCACCUUGCCUUGAAUGGUCGUGUAUAUUUGUUAUGGCUGUUCAGAUUUUAUGCAUCCAUAUUUGGUAGAAUUCUUUAAUAAAGUACAUGCUAUUAGAUGGAAGUUCUUUUUAAAUCUAUUCAAGUCUGAAUAAACUGAUAUUCCAAUUUUCAUGACUUUGAUGUGCUCUUACUCUUCUGUUGUUCCUGACUUUCUUUUUAGGGUCUAUUCUAACAUGCAAUAUAAUUAAUUUUUUUUUUUUGUGAUAGAAGUGAUUUUUUUGGUUGGCCAAACCCCAUGGAUGCCAAUAAUUGGAGGUCCACUGCCCCAGGUGGAGAACCUGUGAUGGACACAGGUGAUUGGAGAACUCAACUGCAACCUGACUCACGGCAAAGAGUAGUCAACAAUAUGUAAGUAUCUGUUUCCUAAUAUGUGCAAGUGCUGCAAAAUAGUAAAUCUUGUAUUUAAAUGAAAGAAAAAGAGAAGGGCAAAAGGUUAAUUAAAAUCAGCAGGACUGCCAUGAGGCAACCUCAAGUAUCAUACACCUCUGUUUUUGUCUUUUUCAUUUUUCACGUGUUUCUCACAAGAAGUGAACUUGAGGGAAUAAAAAGUGCUGGGAAGUAAUUUUUGUUUGAACUUCUUGUGUAACAUAUUGUUUUGAUGAUGACCUCUAGGAUGGCUGCAUGAAGCUUGUCCGCUUUAAAUUUCAAGGUUAAUCUAUUGCUGUGAGCAUUGGUGUUUCAAUUUCAACCUUGAGUUGCAACUGAACUUAAAUGAAUAGUGUUGGAUUUGAGCCUUCUAUUUGCUUUAACUUCUACAGGGUUGAAAUGAUAGUGAUCUUAAAGUACAAAAGCAGCUGACAAAAAUCAUUUAGCCACAAUAGUGCAUGGUUUCCUAGUUUCUCAGUAUAAACUAUAAAGUUGAAUGUUUUGGUGAUAUCUCUACAUCCAAAUUCAUAUAGACAGCUAGUGUUGGCACUUGCUGUAGCCAAUGAGCACUGUAGAGUAUAUAUUGCAAAGUGAGAUAAGGUUAACUCAUUGCAUUUUAAUAAAUUAAAAGGAUUUCUCUUCUUUUCUUUGUCAAUUACAGUGCAUGUAUAAAAGUUUUCUUACUCAGACUAAAUGCUAUUGUAAUGUUUUCAUAGAGUUCCCCUGGUUUGCAACUAAUGCACUUAUAUACCGUGGAGCAUAGCCAUAGCCAUAAAUGGAAGGUUCUUCCAAGAAAAUUAACCAUGAAGCUCGUAACUAGAAUUUUAGACAGAAGGGUGGCCAACUGAACUACUAUACCCUGUACCUCUGGAAUAAUACGGGGAAAGGAAGUAAAAAUAGAUGUCUGUAUGUUGAUGCCAUAUAUUACUUGAUCGACACUCGGCUAUAUCAUUAUUUGUUUUUACUUUUUGCUAAUGAUUCCGUUGUAUACAUUUCUGAUAUUGGUGUGGUGUAUGAGUUCACGGUUCUUUCUCACUGCUGCUAACUUCUCUAUACCUGCCUUGUCAUUAAAAACUAAAUGUAAUGUUUUACAUGUGUAGAAUGGAGACAUUAAAGAGGCAUCUUCCGUUUUCUGAUCAAGAGGGAUUACAAGAACUCAAGAAAAUUGCCGUACGGUUUGAGGAAAAGAUUUAUACUGCUGCUACCAAUCAGGUAUUCGGCUAAUGCUAGGUUCAAUAAUUUCGAUACUCUCUAGACAUGAAUAUACACAUGCAUAGGUUCAAUAAUUUCGAUAUUCUCUAGACAUGAAUAUACACAUGCAUAAGUUUGUGGAUUUAUGUAUGUACACGUGUGUGUAGUGUGUCCACACCUCCUCACUGGUCAUUUUGUAGAGGUUCUCAUCUUUUCGUUAAUUCUCUUGGCAAGUGUUUUAUUUAGAGUGACCAAGGUCCUUUUCAAGUACAAGGGAAGUGUGCAAAAUGCAAAUAACGAAUCAAUACAUAAAUAAUUAAAUAAAAAGAGAGGACACAGAAGUAUAUCCUCACAGAAGAUGCAAAUACAAAGAGCCUAGCAUAUUAGAAAGAGCAUAAAUCCCUUUUCCCCCUUCUCUUGUAACAUGGAUUGCGCAGAGAUCUAAUCUUUUGUUAUUGAUAUCUGAUUUCAGUCUGAUUAUCUGCGUAAAAUAUCUCUGAAGAUGCUUACAAUGGAGACCAAGUCUCAAAAUACCAUACCCACUGGCAAUGGUAACAAACCCCUGGAUCCAGGAGGUAAUAAUGCAGCCAAGCAUUGAAUUUCUAAACAUCCUUACCUUUUGUUUUAUAUUUCGCAUUGUUAUCAAACUCUUUUACAUUUGAUUGCUGCAUAUUGCUAUGUAUAUACCAUGCUUUAAUAAAAAAGUUGAGUAAUUGAUGAAUGUUCAAAAAAAUUACAGAUUAUUUUUGUACUUUUAUGCUUUGAGGUAAAACCAUCUUAAUUAUUUCCCUCAUAACUUUACGUGUGAACUGUCAUUGUUUCAUUUGUUUUUCUUGCUCAAUGCCUUCUUUUUUUCCUUUGACAUGGUUUUCCUUUUUGCCUUCUAUCUUGAACAGCAUCUCAUAGUAUGCCGCCUCAAGCUCACAACCAAGGGCAGUCGCUCCCUAUCUCAUUGCCCACUAAUCAGUCUCAAGCAUGUCAGCAGUUAUCACAGAACAUGCAGAAUAGUAUAUCAUCUAAUGCCUUCUGUUUCCGGUUUAACCCAGACUAUCUCAAACACUGUUGGACAGAAUGCUAACAUGCAGAGUAUCUCUGGUGUUUCACAUAACCCAGUGGGGAAUUCAAUGGGACAAGGGAUUCCCUCCAAUAUGUUUGUCAAUUCUCAGAGACAAAUGCCAGGCAGGCAACAGGUUGUUCCUCCACAGCAACAGCAGCAGUCCCAAAAUCCUCAGCGGUAUCUUUAUCAGCAGCAGAUACAACAACAGCUUUUAAAGCUCUCAUUUUGAAUUUAUCGGACAUGAAUUUUAAAAAUAUAUGUAUAACUGGACAAUGCAUUUGACACUAUGGUAACUAAUCAUCAGCCAAUUGAUUUUUAUGGGAAGAAAGAAAUUAGCAAGUGGACUAACUCUGAGGCACUUAAGGUUUGGUGUGCUGAUAAAUCAUCACCUUGCUGGAAAAUCUCAUGGUCACCUCCUCGAUGCUAAUUCUGUAAGGCAUGUGUAGUGUUUCAUCCUUAACUUGUUAAGGAACAAGGACUGUGAUGCAUGGCUAUCUAUAUUUUAUGAUUGAGAUGGUUUUUUAAAGAUUUUCCUGGUUAGGAGGUAAAGUGUCACUUUUGUGCUUUUCUUCCAUGAUAAAUUGUUUGAGCCUUUUUUUUAAUAUAUAAUGAUCACUUGUUGGAGGGGGUCUCUCUGUCUGUUUGAAUGAUUACAUAACGUUGAGAUGGAGUUCCUAGUACUCCAAGUCCAAAAAGGACUUGUAUUCCUAUGUAAGAAAAUACUAAUGGUCUAUCUAGGAUAGGGAAAACCUAUUAAAGCUCCUUAUUCUUUAGGAACAAUAAAAUACUAAAUAGAAAUAAAACCAAGACCUACAAUAUUCCAUAAUUUUCAGCAAGUGUGAAAAUUACAGAAAUACCCUUGUGUGCAGAAAACAUUCAAAAAAUACAUGAAUUCUAAUCUUUUGUUGGCUGUAUCAAAAUUUUUGUAGCAUCCCUAGAUUCUACAGCAGAGACUGGACAUGCAAAUGGUGCUGAUUGGCAAGAGGAGAUCUACCAAAAGGUAAUUUCUGUAGUUUACUGUUCAUGUAUGUCAUCGUCUUGCAAGAUUUCAAUGGAAAAGGUCUCCUGGAAUUUGGUACAAGGGAGUUUUAUUCAGCUAUGGUUGUGAUUAGUUAGGAAGCAUUGUAAGUUCCAUGAUUGCCGUAACUAAGAAACGAUAAAUUACUGAUAAGAUGAUUAAAGGUAAAUAUUCAGAUUUCUAGGUCAAGAGGGUUAUUUUCUUGGUACUGACAAUUUUUUCUAUUGCAAAUCUCUCCCUUUCAAUUUUUUCCCUGUAUUUCCAUACAUUUAUUUGUGUGGUGAAUUAUUAUUUUAUUAUUUCCAAUAAGUCCAAUUGACAAUACUUCUUACUAUAAUAGACAGACUAGAAAACAAGAGUGAAUUGUUUCUGAAUAGUCAUCGUUAUAUUUGGUUAAGUGAACAGUUAUUUUCAGGAUUACAAUCAAAUUUGUUCUGAAACAUGUGACAAUGGAAGAAAGGAAAAUAAGUGGACCUAAUCCAUUGAAUCAUGACCAUGUCCAGUAUUGUUGAAUUUUAUAGAAAACGAGGUUGAAAUUCUGAAUCGUUUAAUGGCUGUAGUUGCAAUUCAUAACUGCAUAUUUGAUGAGGUCAAUUUUUUUGUGCCUGGGAGGGUACUAAAACGGGAAUAGGAGUGGUUGUUGAUAAUUAGGAUAUAAGGGUUAUAAAUCUAAAGUUAUAAAGCUAAGAAGUGUUUACCAAAGUCGUGACAUCCAUUGACUUGAGUGAGAACAAUAGAAAACAAUGGUGAGUAGUUUGCCGUGAGACAAAGUAACUGAACUUGACCAACCCCUGAAUCUUGUCUGAAGGGGUAACUACACAAUCCUUUGCAUCUUUGCAUGCAAUCAAUAACUAUAUUCUCUAUUGAGUUUUCAGCUUUGAUUCCACUCUGCUAUUAUAUGCUGUCCUCUGCCAUUUUAUUUUUUUAUUUUUUUAUCAAUUCUCUCAAGUUUGCUUAUGUUGCUUUCUGACUCUGGCACCUGAAGAAAUCAAGCAUAUGAUUGAUAAUGUUUUGCUGGUUAUAUGUACUUCCUAGAUCAAAGUUAUGAAGGAAACGUAUUUGCCUGAAAUAAAUGAAAUGUACCAGAGAAUUGCUACCAAGUUACAGCAGGUAAAUUGUCUUUGUAAUUUUUUCUGAAUUAUUUGCUCACACAUGAUUCAUACAGUUGAGCUUUUGUAUUAAUUUGUUUUCCCCAUCAGCAUUGCUUGUCACUGUAUCAUCUGCACUAAUUACCCCCACCCCCACCCCCAACCACCCCACAACCAUGCAUUGACACAGAAGAAUUGGAAUAGAAACAUUUUUUUCACUUAUGUUUUACUAGUUUUGCUACAAAGGGUCAAUGCAAUUUUUAAUUCUCAUGUAUGUUACCUUUGCUUUCCAGCAUGACCCUCUUCCGCAACAACCAAAGUCAGAACAGCUUGAAAAGCUGAAGGUAUUCAAGGUCAUGUUGGAGCGCUUGAUAACAUUCUUACAGGUCUCUAAAAACAACAUCACACCUACUUUCAAGGAGAAAUUGGGUUUCUAUGAGAAGCAGAUUGUAGGUUUUCUAAACCCAAGCAGAUACAGGAAGCCCUAUCCUAAUCUACAGCAAGGACAACUUCCCCAACCUCAUAUUCAACCUAUGCAGCAACCCCAAUCUCAAGUUCCUCAAUUGCAGUCCCAUGAAAAUCAACUGAAUCCCAGUUGCAAUCAAUGAAUAUGCAAGGUUCUGUACCAAAGAUGCAGCAGAACAAUAUGUCAAGCUUGCUGCAUAAUUCUCUUUCAACUUUAUCUGAGGAUUCUACGUCACAAUCAAACAUGAUGAAUCCAAUACAACCAGGCUCCAAUUUAGAUUCUGGACAAGGAAAUGCACUGAGCUCAUUGCAGCAGACACCUGUAGGAUCUGUACAACAGAAUCUCGUGAGCAUUUCCCAACCAACCAAUGUUAACACAUUGUCAACACAAAGUGGGGCGAGUAUGCUGCAGCCAAAUAUUCCCCUUCAGUCGAAUUCCAAUAUGAUUCAACACCAGCAUCUAAAACAGCAGCAGCAGCAGCAUGAACAACAGAUGCUACAAACACAACAGCUUAAACGAUUGCAGCAACACCAGAAUUUAAUGCAGAAUCGACAGAUGCAGCAGCAGCAGCAGCAGCAGCAAUUACACCAGCAAACUCCAUCUCCUAUGCCAGGAGAUUCUGACAAACCAGUUUCUGGUAUUUCCUCACUCUUAAAUACUGGAAAUAUUGUACACCAACCAUCUGUUGCACAAGCACUGGCUCCCUCCCUUGCAAUUGGCACUCCUGGGAUAUCUGCAUCACCUUUGCUUGCAGACUUUACCAGUCCUGAUGGUGCUCAUGGCGGUGCUUUGACAACUGUUUCUGGCAAGUCAAAUGUUACAGGGCAACCACUUGAGUACUUGAUUGAAGCGGUUAGUGAUGCUCUCCUUUUGGUUUUACUCCACCCCACCCUUAUUUUGGAGGUUUCUGAAAAAGAAAGAAACUUCUUUGUGAAUGAGAUGGUGAUGCUGUAAUUUUUUUUCCCAGGUGAAAUCUCUGUCUCCCAAAGCACUUAGUGCAUCUGUCGGUGACAUUGGCUCGUUGUCAGUAUGAUUGACAGAAUUGCUGGUUCUGCAGCUGGUAAUGGAUCUAGAGCUGCAGCUGGUGAGGAUUUGGUAGCAAUGACAGGAUGUCAUCUUCUUUCGUUUUUGUCUUUUUUAUUUUUCACGUGUUUCUCACAAGAUGGGAACUCGAGGGAAUAAAAAGUGCUGGGAAGUAAUUUUUGUUGGAACUUCUUGUGUAACAUCUUCUUUCGAUGAUGACCUCUUGGAUGGCUGCAUGAAGCUUGUUCCGCUUUAAAUUUCAAGGUUAAUCUAUUGCUAUGAGCACUGGUGUUUCAAUUUGAAACUUGAGUUGCUACUGAACUUAGAUGAAUGGUGUUGGAUUUGGGGCCUUCUAUUAGUUUUAACUUGUACAGGGUUGAAGUGAUAGUAAUCUUAAAAGUACAAAAGCAGCAGACAAAAAUCAAUUAGCCACAAUAGUGUAUGGUUUCCUAGUUUCUCAGCAUAAAGUUGAAUGUUUUGGUGAUAUCUCUACAUCCAAAAUCAUAUAGAUGUAGCCAAUGAGCACUGUAGAGUAUAUAUUGCAGCGUGAGAUAAGGUUAACUCAUUGCAUUUUCAUAAAUUAAAAGGAUUUCUCUUCUUUUCUUUGUCAAUUACAGUGCAUGCAUAAAAGUUUUCUUACUCGAGUAAAUGUUAUUGUAAUGUUUUCAGAAUUCCCCUGGUUAGCAACUAAUUCACUUAUAUAUCUUGGAGCAUAGCCAUAGCCAUAAAUGGAAGGUUCUUCCGGUUCAAGAAAAUUAACCACGAAGCUCGUAACUAGAAUGGCCAAGUAAACUCGUAUAUCCUGUUAUCUAGAACCUUAUUUAAUCUGCUGUGAUGAAACAUAAGCUAUAGGGUCAAGCCUGAUAUUAUUAGUGAAGCUUUUUUUUGUUUUUCAUUUUUUUUUUUUUUGUGAUAGGAACAUCAAAGAAAAAAUGUAUCCGGCUGGUUCAUGUGCGAAAAUAUGAGGCAUGUUAAGCAACUGGACCAGACUAUCACAUGUCAAAAUCAUAUGUUUCAAUGAUACUUGUUGCAAGAGUGUCCUUAAACAAUCCAAUGUGCCUUACUUGAUAUAUUUUUUUUUUUUUAAUCUCAUUUGAGUAACACAAUUGGGGUACCCUUUUCAGUUCAUUCGUAAAUCUCUUUCCAAAACUGAAAUUUCAGCUGGUAACUUUUGAUGGGUCAUUGGUGAUUAUAUUAAUUUGGCUACAGAAAUAGUGCUGAGGGGUCGAUGCACACUAUGAAAUGAUGUUUGCUGGAGCAAUGGGGCUGGAUGAAGGAGGGGGUUUUCGAGCUCAACGAAGCAGUGGAUGUCUGGUGCAGCAGCUGCUCUAGAUGGUCCUCACUAUUGGGGCAGCCUAUCGAGAUUGUUUUCAGGGACAUUUUUAAAGACAUUGAAAACGACAAUCUUGCAUUGAUUAGUGCCAAGUAUGAACACGUCAAAUCUAAGCUAAGAAAUCAUGGUUUUGUUAAGCUUUGCUAUCUUACAUAACACAUAAUGUUAUCGACAUCCUCUUCAUGUUAUAACAUGAUUAAGUAAAGGUAAGAUAAAAACAGUUAAAAGAUGAAUAUAAAGUUUAAAAUGAAAGGGGAGAAAGCAACCUAUCAACCUCAACCUACAGGCAAACAAAGGUUGAAACUGAGGUAAUCUAAAGCAAAAGAACAUCAGCCUCCGUUUUUCCUGACAUUUUUUUUCCUCAAGUGACCUCUACAAAGACCUGCUGUAAUAUAUGUAUGAACAACACAAACAAACAUGCAAAAAGAAAAUAUUUUUCAGGGAAACCCAAGUCCAAAAACUUAAAAAAAAGUGUUAGUCUUCAAAAUCAAAGCCUUCUAUCAUCUCCAAAGGUACAGAGCUGCGUUCCUAAACACAAGAUGUUUUUUUUUUUUAGAAAAAGGAAAAUCCUCGUACAACCUAAUACAAAGCAAGAAUCCAACAAAAAUCAAAGACUAAUGAAAAGAAAGACCAAAGAACUGAAAACAAACCAAGGCUGGAAUUAAGGGAAGAAUCUAAAGCAAAAUAAAACUCCAGCCUCUUAUUUUCGUGGCACGAAGUUUUUUCCUCACCCAAGUUACCUCUAGAAAAACCUAUUGUAAUAUCUAUAUGGAUGGGCAACAUAAAUAAACAAGCAAAAACUAAAACUUUUUUAAGGAAACCCAUGUCAAAAAAACCAUAAAGAACAAUGUCGCCCUUAAAAGCAAAGCUUUCUAUCAUCUCUAAAGCCAAAAAGAUGUGUUCCCAAGCACAAGAAAUGUUUUUUUUAUAAAGAAAUGGAAAAAACUUUAACAACCUAACUCAAAUCAAGCACCCAGCCUAACCAAAACAUUUGAAGAAAAAAGGUCGAUCUCUCAGAAGACUUUUGGCAAACACGUAGCAUGCAAGAGACACAUGUAAAGAAAACCACGUAAACUUCCUUGCAAGACACAUGCCACCCUGUGUGAAACAAAGACAACACCACCUCUAUAAAGAAUGGAUAAUAGAGGGUUGAAGCUAACCAAAAGACUAUGCCCAAGAAACCUCAUAACUAUAGCAAAAAACGCAGCCAAAGCCUCAAUAAACACACAUAUAGCCUAAUAAUGCAUCUAAAAAUAGAAAGACAAUCAACAAAGAGUAAAGGAAAAAAUUGAGCGCAAAUUUCCAGGAAGGGACAAACAAAAAAAAACCAAAAAGAAAGUAGAGAAAAAUGCAGACUUAAAUUCACAACACCCAUUUUCUUUCCAUUAGAACACUUUAAAUAGUUUAUUAAAUUUAUAACGAUCUGAUUUCUACGCAUAUUAAAAAAUCAACUUAAUGAUCAAUUCUCUAUAAUUUCAGCAUUACUAAAACUAUCCAAACUAAUAAACUAUUAGUUAUUUUAGUAUGAAUUAACAAGUCAAUUUUAAAUUUUUUGACUUCUUAGUUCCUUCAUGAAUUACUUGUAAAGCAUGCUAUAUAUCUCUAAGCGUUUUUGUAUAAUAUAGUUCUAUCAAAUUCACUUUUACCCAAUGUAUAAUAUAAAAUAUUCAUGGCUUUAACAUUAAUAAAAAGUAAUUUUUUAAUAUUUUCCAUAUAUUCACUUAUAAUUUUAGAAAUCUCAUUACCAUGUUCAAUUUUAAUCGGUCUUUGAGAUUUAUUUUGUACCGAUAGACACAAAUUAAAAUCAAUAAAUUAACUAUAAAUUAUUAUAAAACAAUUUAUUACAUGCUCUUUGGUGCUAGCAAUGUGAUUGUAAUAUUAUUUUUCAAGCUCACUCAAUCUCUAAUUCUUGAUAGCACAACCAAGAAUAAAUGAUGAAUCACAAUUUGUAUGUUACUCUUUGUAAGAAUUUUGACUAAAAAAUUGUAAAAGAGAAGAGUUUUAAAAAGACUAUAAGUUUUUUCAUUAUCAAAAUCAUGUCAGAAUAGUCUCUUUUUAUAGGUAAUUCUAACAUUUAAUUUUAACAUAUCUUUUAAGGCAAAAGGUUACAACUUUCUAAUUUAAAAAUACACGAUUUUAUUUCAAAUAGAGUUUUUAACAAACACAACUUUUCAUUCACACCCUAACAACCCCCCCACAUGAUAAAAAUUGUUUGGUCUGAAUAAAAUACUAAGUAGGCAAAAAAAUAGAGACUAGUAGCGAAAAGUCAUUGCAUCAAGCAAGAUAGUUUUUAGCCUUGAACCUUCCAUAAUUAAAACUAUUGGAUUCACUUGGCUAACUAGCAAACAUGAUGUCUUGAGUUUAUUUAACCUUUUGUGUGGAACUAGAUAAUAGAGAUUACACAGUUUAUUUUCUUACAAUUUUGGUUCUCACGGUUGUGUUCAUUUUAGUCUCAAAUAUGUCUUGAUUUCAGAGAGCGUUAGAGAAUUUGCAUUUUCAAUUCUCAUAGAAGUGGCUUUUUUUCACAGUCAUAUAGGUGAUUCUUAUUAAAAGUAUCAUGUAAUACCUCACUUGAAUUUCUCAAGCUAUAAAAGUCAUUAAAAGCUUAGCUUAUCUUAUUUUCACUGCAGAUAACACUUUAUAUCAUAUGAAUGGGUAAAAGGGAUAUUAUUGAAUUGACACAUGAUUUGGUUGCCUCUUUGAACCUAAAUUUGGGAUCUCCAGUAAACUAGGUUGGGUCGCUAUCAUGAAAAUUCAUUGAACUAUGUCUUAAUCUCAUUCCCCUUGAUGAUUAUUGACUUGCUCUAUUGUUAAGCAUUUUAUUAGCGAAUCCAUGAUAUUAUCAUUUAACUUUAUAUGAUCAAUAAAAAUAAUUUCAUUUUAGAUCAACUAUCUUACAAUAUUGAUAAUUAUGUCAAUACUUGCAGUUAUAUAUAUAUUAUGCCCUUUCAAUUGUAAAUUCGAAUAUCCUCAAUAAGGUUUUAGAAGCUAUUCUACUUCUUUUCUUUAUCUAAAGUUGUAAACUCAAACUCCUUCAUCGAUAUGGAUAUGCAUGUUUGUUUAAAGAAUUUUCAAGAGGCUAUAACUUCUCCAAUAACAAAGAUAAAUCUAUUUGUGGAUUUUGAAUCUUUAAUAUUGGAUAUCUAAUUAGUAUCGCUAUACCCUUCAAAUAUAGUUUCAUAUCUUAUAUAAUACAAUUCAUAUUUUAAACUUUUUUUGGUGAGCAAUGUAAUUUUUUCUAGACACCCCCACACUUUAAUGUAUUUGUAGGAUGAUGAUCGAACAUUCAACAACUCAUAUGAUAUCUUGCCCAAUUUCUUAUAAGGUGUUUUAUUCAGAAUAUAAUUUCUUAAUAUUGCUUCGUGUAUUUUUUCCUUUACAGUGACAAUAGUCCUUACAAUGAUGUCUUUACUUUUUACAAACAAAACAAGUUUCUUUGAACUUCUUUUUGCAGACACCACUACCAUUAGGACUCUUGAGAGAAUUUAAUUCAUCAUGCUUUAUAUUUGAAAAUUACAUUGUGUCUCAAAUUAUUUUGGUUUUUUCCCCGCAUGAAAAAUGUUUAGAAAUCGGGUUUGCCAAUCUAUACCACAAAGAUUACUAGGUUAACAAGUACAUCAAAAUCAUAGUUUUAAAACCCGGACCGGCCCGGCGGGCCAACCCGGGACCCGGCCGACCCGAGCAUGGGACCGGUCCGGGUGGAGGCCAAAACCUGGUUGGGAAUUGACCCGGCCAGACCUAGUCGACCCGGAGGGUCGACUCGGGACCCAGCUAACCCGGCAAGACUCAGUCAAGACCCGACCUCAAACCCGUUGACUUUUAUUUAUUUUUUUUUUUUUACCAAACGACGUCGUUUUGAUUUUUUCAAAAAAAAACAAAUUUGACCCGGCCGACCCGGUCAAGACCCGGUGACCCGGUCAAAACCCGAAAUCCGGGCCUUGGACCGGGCCGGGUCUUAAAACUAUGAUCAAAAUCAUCAACAAUAGUUUUAUCCAUCUAUUAUCUCAAUAAUAAAAUUAACUUUGCAAUUAUAUAUCACACUUAUAUAAUCUCAAAUAAUAUUAAUUAAAAUGAAUCACAAAAAUUUAACACACUAAUUUUGCGAAAAACAAUUUAAUAAACAAUUUAACUUUGCCAUUAUAUAUUUAUUUAUUUGUUUUUCUAUGAGACAAUGUAAUUUUCAAUAGAAACUAUAACAAUACAAAUAAUUAUAAAUAUUUUUCUUUCGACAUCAAUAUAAGAAAACAUUAUGUACUCUUCUAAAGUUAUGAUAUAAUGGAUACUUAGGAUUAAAAUAAUAAUAGUAUCUAAGAGGGAUGGAUUAGGUGUUGCAUUAAUUAUAUUAAAAUAAUACAAAUAAACAUACUAAACAUAUAUAACACAAUAAUCGACAAUAUAAUUAAAGUACUUAAAGUAAAUAGAUAAGGAAAGAGAGAUUGCAAACUUAAUUUAUAAGGUGGUUCGGUAAGUCUACAUCCACACUUCAAGUACUAAUUGUAUUUGAGUAUUGUACUAUUUUACUAAUAUAAGUGAAAAAUACAAUGCCCUUGAUGAAUCCACAUUAAGAAAUUACAGCACAUGAAGAUUUUUUUUUUUAAGAUUUGUUUUCUUGGUAACAAUAGAUUAUAUAAUUGAAAACUAUAAUUUCACUUUACAUAUAUUAUUUCACUGCUAAUUAGGGGAGUUCAAAAUAAUCGAUUAACCGAGAAAACCGACAAAACCGAAGAAAAAUUAACCGAAAAAACCGAACCAAAAGUAAAAACUGAUUAAACCGAUUUAAAAAACCAUAAAUGUUAACAGGUUCGGUUCGGUUUCGGUUUUGACCCAGAAACCGGGCCAAACCGAACCGGACCCAUUAAACCGGGCCAAACCGAACCGGACCCAUUAAACCAUUAAAAAAAAAGGUACUAUAAAUAGUUAAGUUAACCCAAUUGGCCUCCCUCUCUAACCCUAACAUAUUCUCAUCUCAGUUCUCUCACAAUCACAAAGCCGUCUUCAUCUUCCUUCCCAUUUCCAACAAAAACUCAAUCUUCCUCAAUAAUUAAUUCACAAUCUUCCUUUCCCAGAAACCUUCUUCAUUGAAGCAACGACAACAAGGUAAAUGACUAAAUUCCAUCUUCUUUGAUUCUUUGUUUCAUGGGUUUGAAUUUAGAAAGUAUUUUCUAAAUUUCCAAGUCUAUUCCAUCUUCAUCUUCAUAUUUUUAUUUUCCAGAAACCGUUUCCAUCUUCAUCUUUCCCAGAAAUCAUCUCCAUCUUUCAGGCGUCUUCAUUUUAGCAAUGACAGCAAGGUAAAUUUCAUCUUCAUCUUUGAUUCUUUGUUUAGUAGGUUUGAAAAUUUAUUCUAAGUCUAUUCUAUCUUCAUCUUUCCCAGAAACAGGCUUCAUUGUUUAAUUCCAUCCGUUGAUUGUUGAAAGGUAAAUUUUUGUUACUUACUUCUUUUAUUCCAUAUAUAUUGCUUUAGAUUUCGAAUAAUUUGUUGAGUGUUGAUUAUUGCUUUACUGCUACCCUUGUGAUUUUAAGCUUAAAUUCAUAUUAUGUUCUGUUUUGUUUUGUUUCAUGCUUUCCAUUUUGUUGACUGUUGCAUUUUCUUUUUCAGAUGUAAAUAUACGUUUCAGUUUCAUGCUAAAUUAUUAUUCUUUUGUUUACUGUUGAUAAAAGCUCCAUGUUUUCCUUUGUUGAACAUUCUACUACUAUACCAUUCUGUAUUGCUUGCAUUAUGUGGGGAUUUGGAUGUUAUUUUAGACUGUUCAUAUUAGAUUCAGUAAAGGACUAUCUUUUGAGACAAGGCCAGUGCAAUGCUUGUUUAAAUUAGAAGAGUUCAGUUGCACCAUUAACUUCCACAAUGUGUAUUCUGAGGGCAUUUCACUAAGGCUGUAUCUUCAUAUAGUUAUUUUAUAAUAUCAUUUAUUUACAUAUGUUUAAUCUAACAUUUUAAUUUAUGUUUUUGUAGAAUUUGGUGAAAGUUUAAAAAUCUCAACUGAUUAUUUGUAAGUUAUAUUGAUGAUGUUGGUGCAAUCUUGGAAUAUAAUUGUUUUGGGUAAUUAAUUUACUUUGCCUUAUUAAUUCCUUUUAAAAUUUUGCAUUCCUAAUUUUUUUAAUUGUCAAACUAUAAUAUGUUGCUAAUUUGCUAGUGUUUUUUUAUAGCAUUAUCCUUGCUGGAUCUUUUAGCUUUUGCUGUUGCUAGAAGUUUUAGAUCCUGCUGUAGUGCUGGUGUCGGAUUUUUUCUUCAACUUAUGCCGAAUAUUUAUGAUAAUUUAUUACUAGUUGCUAUUUGCUAAUGUAUCUAUUUGCUAAUGUAAACUUUUUUUAGUGUGAACACCUUUUUUAAUUUGAGGUGUCCAAAUUUGAUCAUGUAUUUUGCAUAUUGCAUUGAUUUGAAUUUUCAUAGCAUAUUUCUUUGUAUAUUAAAAAUAGUAAGAUAAAACAUUUCAAAUUUAUUGUUACUAUAAGCAAUUAAGCAUUUCAAAAAAAUUUCAAUAUUUUAAUUUCAUUAGAAAGCUUAUAACAAAAUUAAUCAAAUUAUAACAUUUUAAAGAGUUUUGAUUAAAAAGCUUAUAAAUUUAGCCCAACAAGAAAAUUUAACAGCCCAAUUUAAUUUAAGCCCAUUAAAAAAAAAUAAAAAAGCCCAUUAAUUUAAUGAUUAGGUUUCCCGGUUUUUUAACUGCAAAACUGGAUUCAACCGAACCGAACCGGUUUGGUUUGAACCAGAAUCCAGUUCGGUUCGGUUUGAAAUUUAAAAAAUAUGAGGUACUUGAUUCGGUUGGUUUUUAUAGUUGAAACCGAACCGAACCGAACCGUAAACAAGCUUACAGUACACUGUGUUUGAAUGAGCACUCAUAUAUAUAUAUAUAUAUAUAUAAUUCUUUUAGUUUUAAGUUUAUAGUUAUGAACAUUAUAUCAGCACAGUGAAUGCAUUUCUUUUAGUUUGUUAGCGAAUCUGUAAAGAAUAAAAUAUUGCUACCUGCAUAUCACUAAUUUAAGUAUUAAAGUUUUUUAGAUAUUUAUAUAAAUAUUUAUAUGAUUGUGAAUUUUAGGAUUUCUAAAAUUAUUAGAGGUAUAGGUAAGUUAACCAGAAUAUUCAUAUAUAUAAAAAAAGGCCAUCUGUCAAGCUCUGUUCACUUUGGUCCGACAUUCUUCACCUCUCUCCACCUGAGCUCUCUUUCCCUCCUCCGCUCUAGGAAACCGCGCCACCUCAACCAAUAAGGCUUCAAAUCUCCACCAGGUGCUUCCUUUUCUAUCAUGUUUUUUAUUUUUAAAAUUUAAGUCUGUGUUUUCAUUUAUUUAAUUGAAAUUCUUAUCCAGAGAGAUAAAUUCGAUUUUAAUAAGUAAAUUAAAAAGAUAUAUAAUCGGAUCGAUGAAAUCGCUGCUCGUGAACGCAACUCGAAGAAAGGCGCAAUCAGCCGAUUCUACUGUGGGUGGAGCAUUUAGUAUGGUCAGGGUUAUUGUGUUGUCUGUUCAAAGAAAGAUGUGCCUGUAAAUUUGUUAAGUUGAUUCUUAUCAGUCUGCUCUUUAGAGUUGAUGAUAACUUGAAAUAUUCAUUGUUAAUGCUCGUUGUUUUCUUUGUCUUUUUCCUAGACUAAAACAUCCUAGACAAUCUCUUCGGGAUGGAUUAGUGUUUCUGGCCUCUUCAUCUUCUAUUUGUGCUGUGGUAUUUAGUCUGCUGAUAUUCAUUGGGGAUUGAAAGGCCUCGUUUUAUGACUUUGUUUUGCCUUCUUCUUAUUUCUUUAUUCUUUUGGGGAUGUGGUAUUUUCCUCUUUCUAUUUACACUAUUUGCUCCCUACAAUAUUUGUUCUUUCAGAGAAGUAAAUAUAUGCAUAAAUAACAAGAACAGGAGGGGAAGGGGAGUGGGGUUUGACAGUAAGUACUUGCUUAGAAGGGAAUGCUUCUUUGGUUUAGAAGCACCAUGAAGAUUCUUUGCUUUGAAUGGCCGAAUACCCAGGAUCCUAGCACCUUGACCUGAAUGGUUGUGUAUAUUUGUUAUGCAUCCGUAUUUGGCUGAAUUCUUUAAUAAAGUACAUGAUAUGAGACGGAAGUUCUUUUUAAAUCUAUUCAAGUCUGAAUAAACUGAUAUUCCAUUUUUCAUGUUCUUGAUGUGCUUUUGCUCUUCUUGCCGUUCCUGACUUUCUUUUUAGGGUCUUUUCUAACAUGCAAUAUGAUUUUUUUUUUCCUUUUGGUUGGCCCACUGUCCCAGGCGGAGAACCUGUCAUGGACACGGGUGAUUGGAGAAUUCAAUUGCGGCCUGACUCACGGAAAAGAAUAGUCGACAAAAUGUAUGUGCAAGUGCUGCAAAAUAGUAAAUUUUUUAUUUAUAUGAAAGAAAAGGAGAAUGACAAAGGGUUAAUUAAAAUCAGCAGGAUUGCCAUGAGGCAAGAUCAAGUAUCACACACCUCUUUUUUUUUGUUUCAUCUUUUCAUGUGUUUCUCACGAGAAGCAAACUUGAGGGAACAUAAAGUGCUGGGAAGUAAUUUUUGUUGGAAUUUCUUGUGUAAUCUCUUCUUUUGAUGAUGACCUCUUGGAUGGCUGCAUGAAGCUUGUUCCGAUUUUAAUUUCAAGGUUAAUCUAUUGCUAUGAGCAUACAUGUUUCAAUUUAAAACUCGAGUUGCAACUGAACUUAAAUGAAUGGUGUUGGAUUUGGACCUUCUAUGCUUCUACAGGGUUGAAAUGAUAGUGAUCUUAAAGUUGAAAAGCAGCAGACAAAAAUCAAUUAGCCUCAAUGGUGCAUGGUUUCCUAGUUUCUCAGCAUAAAGUUGAAUGUUUUGUUGACCUCUCUACAUCCAAAAUCAUAUAGACAGCUACUGUUGGCACUUGCAUUGGUCAAUGAAUACUGUAGAGUAUAUAUUGCAGUGUGAGACAAGGUUAACUCGUUGCAUUUUCAUAUUGAAAGGAUUUCUCUUCUUUUCUUUGUCAAUUACAGCACAUGCGUAGAAGUUACUCAGAGCAAAUGCUAUUGUAAUGUUUUCACAGACUCCCCUGCUUUGCAACUAAGUCACUAAUAUAUGAAGCUCGUAGCUAGAAUUUUUAGACAGAAGGGUGGCCAAGUAAACUCCUAUAAUCUGUACCUCUGGAAUAAUACAGGGAAAGGAUGUCUAUGUAUUUUGAUGUCUUAUAAUACUUGACCAACUCUUGCUUAUCUCAUAAUUUGUUUUACUUUUUGCUAAAGAUUCCACACAUUUCUGAUAUUGGUGUGGUUUAUGAAUUCAGGGUUCUUGCUCGCUGCUGCUAACUUCUCUAUACUUGCCUGGUCAUUAAAAAUGAAACGUAAUGAUUUGCAUGUGCAGAAUGGAGACAAUAAAGAGGCAUCUUUUGUUUUCUGGUCAGGAGGGAUUACAAGAACUCAAGAAAUUUGCCAUACGUUUUGAGGAAAAGAUUUAUACUACCGCCACCAAUCAGGUAUAUGCCUAAUGCAAGGUUCAAUAAUUAUGAUAUUCUCUUGACAUGAAUAUACACGUGCAUUUAUGCAUGUACAAAUGUGGGUGUAGUGUGCGUACACUUCCUCACCGUUCACUCUGUAUGCAAGGCUGAUUCGGAGUUCGCAUCUUUUUGUUAAUUCUCUUGACAAGUGUUUUAUUUAGAGUGACCAAGCUCAAGUACAAGGGCAGUGUGCAAAAAGAAUAUAGCAAAUCAAUACAUAAAUAAUUAAAUAAAAAGAGAGGAAACAGAAGUAUAUCCUCACAAAAGAUGAAAUGAUAGAGCAUAUAUCCAUUUUCCUCCUCUUGUAACAUGGAUUGCUCUGAGAUCUAAUGUUUUGUUAUUAAUAUCUGAUUUCAGUAUGAUUAUCUACGUAAAAUAUCUCUGGAGAUGCUUUCAAUGGAGAUCAGGUCUCAAAACGCCAUGCCCACUGCCCCAUGGAUCCAGCAGGUUAUAAUGCAGCGGAGCAUUGAAUUUCUAAACAUCUUACCUUUUGUUUUUCUUCUCGCAUUGUUAUCAAACUCUUUUAAAUUCUAACAUUUUGUUGUCUGCAUUGAAAUUUUUGUAGCAUCCCUAGAUUCUACAUGCAAAAGGCGCUGAUUGGCAAGAGGAGAUCUAUCAGAAGGUAAUUUCUUCGAUUUACUGUUCAUUAGAUGGAGUUCAUGUAUGCCAUAGUCUUGCAAGAUUUCAAUGGAAAAAGGUCUCAAGAAAAUAAGUAGGGAUUAUUCCAUUGAAUCAUGACCAUAUCCAGUAUUGUUGAAUUUUAUAGAAAAUGAGGUUGAAAUUUUGAAUGUCUCAAGUCACAGCUGCAUGUUUGACAAGGACAAUUUUAUUUUUUUGUGCUUAGGAGACCAAUAUUUGCUGAGCAAUUCUAUAAUGAAAAGUUGGUGACUGAUGUUUUAAAAACUGGAGUUGAGGAAUGGCUUAGAGUGCAUGGAGAUCAUGUUAAAAGUGAAGCUGUAGAGAAGGCAAUCACUCAAAUUAUGAUGGGUGAAGAAGCAGAGGAAAUGAGUAGCAGAGCAAAGAAACGGCCAGGAAGGCUGUUGAAGAAGGUGGAUCUUCUUGCUCCGAUUUCAAUGCUUUGAUUGAAUAACUGAGGUGGGGUCGCCCUUGAAACAAAGGCAUAGAAUAUUUUGUUUAUACUUUAGUAGUGGUUUUGGCAAUUUAUUUUCAGACAAGUCUUGAGAGUUGAAAGAGUAAUCACACCCGAGUCAAUGACCAAUCCAAAUCAGUUUCCUUCCUAAUGAUUCAGGAAUGAGAAGUCCAGCUUAUAUAUUUAGCCCAAAUAACUAAUCAAAUAGAAAGGCUGAGCUUAGAGACAGUACACUACAAAUUACCAAUAGCUAGACAAACAAUCAUCACAAACUAGGAACGACCGUCUCCCCAGUAACAAAUUCACCUUCUGAAGUUGGAGAACUUGCGAAAACUAGCCACCACAAAAUAGUAGCAAGUAUCUAUGCAGUCUUCGAUGAAGUACAACCACCUGCGUCGCCAAUAUGGAUUGAUGUAGAGAACUGCUGCAAUCAUCAUCACCACAACUGUGUAACAUACACCGAAACUGAUGUAGAAAAACUCCAUGUCUAUGAAACCAUCAUCUCCUUGUUCAUCAUUAGGCACUGGCUGGGACGACACUGCUUCUUCACUACAAUUGUUUUGCAAUGGAGGUCCACACAAGAAAGGAUUUCCUUCGUAACAGCUUUCGUCAAAGGUCCCAAACUGAUAUUUUCUCUCGGGUGUCCUACCUGACAAGUUAUUGUGCGCCACGCUAAAAACUUCUAGUGUGGUAACUUCAGUAAGUUGUGGAGGGAUGGCACCAUUCAAGUUGUUGUAAGAAAGAUCCAAACUCUCAAUCUGCUUUAGGUUUGAGAAUGUUGCAGGGAUAGAUCCAGUAAGAUUGUUGUGUGAUAAGUUUAAUGACAGUAUCUGACUUAAGUUUCCAAAUUCUGGUGGGAUUGCUCCUCCAAAGUUGUUAUUGGAGAGAUCAAUACCAGACAUGUAGAUGAGAACUUUUCCCUUGUACCCAUAAUACAUAUUUUUUGUGGUAAAUUCUGUCACUUCUUCUGUAAAGUUAAACCAUAAAACCUUGCUUAAGCUGGACAUACUAUCCAUUAGCAGUGAACCCAUUGUUUCAUCAUAAGCUCUGUUUAUGGACAUUAAUUCAAAACCACUGUCGGCAUCCACUAUUGCUUUCUGGGAACUUUCCUUGAAAGUAAGAUUGCCCAAACAUGAGGGUAGUGGACCAGAGAGCUUGUUUUGUGAAACAUCCAAAAUGCUUAAUUGUUCUAACAAGCAUAACUGAACAGGGAGCUCACCAUCAAAGUGAUUAUCCCUCAGAAGAAGAACACUCAAUGAUGAAAGAUUGCCAAUCCAAUUUGGAAUGGAGCUGGUAAAGUUGUUAUCUCGAAGAUCUAUCGUAACCAGGGAAGAAUUGUUAUAAAAUUCAUAUUUUAAUGGACCGCUCAAUCUAUUUUUGGAUAGAUGAAUAUGGGUUAUUUGUGGUGGAUAGAAACAAGAUGGCAUAUGUCCAGACAAGUUGUUCCCAGAAAGAUCUAAAUAUUCAAGCUGGUCAAACUUACAAAAGUCUCUUGGGAUCGAACCCUUAAAAUGGUUUUUGGACAAAUCAAUUACUCCAAGACUCGUAAAAUUAACGAACCUCCUUGGAAGCAUGCCUGAAAAUUGAUUGUUACUCAAAUCCAAUACAGUCCACACUUUACACCCAUAUAAUGGAAAAUCUGAUAUCUGACCCCAAAAGUUGUUACGGCUUAGGUAGAGAAAAGUUAGGCCAGAAGAAUUGAACACCGAGGUCGGUAAUUGCCCACCCAAAUUGUUGUUUGACAGCUUAAGAACCAUUAUUGUUGUUAGUUGUUCUAGUUUUAUUGCAGACAAUUGAUUGUUGGAUAAAUCUAAAAAUGAAAGAGUGCUAAUAUUUCCUAAACAAGAAGGAAUAGAACCUGUGAAUCCAUUCUUAGCCAUCCUUAGGAUCAAUAGAUUUGGAAAGGUCAAACAAAUAGCUUUUGGAAUUUGACCGUUCAUGUUGUUGUUGGAUAUAUCUAAUUCGGUCAUUUUCGGAUAUGGGUGAUCUUGUAACUGCAAAGUACCAACAAAGAAGUUCUGGCUCAGAUAUAGUUUCGCCAAUCGUGUAUUGUUCUUAAGCAACCACGAUGGAAACAUUCCGAUGAUGUUGUUGUUGGAGAGAUCAAGGGCUCUUAAGUCGUAUUGGUAAUAGAGAAAGUCGGGAAUAUCUACAUUGAGUGCUUCCGAUGUUGGACUACUUGACAAGCGAAAAAAAACUAGUUGGAACUUUGGAAUCAAAUUAUCAAAAGCAGCAGGUUCCGUUGCUAGUCUAUUGUUCUCACUAGAGAAGACCUUGAGGCUUGAGUGGUUCAUAAAAGGCUUCACUGAAAUGGGAACUUCAAAGAGGUUAUUUGAUAGUGAGAGGAAUUGAAGGGAUAUGAGGUUGGUAAGAGGACCAAAUCCAAUAUUUCCAGUAAACUGGUUAUCAGAAACAUCUAAUAGUUGUAGAGAUGACAAGUUCCCCAAACAAUUUGGGAGUGAACCUCCAAAAUUAUUUCCAAAGAGAUCUAAUUGCUUCAGAUUCUUCAAUUCACACCAACCUGUACAAUUUAUCUCGAAACAAUCAAAAUAGUGUUGAAAGAAUCUUUUAUUGAUGAUGUAAUUAUAGGUAGAUGGAGAGUUGUUAAUUUACCUUGAGCGGGUAAAGUGCCAUGGAGGUCACAUUCAACAACAGACAAAACUUGAAGAGCAGGUAAUGCUCCAAUGUUUUGGAGGAAGUUUAUUGGGAGAGAAUUAUUAUCUAAAUGCAAUUCUUCAAGGGUGCUAGAAUUGAAGAAAGUCCCUGUGAAAAAGAAAGAAAGAAGAAGAGAUAAGAAAGUACAGAAUAGUCAUUCCAUUCAAUAUUAUUAAUUAAGACUUAAAUUAGUAUCCUUGAGAGAACUGAUAUUGAAUAGGGAGAUGAUUUUUGGAUAGAAACAACAAAUUGCCAGAAAAAUCCAGAGAUUUCAAAAGGUAUUGUAAAUAAAAGAACCUUACCAUUAACAACCGUCGAUCCUGUCAACUCAUUAUAUGAUAGAUUUAAAGACUUGAGAGAAGAAAGUCCACGCAGAUGUGAGAAAAUGCUGUUGUUGAAUGUAUUAUAGCUCAAGUCAAGGUUCUCGAGUUUCCCUAGAUGUGAUGAUAUGAUCUCAAUACCUGCAAGAGAGUUGUUUCUAAGAGUAAGUCAUAAUGAGCUCACGAUAUGCAUGAUAUAUAGAAACUAAAGAUAAUUAGAAUUGAUGAGAUGUUGUUGUUCAAUUGAUACAUGAUUAUCAAAUUAUACAUAAAAAAAAAAAAAACAAUUUUUAGUCGUUCUAAUUUUGAUCUUAUUGGAAAAAAAAACAAUUUAUGGAUAUAAAGUCGAUAAAGAUGAAAGCUAAGUUAUGAUAGACUUACAAAACAAGAUAAAUAAACUUAUAAUUAAGAUCUCAUCGGUAAUUAAAACAAGAAUAAUAAUCAAUCCUAGCAAUAAUUAAGUUUUUCUAAUAAAGAAAUUGGCAAUCUCUCGUUGGCUGUCCAGUGAUUUGUAUUGGAUAGUUUUUUUUUUUAAUUGAUGUUAAGAUCCAAGUUUUAAUAAUUACAAUUUUCUUAAUUAUAAUAUUCUAGGAGAGAGCUUUUUAUUAUGUUAUUCAAAACCCAUUCAAACUCAAAUUCAUUAAAAAAAAAUACUUAAGAGUUGUGUUCGACAAAGUAUCUCAAGACAGAAAAAACAUAUAUAUAAAUAUAUUUAUUUAAAAAGAUAAUAAAAUAUAUAUUUAUAGGAGAAUUUUGAAGUGAACUUCUGAUUACUAAUUUAAUCUAAAUAUUACAACACUUUUGGCAUAAAAGGGCCAAAAUAAGAAUAAAAUAUAUGCCUCUUGGACCUCAGUCCAAGUACCUCUUUACGUAGAUAUAAAGUCGUCCUCAUUUUUGUUGAUAAAGAAACAAUAUAAUUAAGAGAAUGUCAUGUGAAGCAUUUAGGUAGAAACUGUGUAUUAUACCUGAUCCUGUCAGCUCAUUGCCUGACAGAUCCAAAGACUUGAGGGAUGAAAAUCCAGUAAGAGAAGGAAAAAUGCUAUCAUUGCAUUGAUUCCAACUUAGAUCAAGGUUCUCCAGCUUUCCCAGCCUCACCGGUUGGAGUUGAAAACCUACAAGAUAUAUAAUUCUCAAAUUAUACAUAAAUUAAGGAAGAAGAUAGUGCAAGGAGUUGUUUCUAAGAGUAAGUCAUAAUUAUGAGCUCACGAUAUGCAUAAUAUAUAGAAACUAAAUAUAAUUAGAAUUGAUGAGAUGUUGUUGUUCAAUUGAUGUUUUCUUGAUAAAGAGAAUGUAACUUACUAUUGAUAGAUCCUGUCAACUUAUUAUGUGAUAGAUCCAAAGACUUGAGGGAUGAAAGCCCACUCAGAAUUGAUAAGAUGCUGCUGUUCAAUUGAUUGCCACUCAGGUCAAGGUUCUCUAACUUUCCCAGCCUCAUCGGUUGGAGUUGAAAACCUACAAGAUAUAUAAUUCUCAAAUUAUACAUAAAUAUUUAGUUGUAGAAUUAAAUAUGUGGGUUUUAUGUUGUUCUCUUUAUUGAUAAAACAGUCGAGAGUUUUUCUAAUAAAGAAAUCGGCAGUCUCUCAUUGGCUGUCUAGAGAUUUGUAUUAGAGAGUUUUUUUGAUAGUUUUUAUUAAAUAGAUAUAAAGUCAUUUUUGUUGAUAAGGAAACAAUAUAAUUAAGAGAAUGUCAUGUGAAGCAUUUAGGUAGAAACUGUAUAUUAUACCUGAUACUGUCAGCUGAUUUUCUGAAAGAUCCAAAGACUUGAGGGAUGAAAAUCCAGUUAGAGAUGGAAAAAUGCUAUCGUUGUAGUGAUUCCCACUUAGAUGAAGGUUCUCCAGCUUUUUCAACCUUGAUGACAAGACGUUGAGACCUGCAUGAUGUUCCUCAAGAGCAUAUUGGAAGGAAAUAAUUAAAUGCGUAGAAAAAAAUGAAAAAUGUUUUGAAGCUAAAUAAUUAAAAGGUUACCACAGAAGCUACCUGAUCCAGCUAUCAACUCAUUAUAUGAUAGAUCCAAAGACUUGAGAGUGGAAAGGUUACCAUUGAAACAUGACAAAAUACUUUUAUCAUUAAAUUGAUUGCCACUCAGGUCAAGUUCCCUCAGAUUUGAUGAUAGGACUUCGAAGCCUGGAAGAGAAUCAUCAAAGCAAGAUAAUUGACAUGAAACACCAACCAACCUUCAUUUAUUUUAUGAUUAUAAUUAAGUGCAGAAACAUUGAACUAACCUUCAUUCUCCAUGCAACCAACCAAUCCAGUAUCUCCCAAAUCAAGACUUUGCAAUUCUUUAAAAGGCUGAAACAAAGAUGCUUUGAGAACCCAAUCGUCCAAGCUAUAAACCCUUGCAUCGAAAAGAGAGAGUUGGAUCACUCGUCUUGUAGUGUUAUCACACUCGAUCCCAAGCCACUCACAACAAUUACUACCGUCCACCCAACCUCUCAAGUAAAUGUGAUCUGGGUUGAUCAAAGAUUGGAUCUCCAAGAGACCAACCCUCUCUUCCUCCAAACAUCCAUAACAACGACCAUACCUUUCGCCAACCAGAGUCAAUAAUGCUAGCAGCAUCAAAGCACCAAUUCUUUUCACCAUCAUCUUAGAUAAUUCUAUGAAUUACUACUACGUAGAAUAUUGUUGUUUGUUAUGUGCCUUUGGGCAACCAUAGAGGUCCUAUUUAUACUACACUUUGGCCAUUUAAUUUCCUUGACUUUAUCUGCAUAUCUUGUGUGCAGGUUCCAUGUUUGGAGAUUUGAAUAUUUUUUUAUUUCUUUUUGGAAUAUUCUUGGAUUUUAAUAUUAUUUUUUUAUUAUUGUUCAGCACUUAAAGGCCCUUAGGCUUACCGAAGAAAAUUGACUUCUCCAUAACUGUAAACAUCACUUUUGUCCGUCAGUUGGCUUGUGUGCAAGUACUCAGGUCUAAGUAUCCUAGAGUACCUCGCACCAUUGUUGACUAUUCAACAUGAUCCAACGGAAUUAACCUGUAAGUGCCACAGUCUGACACUUCGGCCUUUAUGGUGUGUUUGUCGAUAAUAUAGAUUUGAAUAUUGUAGACAUUCCUAAGAUUUUUUUCAUGAUUUUAUAAUUGUACUUCUCUCGUAAUAAUUUAGGGUUUCAUGUUUUGAGAUUUUAAUAAUUUUUUUUUUUUUGAAAUAUUCUAGAAUUUAAAUAUUAUUUUAAUCUAUUGUUUAGCACUUAGUCCAUUUAGAUUUGAAUAUUAUCUUGUGCAGUUCAGACUUUAUUUUAUUGUUCAGUUCGGCCUUUAGUCUAUUUGUAUUUAAUUAUAUUUUUGUUACUAAUUAUCCAAUUUAUAAAAUAAAUAAAUAAAUAAAAAUAUUGUAGACAUUCCUAAGAUUUUUUUCAUGAUUUUAUAAGUGUACUUCUCUCGUAAUAAUUUAGGGUUUCAUGUUUUGAGAUUUGAAUAUAUAUUUUUUUUUGGAAUAUUCUAGGAUUUGAAUAUUAUUUUAAUCUAUUGUUUAGCACUUAAUCUAUUUACAUUAAAUUAUAUUUUGGUUAUUAAUUAUCCAAUUUAUAUAAAUAAAAUAAAAUAAAAUAAUUGUUGUAGUACUUCAGCAUUGUUAUCGACAUUCGUGUGUGAUUCCGCGUUAAAUCUUUUUUACUUUAUAGUUGUACUUCUCUUGUCAUAAUUUAGGGUUUCAUGUUUUGAUAUUUGAAUAUUAUUAUUUUUUUGGAAUAUUCUAGGAUUUGAAUAUUAUUUUAAUUUAUUGUUUAGCACUUAGUCUAUUUACAUUAAAUUAUAUUUUGGUUACUAAUUAUCCAAUUUAUAUAAAUAAAAUAUAAUAAAAAAAUUGUUGUAGUACUUCAGCAUUGUUAUCGACAUUCGUGUGUGAUUCCGUGUAAAAGAAGUCAUAAUUUAGGGUUUCAUGUUUUGAGAUUUGAAUAUUAUUUUGUUUUUUUUUGGAAUAUUCUAGGAUUUGAAUAUUAUUUAGGGUUACUAAUUAUCCAAUUUAUAUAUAUAAAAAAUUAAUAUUGUUUCAGUAUUCCAUGUGAUUCCACAUAUGAUCUUUUUGACUUUAAUAAUUGUAGUUCUCUCGUCACAAUUUAGAAUCAUUUAGGAGUAUUUGCAUGGUGUCAUCACUAUCAUAUAUAGAAUUAAAUGUAUAAAUUAUCAAUAAUAAUAAACUCAGAAUAAUUAUAAAUCUUAACCCUAUGGAUUGUGUGGCUACAGUAUUAUAUACAAAAACUUCAAAUAUAUAUAUAGACACACACACAGCUGUCAAUGACCCAAACAAGCAAAUUAAAAUUCAAAGUGUGAGCAUUGAAUUUCUUAGCACGUCAAACACUCCCUUUUCUUUUAAAUUUAUAGCAAAACCUAAAUUUAAAAUAAACUUGUGUGCUCAGUAUCUUUUUAAGGUGAAUUAACAAGUUUCAACUUAACUUUGUAUCUUCUCUAGAUAUGUCUGUGACUGUGCCUUGAUUUUCUCACAACCAUUAAGAUGGUUCGAUACCAAAUAAAUGGAGACAAAUUUAUUUCCUGUUAUUCUCUGAUAGUAUCUUCGUUUCUUGAUAGAAUUUUCUUGGAAAUGAUGAGUUGCCACUUCCUUUUGACUUUGCUGGCUUCCCAAAUAGAUAAAGAAUUCCUCUCGAUAGAUUUCUUUGAAAUGAUGAGAAUAUGUUAUAGUUUUCUUUGAAAUGAUGAGAAUAUUUUAGAAUUUUCUGGUUGACGCCAGCUGUCAACAACUAUCUUACAUUCCCUUGGCAUCGUGUUCCAUGCCUUUGCAAAAUAUUAAAGGCUCCAAUGCCUCUCUAGCAAUAAGAUUAUUUUUUUAUUUGUCCCCGAAUACAUGUGUCAUUUAUCGAAAAAAUUAAUUUAAUCACAAAAAAAAAAUCCAACUACCAUGCCAUUUCACAAUUAUUUUUUUUAAUUAUGAUUUAGUGUUAUGUUAACCAGGCAACAUUUAAUAACCAUGAUAUAAAAUACAAAAAUAGUGGGAACAUAGAAAACAUGUUUUUAUAUAUUUUUUUAUUUAAAAGUAUAAAUUUUACUCCAAUUUCACUCAAAAACUAUUGUAAAAAGAUAUUUAUUUUAAAUUUAUCUAUAUUUUUAUAGUUCAUAAAUUAAAAAUAAUACAGAAAUAAUGAUCCAGACUCAUCUAAAAACAGUUAACUCUGACAAAGAUAAUUUAUUAAUCACGAAGUUUUCUAACGAUUAACGAAUUUAAUAUAUAAUAAAGGCCGAGUGAAAGAAUAAAUUUAAUUGUAUAAUGUGCUAAAGUUUGAAUAGGCAACUUUAGAAUCACGAAGCAGUGAUAUCACACGAGAAGAUUGAAAGAAUAAUUAAAGUGAUUUUUCUAACAUUAUAAAAAACAUUAACCGAAAAGAUGACCCCAAGUCAAAGUCUUUGUGGAAAAACAUGAAUAAAAGGUUAGCGCUGGCCAGCUCACUUUCCAUGAAGAUGAUGGAUACAUAGCCCUCCCUUCUAUUUUUAUGGAAAUCACGUUUAGAAAAUCAUGCUUUAACUUUAAUGGUGUUGGCAAAAUCAAACAUUAUUAUUGCUAUCUGAGUUUUUUCUAAGAGAUGGGUCCGUUCCACAAUUUCCCCUCAAGCUUGAGAAGGGAUGAUAUAUAUAUAUAUAUAUAUAUAUAUAUAUAUAUAUAUAUAUAUAUAUAUAUAUAUGCGCUUUAAUUUCAACUUGUAUAAAAAAUAAAUCUUAAUGUAGUGUGUUACAAUAAUUCAACCACGAUUAAUUAAUUUUAAUGGUUGGUCAUUUAAACUUGGGUGUUUUUUCGGUAUUAAUAUAUAUAUUCCUCAAUUAUCAUAAAAAAUUAAGAAAAAACUAAUAAUAAGAUUAAAAAUAAAUGUUUUAUUCAUCGAAAUAAUUAAAAGUAAGGUUUACUUAAGGUAUAUAUGGGACGAUAAAAAAAUAACAAUAAGAUCAAUUUAUAAAAAAAAAAAUCAUAGAUUUAGUUUUCCUAAAUUUUAAAUGCAGUGUGAAUGCGUUCCGCAAGAAAAAAAAUAGUGCAAAAUUAGCCUUUCAAGAAGUAGAGAAUCUUCCUCUUUGAAGGAAUUAAUUAGUGGGUUGGAAAAAUGUCGUCUUUUGCUCUAAUAUUUUCUUCACUUUGUCAAUAGUUUUACCUUACACUAAUAUUGUCAGAAAAUGAUAUAUACUUCUUGUGUUAUAUCCUUCAAGAUUUCAAUUGAAAAGGAGGGUCGUAAAAAAAUUAAUUUUUAUAAACAUAUCCUUAACUCUGUAUCUUCUCUAGAUAUGCCUGUGACUGAGCUCCAUAAAGAAUUCCUAUUUAACAUUAAUCUGUCCAUCAAGUUUUCUCUAGAUAUGUCUGUGAUUAAGACCAUCUUGAUAAAUGAGAUUUUACUCUGUAAUUUUAAUGCAUAGCUGUCAAUGACCCGAAACAUGCAAAUUAAAAUUCAAAGUGUGAGCAUUGAAUUUCUUUCCGUGUUGUUUCCUCUUUCCCAUUGAUUGAAGAGCGUAAGAGGAAAAACUAAAAAGGCAAAAGUUCUGUUGUACAGUGAAAAAGAGCAUGAGAAAUACAGAGAAACAGAGAUGCAUGAAUCCUUCUCCACUAGCGUCUCUCGUCCAUCGGAUCAUUGUGGUUUCAAGAUUGAUGCCCUCUUUGUUCGAUUCCUCAGACCUUUCGGAAACUGUAUAUAUAUUCUAUAUAAAAGAUGCCCCGUGUUUUAGAAUUUACCCCGCGGGCAAGUCUGUGCAAGGGCAAAAGGGGACGGUGGACUUGACAAAGGGCUGAGGGGUGGGUGAGAUGCUAUGUCAAGAAAUGAUUUUGGAAAAUUUCUUCAUAUUUGUUGAAAAACUAAGAUAAGAUAGGAGUCUUGAUCAAGACAAGAACAUAGGCUCUCCAAGACGAUGGACUUGACAAAGGGCUGAGGGGUGGGUGAGAUGUUAUGUCAAGAAAUGAUUUCCAAAAUUUCUUCAUAUUUGUUGAAUAACUAAGAUAAGAUAGGAGUCUUGAUCAAGGCAAGAACAUAGGCUCUCCAAGACAAUUGAUCAGAAGGAGAGAAGGAAGGCUCUAUAUCCUUAGCACGUCAAACACUCCUUUGCACAUUAGAGAAAUUGUCGAGUUAUUUCUGCUUCUGCUUUUUCUUUUUCUUUUUUAAUAAUAGUCGAGUAUUAUUAUAGAAAGGUGCUAGAACCAAAAUUAUAGUCUAGCUAGCAUAAAAGAAAAACAGAGGACAGUAUAUACAAGACAGGGAGAGGAAGUAAUAACAUAACAUAAUAUAUAUAUGUAUAUAUUAAAAAACCUCGAGUUAACCCGUCAAGUUUAUAAACAAAUUCAAGAGAUUAAAUUUUGAUUUUUAAACACAACCAUCCAGUAAUUUCCUGGUGAUUUCCUUAUGCAUACUGUUUGAUGAAUCAUUUAAGUAAAUGUUCUUGUAAUGUUUUCAAGAGACUCCCCUGUUUUACAACUAAUUCACUUAUAUAUCUUGGAACAUGGCCAAAAACGAAGGGUUCUCCGGUUCAAGAAAAUUAACCAUGAAGCUCGUAGCUAUAAUUUUUAGCCAGAAGGGUGGCCAAAUAAACUCCUAUACACUGUAUCUCUGGAAGAAGUAAAAAUAGAUGUAUGUAUAUUACUUGACCGACACUUGCUUAUGUCAUUAUUUGUUUUUACCUUUUGCUAAUGAUUCCUCACAUUGCUGAUAUUGGUGUCGUUUGUGAGUUCAGGGUUCUUGCUCGCUGCUACUAACUUCUCUAUACCUAGCCUGGUCAUUAAAAAUGAAACUUAAUGAUUUAAUUACAAGAGCAGAAUAGAGACAUUAAAGACGCAUCUUCAGUUUUGUUUCAUAAAUCAGUUUAUAAAACUUUCUUACAAAAAUUAUAUACCAUGCAUUCACAAAUAUCGCAUGUAAGCAAAUUUAUGUUUGUGUGAAAAUGACAUUUUUUUAUAUAUAUAAACAUAAAUAUGAAUCUCAAGCUCUUUUAUAAUAUUAAGAGGUAGUAUAUUAAUAGUUGAACCAUUAUCCACCAAUAUAUAAUUCACCAUCUUUUUAUCGAUAUAGCUUUUAAUAAAUAAAUAAAAAGUUGUUUAUAAAGUUUUGAUAAGUAACAAGUUUUCAUUAUUAAAGGAUAUUUUUAUGGUGCAUACACCUUGAGACAAGUACACCUUGAGACAAGUUGAAAGAGCCAGUCAUGACAGACAUAGUAGGAGUUUUCUUUUAAAUCAUAUCAAAUUGCAAAGUAGCUUAUCUUAGUUAAGGUGUGUUAGGGGUGCUAAUAUCUUUCCUAGCUAUAAUUAGUCUUUUACUCGUAAAUCUCUAACAAAGACCAAUACAUUCGGGUUUUCUAAUAACCCUGAAUUAAAUACUAGAUGAUGACUCCAACAAUCAAACGAACAAGCAAAAAUCACCAUUGACGACGCGCGGGGACGGGCAACAAAGUUAAUGAAUAUUGUUGGUUGAAGAGAAGUAGCAUAUUGGAGGAACAACUCAUGCCACUAAUUUACAGUCACCAUAUUUAGAACUUCUACUCUAAAUUUAUUAUAUUCUAUUGUAUCAAUUGGUUAGAAUAGAUUGUAUAUUAAUCUAAAGUAAAUUCUUAUUUUAAUAACUUUAAAGAUGCACCUCCAUCUAGUGUAUUUAAAAAGAUUUAACAAAUUACUUCUUGUCUCUAAUAGUAAAAAUAAUAUAUUUUUAACAUGUGCUACGCUACAAGUCAGAUUAUAUAUUUUUUCAAUGUAAAAAAAAAUUAUGUAGGUAUUGUUAUAUUUUUCUAUUAGAAAAAAAAAACUUAAACCGUGUGAAAGUUAACCAAAUCUAUAAUUAAUUAAUUAAUUGAGAAUUUGAGCUCCUUAAGAAAAGUUGUUUAUGGACUUUUGUUUUCCUGAGAAAACUCCCUUAAAACCCUUGAGCACCACCUUCUCGAAAAUAUCUAUCUUUGCCAUAACGCAGGGGCUACGUAUCUUUUUAAGAUGAAUUAACAAGUUUCAACUCAUCUCUGUAUCUUCUCUAGAUACAGAGAAUUCCUAUUUAACAAUCUGUCCAUCAAAUUUUUGAUCCCCGAUUAAGACCAUCUUGAUAAAUGAGAUUUUACUCUAUAAUUUUAGUGGAUAGCUGUCAAUGACCUCAUACAUGCAAAUUAAAAUUCAAAGUGUGAGCAUUGAAUUUCUUGUCAGUUUACACCUUUCUGUGGUGUUUCCUCUUUCCAUUGAUUGAAGAGCGUCUAAGAGGAAAAACUGAAAAGGCAAAAGUUCUGUUGUACAGUGAAAAAGAGCAUGAAUCCUUCUCCACUAGCGGCUCUCGUCCAUCGGAUCAUUGUGGUUUCAAGACUGAUGCCCAAUCAUCGCCCUCUUUGUUCGAUUCCUCAGACUGAUGUUAUAGAAUAAUUUACCGAGAGUGGCGGAGGACUUGAGAAAGAGCUGAGGGGUUACGUCAAGAAAUAAUUUUGGAAAAUUUCUUCAUGUUUGUUGAAUAACUAAUAUAGGAGUCUUGAUCAAGGCAAGAACAUAGGCUCUCCAAGACGAUGGACUUGACAAAGGGCUGAGGGGUGGGUGAGAUGUUAUGUCAAGAAAUGAUUUUGGAAAUUUCUUCAUAUUUGUUGAAUAACUAAGAUAAGAUAGGAAGUCUUGAUCAAGGCAAGAACAUAGGCCCUCCAAGACGAUUGAUCAGAAGGAGACAAGGAAGGCUCUAUAUCCUUAGCACGUCAAACACUCCUUUGCACAUUAGAGAAAUUGUCGAGUUAUUUCUGCUUCUGCUUUUUUUUUUUUUUUAAAUAAUAGUCGAGUAUUAUUAUAGAAAGGUGCUAAAGCUAAAAUUAGAGGCUAUAGCUAGCAUAAAAGAAAAACAGAGGACAGUAUAUACAAGACAGGGGAGGAAGUAAUAACAUAAUAUAUGUCUUAAAAAAAACUCAAGUUAAUCCACCAGGUCUUCGCCCCGGAUCAUGAGAACGGAAUAAGAAAACUCAAUAUUAAAAGAUGAAAUUAAAAAAAAAACCAUAAAAAUAUAUAUAGCUUAACAAUAUUAAUUAAUUAUUAAAAUAUUUCAUUUUAUAUAUAUAUUAAAAAUAAAUAUUAAUAAUAUUAUAUCAAUUUGUGAAUGUUUCAAUUUAGAUGCGAAUGGAUGUUUUAUAUAUGACAUUUUUCUUAAGAAACCAAAGGUAUUAAGAAUAUGAAUCAAGGGUUAACGCUACUUUCAUUACGAUGACGGAUAAAGAAGACUUGCUACUUUUUUUAUGGAAAUAACAUGUGGAAAAUCAUGCCUUAAUCUUGACGGUAAUGGCAAAAUCAAACAAUAUCAUUGAUAAAAUGAACCACAAAUGAUAUUAUUUCUGUCAUGACAAUAAGUCUUUUUCUUUUUCUUUUUUUCUAAAAAAUCUAUUUUUUAUAACACAAUCAACAGGUAAGAUGGAUAAGAAUUUGUUAUGUGAGAUGGUCCCUAAGACUAUAUACUGCCAUCUGCAUUAAUUUCCAUGAUAUAGAAUUUUCUUCGAAAUGAUGACAAUAUCUUACAUUUCCUUGGCAUCGUGUUCCAAUGCCUUCGCAAAAUAUUAAAGGCUCCCAUGCCUCUCUAGCAAUAAAAUUAUUUUUUUAUUUGUCCCCGAAUACAUUUUUCAUUUAUCGAAAUAAUUAAUUUAAUCACACACAUAAAAAAAAAUAGAUCCAACUACCAUGCCAAUCCACAAUUUUUUUUUAUUAUUAUGAUUUAGUGUUAUGUUAACCAGGCAACAUUUAAUUACCAUGAUAUAAAAUACAAAAGUAGAGGGAACAUAAAAAACAUGUUUUUAUAUAUUUUUUAUUUUAAAAGUACAAAUUUUUACUUACAAACUAUUGUAAAAAGAUAUUUAUUUUAAAUUUAUCUAUAUUUUUAUAGUUCAAAAUUAAAAAUAAAACAGAAUUAAUCACUAACUUUAUAACAAAACUAGCAAAGGUAAUUUAUUAAUCACUAACUUUUCUGGUUAUAAAUAUAUUUAUAGUUGUCUUUUUCUCUUUUAUAUUUCUAACGAUUAACAAAUUGAAUAUAUAAUAAAUACCGAGUGAAAGAAUAAAUUUAGUUGUAUAAUGUGCUAAAGUUUAAAUAGACGACUUUAGAAUCACCAAGCAGUGAAUCACACAGGAAGAUUGAAAGAAUAAUUAAAGUGAUUUUACUAAAUGUUUUAUUCAUCGAAAUAAUUAAAAGUAAGGUUUACUUAAGGUAUAUAUGGGACGAUAAAAAAAUAACAAUAAAAUUAAUUUAAAAAAAAAUCAUAGAUUUAGUUUUCCUAAAUUUUAAAUGUAGUGUGAAUGCAUUCCGCAAGAAAAAAAUAGUGCAAAAUUAGCCUUUCAAGAAAUAGAGAAUCUUCCUCUUUGAAGGAAUUGAUUAGUGGGUUGGAAAAAUGUCUUUUGCUCUAAUAUUUUCUUCACUUUCUCUAUAGUUUUACCUUGCUCUAAUAUUGUCACAAAAUGAUACAUACUUAUUGUGUCAUCCUUCAAGAUUUCAAUUGAAAAUUAAGGAGGGUCGUCAAAAAUUUAAUUUUUAUAAACAUACCCUUAACUUAAUUUGGAUGUGGAUAAUUGUUUGAAAUAUAUUUACAUCCAAUAUAAACAACUCAUCAAUGAUCCAAGUCGGCAUUGGUUAGCUAAAAUAUUAAAAAUACUUACUCUUUUUUUUUUGGUGGCCAUGCAGUUCCUAUAUAUAUAUAUUAGUUGAAAUUUUAUGAUGUCCAUUAAUCCUUUUAAAUUAAAGUCAAGUUAUUAAUUAUAUCCUAUAAAUUUCUAGAAAAAUUAAUUCUCUCAAAUUUCGUCAUUUUAUUUACAAACUAUAGAAGGCCAUUGCUACAAACUAAAAUUCCAAGCAAGGAAGCUCUUUCAAAAACUUUUAAGCAUUUUUUAUCUACACUUGAGGUUUACAAAAAAUAAAAUUAUAUUGGAUCAAGCUUAAAUACUAUAUAAAAAUUCUUCAACAAUACAUUAAAAAUAAAUCAAAGGUACUCUUUAAAACAUCGAAUCAUUAAAUCUUACAUAUCAAAUAAAUCAAGUUAUCAUAUAUCAAAUUAUAAAGAAGAAUUAAAUGAUUGUUUUAUUUUUUUUAUAAAAAUAGUUUAAAUAGAAAUUAUUAUGUGUGGAUCAUAUGGCCCUAGGCAAAUUAAGGCCUCACAUAUAGCCAGCUAUAGCAUGGGAUAGCCAGCGGUCAUUCCAUCAGGAGAUUUGUGAAUUCUGGAGCCUUUGCAAUGUGCUUGCAUGUGUCCAAGAACCCACCAGGAACUCCAUUUUGACAGGGAAACCUUUGACGAACUGUAUUAUACGUGAUUUGCUCCUGGUUUUAUAAAUUAGAAAGUGUAAAUUGUAAAUCCCAACCAAUAAGAUAUCUACAUAAGAGUCUGUAAAUGUUACAGAUGAUUUAAGUUUGUUUACCAAAUUUUUCAAGAACAUGUUUGUCUUUGGUAGCUUAUUGUCAUAGCUGUGAACUCUGAAGAAAAUUGAUGUAAGAAACCAAAGUCCAUUUUGUUCUAGAUUGUAGAUGGAUAUAAGCUUGGUGAUUCCCAAUUCUUUUAUUAAUUUCAUUUUAUAAAUUCCCUGUGAUGUGUUCUUAAUUUCUAUACCACACCGAUGUCUGUUAGGUUCUGAUUCAAUCGAAUUGGAGCCGAUCAAAAUUGUAAUGACUCACAUGCCCUUGAUUAUGCCCAAGAAGAAAACUAAACAAAUAGUAGAUGAGCAGUGUGCUGAAAAUAAAUAUUUUCAGCAUAUUACAUAGAUCUAAAACAAUAGCACACAGGAAUUAAAAAGAGGAGGGAUCGCUAGGGAUCAUUUUCUUAUCUCCUGUAUCAUAUCUUCCACAAAUCUUAAGUAAUUGAUGAGAAAGUGGAUAUACCACUUUCUCUUCUUUAUUGCACUACUGGCUAAGAUGAGUUCAAGCAUUAAAAGGUUGUGAACGCGGAUGCUUGACUUGCUGUGUACCAUUUUGAUUUUUAAAAGCAACCAUGCAGUAAUUUCCUGGUGAUUUCCUUACGCAUACUGGUGGUCUCUUCCAGAAUCUUUUUCCAAACAACCCUCAUAUUGUUUGAUGAAUUAUUUUCUUUAUUCCCGUUUCAAUGUUUUCAUACUUCGAUACUGUAGAGUAUAUAUUGCAAUGUGAUAUAAGGUUAACUCAUUGCAUUUUCAUUAAUUGAAAGGAUUUCUCUUUUUUUCUUUGUCAAUUACAGCACAUGCAUGGAGGUGUUCUUACUCAGAGUAAAUGCUAUUGUAAUGUUUUCACAUAGACUCCCCUGGUUUGCAACUAAUUCACUUACAUAUUAUAGAACAUAGCCAUAAAUGAAAGGUUCUUUCAAUUCAAGAAAAUUAACCAUGAAGCUCGUAGCUAGAAUUUUUAGACAAAAUGGUGGCGAAGUAAACUCCUAUACUCUGUACCUCUGGAGGAAGUAAAAAAAGAUGUCUAUGUAUAUUACUUGACCGACACUUGCUUAUGUCAUUAUUUUUUUUUUUAACUUUUUGCUAAUGAUUCCUCACAUUUCUGAUAUUGGUGUGGUUUGUGAGUUCAUGGUUCUUGCUCGCUGCUACUAACUUCUCUACUUUGCCUGGUCUGAAAUCUCAGCUCAGAAAACCUAUUCGCAAGCAUAUAACCUGUUAAAAUCCCUCCAACACUUGACUACAAUAAUUUGUUAACUACAUGCUACCUAAUAAACUAAUCAUAGCUCCUAGAGCAUUCAGAAUUCUAUUAUGCUUUUUGGGUUGUAAACUAGUCUCAAUUACCUUUUCAUCCAUGUAUAUAAUUCAGAUAGCAAUUCCUUUUAUAUAAUUUAUAAUAAUCUCCGAAAUCAUUCCUGGGUAUUGUUAACAGAUAGUCCGUCCACGUAUUCUUUACUAUUUUCAUCAUAGCUAUUUCUGUGAAAACUGGAUUAAUGCACCAUUUAUGGUAUUAAAAACCAGAGGGAACAAGCUUUUCCUAUGUAUAAAAUUUGGGUUAAAAACAGUUUCUAUUCAAAUCAUUUUUUGGAUCAAACAGUAGCCCCUGUAAAAUACUUAAACUAACAACUUCUAACUUUAUUGUCUAAUUGUUAACCUAAUACUUCUAUACCAUUAAACAACCACUAAGCAAUCAUAUUUUCAUGAUCUAUACCACUAAGCAAUUAUAUUUUCAUAACCUAUUUAAUUAAUCCGAAACCUUUCUAAAUAUAAUGUUUUUAUUAUCUCGAAAUAAAAAAAACAUAAUCUCACUACAACAUUUAAUAAUUUUUUCCACAUUAAAAAUAUUCAAAUUAGUUUUGUUGGCAUAUAACCUCACCAAACUAUUUGCUUGGACCACAUUGACUGGGAGUCAAUUAUUGUCGUAAUUGAUGAGAAAGUGGAUAUACCACUUUUUCUUUAUAGCACUAUUGGCCAAGAUGAGUAAUUUCCUGGUGAUUUCCUUAUGCAUACUGGUGGGCUUCCAGAAUCUUUUUCCAAAUAAUCCUCGUUAGACACUACUUGGGGUUUAGCUUGGAGUAAGAUUUGUAUCAUGAUUUUUUAUCAGGUUACGGGUUAACUUGGAUCAACCUAAUACUAAUUUUGUGUGUGUGUCAAAACAAUAUUGUUUUUUAUAUAUAAACCUAAAUAUAAAUCUCGAGUUUUUUUAUAAUCUUAAGAGGUAGUAUAUUAAUAGUCGAAUCAUUAUCCACCAAGAUACAAUUUACCAUCUUUUUAUUGAUAUAUGUUUUAAUUAAAAAAUAUUGUUUAUGGAGUUUUGAUCCAAGCAACACGUCUUCAUCAUUAAUGGAUAUCUUUGUAGUGCAUACACCUUGAGACAAGCUGAAAGAGUUAGUUUUAGUAGGAGUUUUCUAUAUAUUUUUCUCAUUUUUUAUGUUAAAUUAGGAAGAGAUGAAUAAGAAACUGAACUUGAGGAUGGACUAUAUCAUUGUUAACUUCUUGAUAAGAAUACUCCAACAUGAUGGUCAGUGCAAAAAAGAAAACAAAGUAAUUAAACAAGACAGACUUAGGAUUCCACAGAUCAAUAUACCUACAAAACUUCUCGAGUGAAACGACCAACAAUAAGGCUAAGCUAUGAGGUCAACACACUAAAAAGCACCCAUUAGCUGGACACAUUCAAGAAAAUUGCCGACAAGUUUCGAACUAACACAAUUUUGGGCCAAGAAUGCAAGAAGCAAACAACUUAUUCCCUCACCAGCAACCACAACAAAUUCAGUACUCCCAUGCUAAGAUCUUCUGAAGUUGGAGAACUUGCGAAAAUUAAUACGUACAAGGCUUCAACACUCCAAAGCCUGCAAGAGAAAUAUCAAAGCAAAAUAAGUAGCGUUAAACAGCAGCCAUUUCAUCAUUUUUAAUUUUAGUAUAACGCAAUAAUAUGAACCAGCCUUGAUUCUCAAAGGCACCCAACUAAUUCAUUAGCCUUCAAAUCAAGACUUUGCAAUUCUUUCAAAGGCAGAAACAAAGAUGCUUUGAGAACCCACUCGCCUAACCCCCAAUCCCCAGCACCCCCAAGAGAGAGUUGGAUCACUCGCCUUUCAGUGGUAUCGCACACGAUCCUAGACCACGCACAACAAUUACUGCCCAGGUAUCUCGGCAGUUAUGGCUUGUGUAGGUUUUGGUUCACGAUGGAGAUGAUGGAUACAAUAAUGUAUUUCGACAACAAAACUUUCAAUUCUUGUAGAGUUCUUGUUAGUUGAUUGUUUUAGGACUGCAACGUGUCUAAGUAUCAGAAAUUAUUUUAUGCUUUCAUUCUGUUUUUAGUUUGUCCUAGUCUUUAGGAAGUGGUUAGUUUGUUGGCACACGUUGCUGUUCAUGGCACACGUUGAUGUUCAUGGCUUAAUUCUCGGUUUCAGUUUUUUUCUCUGUUUCUAUUUAAUGUAAGCUUGCUGCAUAAUAAUAUUUGAAUUCCCAGUUUGUAUUCCCUUAUCUACUAUUUCUAUCUUUCUCCCUUCUCCAUAUCCAUAAACUUCUACCUCUGUUAUACUCCUUUCUUUCUUUAAAACUAACAAAUUGGUAUCAGAGCUUUUAUUGUUCUUAAGGGAUCUGUGUGUGACUUUGACGUAUCAUGGAAGCUGAAACAAGUUUCUCCUCAAUUGCUCCGCCAGUGUUCAAUGGUGACAACUACCAAAUUUGGGCAGUACGCAUGGAGACAUAUUUGGAAGCUUUGGAUCUUUGGGAAGCAGUGGAUGAAGACUAUGAUGUUCCUGUACUUCCAAACAAUCCCACCAUGACGCAGAUCAAAACUCACAAGGAGAUGAAGACGAAGAAGUCAAAGGCCAAAGCAUGCUUGUUUGCUGCGGUGUCAACAACAAUCUUCACAAGAAUAAUGUCCCGUAAGACAGCCAAGUCUAUAUGGGAUUACCUUAAGGAAGAAUAUGCAGGAGAUGAAAGGAUAAGAGGAAUGCAGGUUUUAAAUUUGAUACGGGAUUUCGAGUUGCAAAAGAUGAAGGAAUCUGAAACAAUUAAAGAGUAUUCAGAUAGACUUCUUGGAAUUGCAAAUAAAAUCAGGCUACUCGGGUCUGAAUUCAGUGAUUCAAGGAUUGUGGAAAAAAUCCUUGUCACAGUACCUGAAAGGUAUGAAGCGACAGUUACCACCCUGGAAAAUACCAAGGAUCUGUCAAAAAUUUCCUUGGCAGAAUUACUUAAUUCCCUACAGGCGCAAGAGCAGAGACGACAUAUGAGGCAAGAGGUCAACACUGAAGGAGCCUUAUUUGCAAAACAUCAUGGAGCUUACAGAAACAAAAGGAAAGAGAAGAAAGGCCAAGAGGGAAAUUCUUUUGCUCCUGUUUUGAACAACAACAGAAGCAAAAAAGGAAGCUUCAAGGGUAAAUAUCCUCCUUGCCAUCAUUGUAAAAAGGAAGGUCACCCUCCAUUCAAAUGUUGGAGGAGACCUGAUGCAAAAUGUUCAAAAUGCAAUCAAAUGGGACAUGAAGCAGUAAUUUGUAAGGGAAGAGCUCAGCAGCAUGAAGUUGAUGCCCAAGUUGCAGAACAAGAAGAUGAAGAUCAGCUUUUUGUAGCAUCCUGCUUUGCAAGUAGUAGUUCGACUGAAAGUUGGUUAAUUGACAGUGGUUGUACCAAUCACAUGACCAAUGACAAGAAACUCUUCAGAGAUUUGAGGCCAACUGAUAUUACUAAAGUCAAAAUUGGCAAUGGUGAUCACAUCUCUGUCAAAGGAAGAGGGACAAUCACCAUAACCAGCACAGCAGGCACAAAAACAAUUUCUGAUGUUCUCUACGUACCAGAAAUUAAUCAAAAUUUGUUGAGCGUAGGCCAAUUGAUUGAAAAAGGCUUUAAAGUGCUCUUUGAAGAUGGUUUCUGUCACAUACUGGAUGCUAACAGUGAGGAAAUUCUCAAAGUGAGAAUGAAAGGAAAAAGUUUUUCGUUUGAUCCUAUCAAAGAAGAACUUGCUGCAUUCUCCAUGAAAGCUUGCAACACAGAGAUAUGGCACAAGCGACUUGGUCAUUGUCACUUACAAAGGAUGCAACUUAUGCAGGAAAGGGAACUCAUAGUUGGCUUACCAACCUUUGGAGAUCACUUACCGAAUUGUCAUGCUUGUCAAUACGGUAAACAAAAUAGGAGACCAUUCCCAAAGUCAUCCUGGAGAGCCACUCACAAGUUGCAGCUAAUCCACACAGAUGUAUCAGGUCCUCAAAGAACUGAAUCAUUAGCAGGUAGUCGAUAUUACAUUGCUUUUAUUGAUGAUUUUUCAAGAAUGUGCUGGAUUUUUUUCUUGAAAUUCAAGUCAGAAGUAGCUGGAGUCUUCUGGAAGUUCAAGAAGAUGGUAGAAAAUCAAAGUGGCUGCAAAAUUCAAGCUGUAAGGUCAGAUAAUGGAAAGGAGUACACUUCAGCAGAAUUUGAUAUGUUUUGUGAAGAAGCUGGCAUUGAACACCAGCUUACUGCUCCUUACACUCCGCAGCAAAACGGAGUAAGUGAAAGGAGAAAUAGAUACAUAAUGGAGAUGGCCAGAUGCAUGCUACAUGACAAGGAGUUACCCAAAUAUUUUUGGGCUGAAGCGGCCAGUACUGCUGUUUUCUUACAGAACAGAUUAUCCACCAAAGCAUUGAAGGAUAAAACUCCAUUUGAGGCAUGGUAUGACUAUAAACCUUCACUCAAUUUUCUUAGAGUGUUUGGUUGCUUGUGUUUCUCUCACAUUCCACAGGUCAAGCGGGAUAAACUUGAUAAAAAGUCAGAACCAGGCAUCUUUGUUGGGUACAGCUCUUUCUCGAAGGCAUAUAAGGUUUAUCAACCUCAAACAGGGAAGAUAAUUGUCAGUAGAGAUGUGUUCUUCAAUGAAGAAGAGAAAUGGAAUUGGGAACAGACAAAAGAGACAUCCACAAGCAAGCAAAAAUCAAGUCUAACCUCCCAAACAAGAGAAGAGCAAGCAUCAGAACAAUGGCAAGAAGAAUUGGAAGAUGAUCUUCCAAUUCGUGGAACAAGACCGCUCCAUGAUAUCUAUCAACGAUGCAAUGUGGCCAUUUGUGAACCUGCUGGUUAUGAAGAGGCUAUUAAAGAUCCAAAAUGGCAGAAGGCGAUGGAGGAGGAGCUGUCAAUGAUAAAAAAGAACAAGACUUGGGAGCUAGUUGACAGGCCAAAGGAUAGAAAGAUUAUUGGAGUAAAAUGGGUGUUUAGAACCAAGCUCAAUGCUAAUGGUUCCAUCAACAAACACAAAGCCAGGCUUGUUGUUAAGGGAUAUGCUCAAGUCUUUGGAGUUGAUUACUCGGAUACAUUUGCCCCUGUUGCUAGAUUGGAUACUAUUCGGCUUGUGCUAGCUAUAGCAGCUCAAAAUGGGUGGAAGGUGUUUCAACUAGAUGUGAAAUCUGCUUUUUUAAAUGGUAUUUUGCAGGAGGAAAUCUAUGUUGAACAGCCCGAGGGAUUCAUGGAACAAGGUGAAGAGGAGAAGGUCUACUUGCUCAAGAAGGCUCUAUAUGGCUUGAAACAAGCACCUAGAGCAUGGUAUAGCAAGAUAGAUGAGCAUCUGUCAAGCCUAGGAUUUCAGAAAAGUUUGUCAGAGGCUACUCUUUAUGUGAAAUGUAAAGGAGACAAUCUGCUUAUAGUCUCUCUUUACGUUGAUGAUCUUUUAAUCACAGGUGACAAUGCCAAGCUUGUUGAAGAGUUCAAAAGGGAAAUGAUGAAAUUUUUGAAAUGACAGACCUUGGACUCAUGGCAUACUUUCUGGGAAUGGAGAUCAAACAGUUAGAAAAUGAAGUUUUCAUCUGUCAAAAGAAAUAUGCCAAGGAAAUUCUCAAGAAGUUUCAUAUGGAGGACUGUAAGGCAAUGGCUACUCCAAUGAAUCCAAAGGAAAGCUUAAGUAAAGAGGACGGCACAGACAAAGUUGAAGAAGGCUAUUUCAGAAGCAUGAUUGGUUGCCUAAUGUACCUAACAGCAACCAGACCAGAUAUUCUUUUUGCUGUAAGCAUUCUCUCUCGUUACAUGCAUUGUGCUAGUGAAGUGCAUCUUAAAGCUGCAAAAAGAGUCAUUAGAUACAUCAAAGGAACUAUUGAUUUUGGUGUAAAAUUCAAGUACUGUCAAAACUUCAAGUUGCUGGGAUUUUCUGACAGUGAUUGGGAUGGAUCAGUGGAUGACAUGAAGAGUACAUCUGGGUAUUAUUUUAGCCUAGGAUCAGGAGUUUUCUCAUGGAGUUCCAAGAAGCAAGAGACUGUAGCACAGUCUACUGCCGAGGCUGAAUUUAUUGCUGCUACAGCAGCAGUGAAUCAAGCUUUGUGGCUGAGGAAGUUGUUCUGUGAUUUACAUUUGAAGCAACAAAAUGAUACAGAGGUGUUUGUGGACAAUCAGGCAGCAAUUGCAAUCUCCCACAAUCCUGUUUUUCAUGGAAAAACCAAGCAUUUCAAGAUCAAAUUUUUCUUUUUAAGGGAAGUGCAGAAGGAAGGAGAAGUGAGCCUCAUUUAUUGCAAAUCUGAAGAUCAGCUUGCAGACAUUUUUACAAAACCUUUGCCAGCAAACAAGUUUGAACCUCUUAGGCAAAGACUUGGAGUUUGCAGCUCCUAAAUCAUGGAGGAGUGUUAGUUGAUUGUUUUAGGACUGCAACGUGUCUAAGUAUCAGAAAUUAUUUUAUGCUUUCAUUCUGUUUUUAGUUUGUCCUAGUCUUUAGGAAGUGGUUAGUUUGUUGGCACACGUUGCUGUUCAUGGCACACGUUGAUGUUCAUGGCUUAAUUCUCGGUUUCAGUUUUUUUCUCUGUUUCUAUUUAAUGUAAGCUUGCUGCAUAAUAAUAUUUGAAUUCCCAGUUUGUAUUCCCUUAUCUACUAUUUCUAUCUUUCUCCCUUCUCCAUAUCCAUAAACUUCUACCUCUGUUAUACUCCUUUCUUUCUUUAAAACUAACAGUUCUUUAUGGAAAAGGGAUUGCGAAGAGGGGACUCUUUAUCAACAUCUCUUUUCAAUAUAGCAACUGAGGGUCUUAGUAGAAUGCUAAGAACAGAUGUGAUUUGGGACUUAUAAAAGGUAUUUGUUUUGGUCAUGAUCAACCGAAAAUUACUCACUUUUAGUUUGUAGAUGAUACACUCAUCUUCAGUUCAUAUGAUUUUCCAUCUCUUCAAAACAUCAAAAGAACUAUGUGAUGUUUUGAGUUGAUUUCUAGGCUGAAGGUUAAUUUCCACAAGAGCUCAAUCACUAGAACUAUUGUUACUUCUUUAGCAAUCUAAUAUGUAGGAUGGAGGGGAUGCCAUUUAAGUAUUUGGGCCUGCCUAUUUGUGCAUCUUCAUCUCAUGUGGAAAACUAUUGUUAAUAGAAUCAAUAGCAAGUUGGCUGCCUGGAAAGGUCGUCACUAAGCUUGCUUAAAUCAAUUAUAAAUAAUCUCCCUAUCUACAACCUUUCUUUAUUUCCUAUCACAUCCAUUGUUGCUACCAAAAUUGAGAAACAUAUCAUAUCUUUCUUUGGUUCUUAGGAGGAACGAGGGAAAAAACUAUGCAAUGUUAAAUGGGCAUCGGUCGUUCCUCCAAAAACAAAAGCAAAAAGGGCUAGGUAUAAACUACAUUAUUGAUAAAAAUCAUGGGUUAAUAACACUUCCAUACCAAUCAAAGAGAUAUGUAUUUUUCCUAUUACUUUCUCAAGUUACCAUGAUGAGAGUGUAAUGUGACUCCAAUAAAUGUAGGAUAUGUUAGGUAUAUAAUGUCUCUGUGAUAUGGACAUCGUCAUUUUUGGUAUGUCAAAUUCUUACUAUUUCACUCUUAAAAGUAGAAAGAUCUACUUAGUUGGACCACCAGUACCAAGGCUUAACAACAAUAAUGAGGAAAAAAAAGCAUGUGUAAGGAAAGGGAUUUAAUCUUAUAAGCCCAAAUAAUUUUGACAAUCAGGUUCAUCAAGAGUUUGUUGUAUUUGCUUUAGUGGUUAAGAAAGUUUUAGAGAAACCACUUGAAGAAGUAAUUACGGUUUUAAAAGAGUUUCAAGAUGUUCGUCCUCUCAAGGUUCAUAAUUCCUUACCCCGUUAUACAUGACAUUCAACACGUAAUAGAUUUUAUCCAGUGAACCUGGUGAUUCCACCUCACGUUCAUCCUCCACCCGCUGAAGACUACCAUUGAAAGAGAAAAGCUCCACCUUUGGGUAUAAACUGGAUUGAUUGCAUUCCAUCUGAAUCACGUGGGCUUAAUGGAAGGAACGAACAAUUGUCGGUUUUAAAAGUUUGGUUUGUAACAAUCAUUGUUGUCAUAACCCAAUUUUUGAUCAUUUUAUUUUUAUUUUUAUUUUAUUUUUAUUUUAUUUAUUGAAAAGGAUAAAAAAAAAUUGAUGAAAAAAUAAUAAUGAUGAUGAAAAAAGAAGUAAAAUGAAAUAAAUGAAGAAUGAAUUAAAUUUUAGGUUAAGGGUAAUAUGAAUGAAAGUUUUGGGGUUUAAUUAAACAUUGGAAUUAAUGUAAUUAAGGUUGGAAUUAAUUUAUUUAAUCUAAUUAAGAGUUUAAUUGGAGAAUUGAUAAGUUUGGAGACUUAAUUAAGCUUGAAAUUAAUUCAAUUAAUCCAAUUAAGGGUUUAAUUGGAGAAUUGAUAAGUUUUGAGACUUAAUUAAACUUGGAAUUGAUUUAAUUAAUCCACUUAAGGGUUUAAUUGGAGAAUGGAUAAGUUUUGAGACUUAAUUGGACUUUGGAUUUAAUUAAAUUAAUGAAAUCAGGGACUUAAUUAAGGAAAUAUCAAAGUUUGGAGUUUAAUUGAGGUCCAAAUUGAAACAAAUAAAAUCAAAGGACCAGCAUGAAAAUGGCGCCGAAAUACAGGGGUCCAAUUACAAUUUAACUAGGGACUUAAUUACAAAAAUAUCAAACAUACAAGGUCCAAAAUGCAAAUAGCCAUUAAACACAAAAACGGCGCCGUUUUCCCUUUUCUGUUCAUCUUCUUCCCGACUGAAACGGCGCCCCGCCGCUCCCACCAUUACACCUGCAAUUAACACCAUGGCUUAAAGAAACGGCAUUCUUCUCUGGCUAUAAAAGCCAGAGAUAGUCCAUGCAUAAGGGGGAGAGAAAAAAAACAGAGCCACAAACGGCAGAAAUAAGGAGUCACAGAACCGGAGGAAAGAAAAGGGAGCAGAACCGGGUAGGGAGACUGUACAGAUGGGAGCAGAAUUUGUGCCCUUGUUUCUUCUAAAAGACACAGAGGCGCUCGGCGCCAUUCUCUGGUAAGCCAGAGAAGGCCAUAGAGAAGGAAACAAGUAACUCAGGGGGCAGCGCCUUCCCCCCUUCACCACUGAACUCACAGACGAAGAAGAAAAGGCAGCAGACCAAGAAACCCAGAAACAGGAGGACGAAGACACUGGAAACACGAACAGGGGAACCGAGAACCAGCAAGAAAGAAAACCGAAACAGAGGAAGAACAAGAGGACAACGCAGGAGCAUACAAAGGAACCGAAGCAGAGUUUUGGCCGCUCAUCCAUCACGCCUCCGUCUCCUAAAUCAGAGAGCAAGCCAGGCGAACAAAAACGGAGAAGAGCCAGAGAACAAGAACGCUUCGCCUCCAGCAGACCAGGUAAGUUCUUCCUCUUCCCCACUUUUCAAAUUCAUUUCACCUAUUACUUUGCAAAGGUAAUACACUUACCUUAUUACUGUUGCCAGCAUGCGUGCCCAGCCGGGUCACUGGCUUGGGCCAAUGACCGGGCUGGGUCCAGCCCAGCCCAUGUGGGCUGAGCUGGACCCAGCCCAAAAAAAAUAAAAAAAAUAAAAAAAUAAAAAAAAUAAAAAAUAUGUAUGCAUGAAUAAAAAUAAUGUAAAUUUAUUGGUUUAUUCACUUGCGCUAGAGUCAGGAAUAAAAAUACCGGUUUAAAUUUAUAUUAUUUUUAUUCGUUGUAUUUUUAUUUUGUUUAGCUAGAAAAAAUAAAAAAAGUGUGCAUGCGUAAAAAAUAAAUUUAUUUUUAUUUAUUUAUUCACUGGCGCUGGAGUAGGGAAUAAAAUAUAUUGAUCUAAUUUUUGUCGUAGCUACGAAUUUUUACCAACGCCAAAGUUGGAAUUAUUCGAGCUCGAAUAUUCACUGGUGUCAGAGUCUGGAAUAUUAUAGACAAAUCAUCACAGCAUAAAUUAAUAAAUAUUUAGCAAUUUAAGAAAAAACCAACAAUGCAGUCUGCCUUAGACAUAAUGUUUAAGGGGUGAUAAUAUCUUCCCUUUUACAUAACCAAUCUCGAGUCAUAGAAUCUCUGUUGACCAGUUAGGGUUUCUAGUAACCAUAAUACUAGGUGGCGACUCCUCAAACAAUACUAUUUUUACUAAAAGAACAAGAUGCCAGAAACUUGUUUUUUUUUCAUUAAUAAUUCAAGAGAAUUAUUUUUUAGGACCGUCGCGAUGUCGGGUGUGACAAUUGUAAUUUCAAAUCUCCAUACUCCUUCCAUUUAAGCAAGUAAUAAUAACAGAGAAUAUGUAUAAAUCUCAGUGUUGUUUUAAAUUUUAUGUAAGAUAGUACAGUUUCAUUCAAAAAAUGAGAAAGAACAAUAAAAAUCCUCAAAUUCUACCACCUUUGUAAGAUUGACAAGCUUCGCCUACUCUAACUGUAACGAAAGAUUCAGUGCCUAAUCUCUGGACGGAGAAGGGGACGCCCUUGUUAUGUACACGGUUGCUCUAAAUGAUUCGAUGAUGCUCAUUUUAAACAUAUCACGUCAGGUUAUCAAUCUCGUUCCGGAUAGUGUUUUAUUUUUUAAUUCAAACGGUAUGUUUUGAUUUCGGAGCAUUUCAGCAUGCUAUUUCAAGAUUAUACUGUUUAUAUAUAUAUAUAUAUAUAUAUAUAUAUAUAUAUAUAUACUUAAUAAACAUAAGUUCAAUUCAUAUUUAAAUAUAAACUAACUUGAAAUUAUGUAAUUUAAAUUUUAAACACAAGUAAAAAAGUGAGAGUUGAACCGAUAUGACCCGAUCGACUUAUGGGUCCAAAGACAACAACUAGUAAGACUAGAGUUUGACUCAAAAAAGUUUAAGAUGACAUAUUUUCAAAAACAAUAUUGAGAUAACAAUUUAUUGGAUUAACUCGAAUCAACUCAGGUUAACCUUCUAAAUCCAUAAUCCAGGUUAUGAGACCAUAAUAACCCCAAAUAAAGCAAAUAAAAAUGAAUUCUUAAUAAACCUAUUAUUGAAUGGUUAAAUUAAAAAAAAAAUUAUUCUAAAAAAAGAACACAAAAAAUAACCUUUCAAAACAAAAUUAUGAAAAUGUCACUAGCAAUUUUGCAAGGCCUUUCUAAACUCCAAUUGCCCCAUAAUUUUAACCUGAGAUAUAAAAAUAUAUUAGGAGAAUCUUGAUAGAAAGCAAAUAAAAAAUCAUAAAAUCUAAUUUUUAAUCAAUCUAAUGUUGAAUAAUAAUAAAAAAUUAAUUAAAAAAUAAAUCUAAUUCAACCGGAUUAAUCCACUAAACCAAGUUGAAUAACUAAGAUGUUAUGUCAAGAAAUGAUUUUGGAAAAUUUCUUCAUAUGUGUUGAAUAACUAAGAUAAGAUAGGAGUCUUGAUCAAGGCAAGAACUUAGGCUCUCCAAGACGAUUGAUCAGAAUGAGAGAAGGAAGGCUAUCAUUCUCCUACGCACUAACUCUUAGUCUCAGAGAAGAAACAAUUACUUGGUUCUAUAUCCUUAGCACAUCAAACAUGAGGGGAUGAACAAUAUGGUUGAAAAUUAAUUUUUUUUUUAUAAUCAACUUUGGGUUAUUGUGCCUUAAACUUUGUUAUUUGUUUUAUUUUAUUUUUAAGGUUAUUUCUAUUUAAUAUCCCAGGUCAUGAAUAAAUCAAGUUAAUCUGAGUUCAUUCAAUUUUUCUUUAAUUGAUUAUUUUAAUCUUAUUAUUUAUUACAUUAUUGGUGUUUGAGUUUCAUGAAUUUUGUCACUUUUAUCUUAGGGGGUUUUUUCAUCUUUUUGUUAUUGAUUAACUUUGGUCUUGACUCUUGGCAAUGUUUGGAUAAAAACAUGACUGCGAUAAUGAAUUUAUAGACUUGCAGACUAUAAAUUAUUUCAGUUUCUCUAAUCACAGUGGCCAUUAUCCAACCAAUAAUCUUGGCAGUUCAAUAGAGAACAAUAAUAGAGUGAAAAAAGUAGCAUGAUCUGUCAGAUAUGCAAGAGUUCAUUGCAAAAAGAGAAAUUAAUGAAAUCUAGCAAGCAAUGCUCAAGCCAUCUAAAGCAGACAAUGCAAGUUUCUGUAUUUUUUUCUUGCAAAUUUCAAUUCAGACCAAGAUAAUCCGACCCAAUCUGUUUUUUUAACGAACGAUGCUCAAGCCAUCUGAAGUAGAGAAUGUAUGUUUCUUUUUUUCUUUUUAUUUUUUUCAUGUUUAUUCCGGACCAAGAUAAUCAGAUCCAAUCUAUUGUUGUGAAUUACAAAUGAAAAGAAAAAAGACAAUAAAAGCUAUCUAUUGUGCAAGCCACUCAAACUGUUUAUGGAAGUUGGAAAGGCAGGGAAGGCAAAUCUAGUUUCUCAUUGCUUCCUCGUGAACUCCAGGCUAAAAGUAACAGUGGAACUACUGUCCUUUGAACAUAACAUUUAAAGUAGUUGGUGGAAAAUUUUCUUUUGAACAUCAUAAAAAGUAGAAGAAUUGAAAGGGAAACAACAAAUGCUAAGGCAAAUUGAAAGGGAGAAGAAUGAACAAUGGCAUGGAAAGUAACUCUUAAGCGAAAGAUCAAUCAUCAUAUUUAAGACAAAGCCAUAGUAAGACAAUUAAGCAUGCCAAAGUUCUUUUAUAUGUAUCUGUGAGAAAAAGGGUGAUGUUCAUGUAACCUAAGUUGUUGAUUCCAAGUACAUUUGAGAGCUUCAUCUAGAAAAAAAAAAUCAACAUGGAAUGUUAAAAACGAUCGAUCAGUUAAGAAAUGAAAGAGGCAAUGCAUGGAUAAACCAAUGGAAGCUAAAAAGCUAAUGUUGUCCCUAGUAAGCAAUUGUUGCCGCAAUGACAUAUGAGUAGCUAGAGAAAAAAAAAGAAAAAAAGAAAAAGAGACGCUUGAAGGUUAGAGAAGGCAUCUCUGAGUGGAAGGAGGCUGAGCUGCGCUAUUUUUUAAAAGUAAAUAACAAAAAAACUUGUAUUCUUUCGAGAAGUGUUUAUGAGUGUGGUAGUGGUUGCUUUUUAGAAUAUUUUUCGCUUGAAAAUGGAUCAAAAUAAAAUUUUAUUUAAUUUUUAAAAAUUAUUUCUAAUAUUAUUAUAUUAAAAUGAUCUAAAAACAUAAAAAAUAUAUUAAUUUGAAGUAAAAAAAUAAUUUUUUUUUAAUUUUUUUAAUAAUAUUUUAAAAAACAAACAAAUAAAAUAUUAGAAAGUAGACUACAAGUCAAAGUCUUUUUGGAAAAAGACAUGAAUAGAAGGUUAGAGCUACGUAGCUCAUUUUCUGCCCUAAUAAAGAUCAAGGCCUCUUCAGAAAACUAAGUAUGUAGGCAUACACCCAAUCCCAAGCACAGUCAAAUCAUUUUUUUAUAUAUAGGGAUAUAGCUUCACAUAACAGAUAAAAAAAAUUAAAAGAUAAUAAAAUUAAAAAAAUAAUUAUAAUUUUAUAAAUUAUUACAAAUAAAAUAAAUAUUAAUUAAAAAAAUAAAAACCAAAUAUAAUAAAUUAAAAUAAUCAAUUUAAAAAAGAUUUAAAAAGUAAAUAAGAAUAAAGUCAUGUAUUUCACUUUGCUCUCUCUCUCUCCCUCCCUCCCUCCCUCCCUAAGGCGUAGCUGUGCAUCUAGUUAGGAAGAACAUUUUACAACUUAACUCAAGGUCGAGCAUGGUCAGGGUUAUUGUGUUGUCUGUUCCGUGUGUAAUGUGGGGUUCAAUCCAUGUGAAUCACACGAGUACUUGUCAAAUUAGUUAUUUCUUGUUUGUAAGUAUUAUUGUAUUGCAAAGACAAAAAUAAGAUGCAACUUAUGGCGUGGUCGUCCAACCUGGUUCUGGUUUUGAUAAUGUUAAAAAUCUAUUUUGUUGAAUUGUUGAUUUACUUGUGACUUUUCGGGUUAACUAUAUCAAUUUUUUAAACAAAACAAUGCCAUUUUUUUAAUAAAAAAUUGGUUCUGACCUAGAAAUAUAAUAUUAGAACUUAAACCUUAUUGAUUAUCUAAAACUCAAUGGGAAAUUUAAUUUUGAAAUAGAUUUUUAUAAAAUUAAAUAUUAACUAAGUAUCAGGAAGUUUAUUUGAAAUUACAAUAACCUUAUACAAAACAAUCAUAAACAAAUUUAUUAAAUUCAAUGGAGUUCAUAAGUAGGAUUACGAGUUCAACAAGUUAAGCCACAAAGCCUCGAUCGAUCUAAUAUGUUUUUGUUUUAAUACAAAAAAAAUACAUAAAAAAAUUAAGUUAGACCAUAUUUCUACCUAUUAUCUGGGUUGUUUUCAGACUUGUUAAGUCGACUAAAACAUAUUAAAACAACUUCCAUAUAGUUAAAUUUAAAACUUGAGUAAGAAAAAAAAAUUAAAUCAGAAAAUUUUAAUAUUAAUUUGUUGAAUCGGAUUUAAUAAAUGCUAAAAAUCUGAAUAUUUCUUUUUUACUCAAUUUGUUUUUAAUUCAACUCGCAUAAUAACACAGUAUAGUAAAAUAAAUAGAUAUAAAAUAAUUUGAUGGAUCCUCGGGAUAAAAGAUUGUUUUAGGACAUUUUGCUAAUUUCUUUUGUUAUCUAAUCAAUCAAGCUCACAGUGAAUAAGUAUAUAAAUAUAUACAAUUAAAUUAAAUAACAUAUAAGAGAAAAAUAAUCGAAAGGUAAAGCUAAAGUGAUGCGACGUUGAGCCACUAGUCGAUAGUUGUAACGUCAGUUUGUUGGUUCGUCGUUCGUUUCUCGGAUUUAUUGAUCUUUAGGUUGUCUGUUUCUAGAAAAGAAAGAAAAAAAUAUUUAUAUUAUCAAUGCAAUGCAAUGCAAUGCAAUGCAAUGACUAAAUAAUAUUUAAAUAUUAUCAUAGCUUUGUCCUCAUACCUAAGGAAGUAUACUACGUCUUUUUCUCGAUUUGUUUUGAGUUUGAAAUUAUAUCUGUAAACCCAUUAAUUUAUCUAGAAAAAAAAAUUACAGGGUAAUUGGAUAAAUCCUUAAGGUCAUCAUAUUAUAUCAUCGAUAUAAACCAAUUAUUUUUAUUAAAAUAAUAAUAUUUUUUAACUAGUCAAAAUAACCUUCCAUGUAUAAAAAAGAGGCCUUUUCUGCCAAGUGCAGGGGAGAACAUUCUGAAAAGUAAAUGAAUUAAUUAACUCUCUUGGUAUUCUAGUUUUGGCUUGAACGUAUUGACAUCCAUGACAAGAGGUGGAGGUUCCGAUGUUGUACAAGACAAAAAACUGAGUUGAUCACCUUAAACCAGUCCUGUCUUCACGAGGUUGGAUUGAGUUAGCCUAAAAAAAGGGAUCUCAAAAAAGGUGAUGAAGUCACCUUCUCUGUGGUGGACAUGAAGGGAGCUGAAGAUCUGGAAUUGGCAAUUCAAGCUCGGAAAAGAAUCAAGCUAUUCGGCCAAGAUUUUUGGAGUAAUCCUUUGUGAAGAAGAAGAAGAAGAAGCUACUCCUCGCAUAAAAUAUAGGUGUUGAUCGAUGUAGCUUUAUCUUCUAUCUUCUAGUAUCAGUUCUUUCUUUCUUUCUUGCCUUUUCUUUUUUUUUCUCCUGGGAAGGAAGGCUUGGGGGUGUUUGAUGCUAGCUAUCUCUUAAAAUGUCUCUCCUAGAACUUAGAAUCAUGUGAGAAAAAGAGUGAAUCUUCUAACCAAAUAUAUAUAUGUAUAAUAUAUCCUUACAAGAAAUAUUCCAUAUAUACUUUUUCUUAAAUUAUAAAUUAAAAAGAAAUUGGUUAUAACAUGGUUAACGAACACGCGAAAAUAAACAGGUGUAUUUCUUACACAAAUUCUUUUUUUUUUCUUACAAGUUUUUUUACCUGUCAAAAUAUACUCUUAUUUAUUUUUAUUUUUUCCAUUGGUAGCAUAUCAGUCCUUAAGGCGAGGGUAAUACUAUGUUUCCCAUUUGUAAGUGGUGGAGAUAUUGGAGGCCACUCUCCCUGGAAUCAAUUUAUUGCUGUUGAUAUUUCUUCACCGGCGAUCUUGGAAAGCCCAACAUGGAAUUCCAGUUCAUGGAAAAGGCAUGCAGCAAGGACCAUAUGUUCUUUGCAUUUGAAUGUUAGUAAUCUCGAGGUUUACUUGGUCAAUGAGGAUGGAACUACCUUGUCUACUUUGAUGCCAAGGUAUAGAUUUUGUGCACAGAAGAUUGCGUCUGUGAGUAAUAGCUAGAGCUGGUUGCCUAUGUACAAUUAGUGUGCUUUGGCAGGAAGACCCCGUGACUGGUCCUUGGAUAGCUGAGAAAGCCAAGUCUCUGGCAACUUAAGAGGAAUCCAGGAGCAGGAAAAAAAUCGAGGUGAAAGGAUAUGAAUUUGCUAGUGCAACUGCUGCAAAGGAUCUAGGAGACAUAAAUUUGCGAACCAGAGGAGAGUUAAUUUUGAGCUCUGCAUUCUUCUUGCAUGUUCAUCUGUUUUCUGUUGUGGUUGAUCUUAGCAGUUCUCAGUAUAGUAAUUUGCAUUUCCUUCUAGAUCAGAUGAUUAAUGGAUUAUCAGGCAUGGCCUGCGAUGUAGUCGGUGCUCCGGAAUCAACAAAGUUAACUCAUUGUAUUUUCAUAAAUUAAAAGGGAUUUCUCUUCUUUUCUUUGUCAAUUACAGUGCAUGUAUAAAAGUUUUCUUACUCCGAGUACACGCUAUUGUAAUGUGUUGCAACUAAUUCACUUAUAUAUCUUGGAAACAGACAGGCAAUCAACAAAGAGUAAGGCAUCUUCUGAAGAAACAAGGAAAUUUAAUACCCUAAACUAAGGAGCAGGUAGAAGGCAAAAACUGAGCACAAAUUUUUAGGAAGGGACAAACGAAAAAACCAAAAAGAAAGUAGAGAAAAAUACAGACUCAAAUUCACAACACCCAUUUUUUUUCUAUUGGAACACUUGAAAUAGUUUAUUAAAUUUAUAAUGAUGAUUUCUACGCAUAUAAAAAAAUCAACUUAAUAAUCAAUUCUCUAUAAUUUCCGCAUUACUAAAAACAUCCAAACUAAUUUUACUAAACAUUUUAGUUAUGAAUUCACCAAACAUUUUGAACAAUUCUUAUUGAUGAAUUAACAUCUCAAUUUUAGAUUUUUUGACUUAUUAGUUCCUUCAUGAGGUACUUGUAAAGCAUGCUAUAUAUAUCUCUAAGCAUUUUUAUAUAAUAUAAUUCUAUCAAAUUAACUUUUAUAGGAUGUAUACUAUAAAAUAUUCAUGCUUUAAAAUCUAUAAAAAUUAACUUUUUAUCAUUUUUGUAUAUUAACUUUUAGUUUUAGAAAUCUCAAUAUUAUUUUCAAUUUUGAUAAAUCUAGCAGAUCUAUUUUGUAUAGAUAGCCACAAAUUAAAAUCAAUAAAUUGACAAUAAAUUAUUAUAAAACAAUUUAUUGCUUGCUCUUUGGUGAUAGCAAUGUGAUUGUAAUACUAUUUUUCAAGUUUACUUAAUCUUUUAUUCUUGAUGGCAUAAUCAAGAAUAAAUAGUAAACCAAAAUUUAUAUGUUACUCUAUGUAAAUAAUUUUACUGCAGAAAUGUAGAAGAGAAGAAUUUUAAAAAAAUUGAAAGUUUUUUUUUUUUUUAUUAAAACCAUGUUAGAAUUACCUUUUUUAUAGGCAAUUCUAACAUUUAAUUUUAACAUAACCUUUAAGAUAAAAGAUUACAACUUUCUAGCUGAAAAGUACACGAUUUUAUUUCAAAUAGAAGAUGUAGGAAAACGAUCUCCCUUCUGCUGUCUGGAGCUGGGCUUCCUCUCCCUGUAAGAACAAGCAACAUCUUAUCUGCGUUGUUGUUAGUGGCCACUUCAUCGACCCAUUAGUGGGUGGAUUUUAAGAAUAAAAAGGUUUCUUUUUAGCGCAUCAUCACGUGAAAAGCAAGGAGCUUGCCACCCAUUAUAGAGUGUGGGGCACUCUUGCAUCUAAGAAUAUAUGAUCCUGAGGUUCUUCUGGUGAUGGGUAUUGGCCAUUACAUAAAGCUUCGACAAGCCCUUUUAGCUGCCUGUUAUUAGAAUUUGUAUAAUGAGCAUUCAAACUUAAACUUCUUUAAAUGGGAUGAAAACGAGUGAAAAUCAAGAAGUUGGAGGUGUUCAUCUCUAAUGCAUAGCUAAAGAUCCUUUGUAAGAAAAUACAGCUAAAGACAAAGUGUGUGUGUGUGUGACAGAGAAAUUGUCGAUAAUAGCAAUCAUUUUCUUUGUCUCGUGUCAUAUCUUCCAAAAAUCUUAAAGUAAUUGAUGAAAAAUUGGAUAUACCACUUUGUCUUCUUUAUAGCACUACUGGCCAAUAUGAGUUAAAGCAUUAAAAGGUCGUGAAAGUGGAUGCUUGACGAGCGAGUGUUUACUUGUUAAUUUUUUUAGAAGGAAUCUGGAAAAGAAUAAAGUCAUCUAUUUCACUUUGGGACAACAUUCCUCACCUCUCCCCGCCAGAGCUCCCUCCCUCCCUCCCUCCCUCUUCCGCCUCUCGGAAACCGCCGCAUCCAAUAAGGCUUCAGAUUUCUGCCAGGUGCUUCCUUUUCUAUCAUGCUUUUGUUUUUAAAAUUUAUGGGUGUUUUCAUUUAUUUUAUUGUAAUUAUUAUUCAGAGACAGAAAUUCUAUUUUAAUAAUUAAAUUAGAAAAAACAAAUAAUCGAUCCGAUGAAAUCUCUGCUAGUGAACGCAAUUCGAUUUUAAUAAGUAAAUUAAAAAAAUAUAUAAACGGAUCUGAUGAAAUCGCUGCUCGUGAACGCAAUUCAAAGAAACGCAGAGUUAGCCGAUUCUAAUAUUUUAUUUUUCAAUUUCCCCCUUAAUUUACAUGAUAUUAUCCGAUUUUUCUCACAGUUUUUGUUGUAAUAAUCAAGCCCUGAACUCUUGAACCCAAAUUUAUUUUAUUUUAUUUUUUAGUUUUAUUUUAAAGUUGAGAAUAGAAAUCAAUUCAAAUCUUUUAGGCUCGAUCGAUAAUUUGUUAAUUAGUUUAUGCAGCAGCUGGAGUGGAAGAGAUAUUACUGCCGGAAUGGCCGAAAAAUGAGCUGUUUGGUUGAUUCUUCUUUUUUGGAAUUUACCGAAUUCUUCAAAAUUAUUGUGUUUUUAACAACAAAUCGAUUUCGUUGGGUUUUAUGCUCGCUCACACAUGGAAAAAAGAAAGAAAGAAAAGAACUUUAAAUUUUAUAAUUUGGUCAUGUUAACGCGAAAAAAAUAAAAAUAACAGGUCUGCCUUGAUAACCCUACAUGAUAUAUCUUUCUUUUUAGGACUGCUCAGCUGGUCUUGAGUAUGAGGUGAAAGCUUGAGAGCAUGUGGAAGUGUAAAACAAAUGACUUAGUUCACUUCACCCCAAAGGCGUAGCUGUGCAUCUAGACAAUCUCUUUGGGAUGGGUUAUUGUUUGUGGCCUCUUCAUGUUCUAUUUGCUGGGAUAUUUAGACUGCUGAUAGUCAUCGGGGAUUGAAAAGCCUUGUUUUAUGACUCUGUUUUGUUUUCUUCUUCUUUCUUUAUUCUUUUGGGGAUGUGGUAUUCUCCUCGUUCUAUUUACACUAUUUGCUCCCUACAACAUUUAUUCUUUCAGAAAAGUUAAUAAUUGCAUAAAUAACAAGAACAGGAGGGGAGGGGAUUUGACUGUAUGUAUUUGCUUGCGAGUAAAAAUUGGUAAGCACCUGAAAAAGGUCCUGUGCUGAAUCUAAAUUGGUAAGAUGUGAUAUACUGAUAUCUAGAGAGAUAACUUAAUUUACCUAUUGAAGUAAAGCAUUUAAAUGCGUAUACAAUGUUUUUGGAACAUUAAAUAUCUAUUUGAUCAGCAUCUGUGAACCUAAAACCACAAUGAAUAGAAAUGCAAACUUGCAACAGCAGCAGCAGAAUAACCUUCAAAAUCUGCAGCAGCAGCAGCAGUUAAUGGCUCAACAAAAUAACCUCUCAAGCAUGCAUCAGCAACAGUUGGGCCCUCAAAGUAAUGUCACUGGUUUACAGCAACAGCCUCAGCCUGGUAACUCAAGCAUGCAAUCUAAUCAGAACUCUCUACACAUGCUGCAACAGCCCAAUGUUACGCUGCAGCAGCAAGCACAACAAAGUGGAAAUGCUUUGUUGCCGAAUCAAGGGCAGCAGUCACACUCACAGCUGCCACAGCAGCAAUUGAUGGCACAGAUUCAAUCACAGCCUGGACAGCUGCAACAGCAAUCAAAUCCAUUACAACGUGAUAUGCAGCAAAGGCUUCAAGCAUCAGGCUCCUUGCUUCAACAGCCGAAUGUGAUUGAUCGGCAAAAGCAGUUAUAUCAACCUCAAAGAGCCCUUCCAGAAACGUCCUCAAGUAAGUUUUUCUCAUCCUUGCAGCUCUCUAGCCUUGUUCCAACUUUAAUUUUGCAGCUUUGUGCUUUCAUGUUAGAUUAUAACAUAUUUAUUUAAAUUUCUUGAAAAUACAAUAAUGGUUCAAGUCAGUAAUGCUCUUUUGGUAGCUUUAUGAGCUAUGGCUGCCACUUAUGGCAUCAGAAAUGCCACUGCUAUUGGAGCCAUUGCAAACACAUACAUUUGUUACGACAUAAUGCCAUCCAGUGCAUUGCACCAACUAUUCACCUCUCAUAAUGGUUCAAGUCAGCAAUGCUCUUUUGGUAGCUUUAUGUGCUACUGAUGCCACUGCUAUUGAAACCAUUGCAUUCACACUCGUUUUUUACCACAUCAUGCCCUCCAGCUCAUCGCAUCAAUUGUUCACCUCUCAUUUUGAAUUUAUCGGACAUGAAUUUUAAAAAUAUAUGUAUAACUGGACAAUGCAUUUGACACUAUGGUAACUAAUCAUCAGCCAAUUGAUUUUUAUGGGAAGAAAGAAAUUAGCAAGUGGACUAACUCUGAGGCACUUAAGGUUUGGUGUGCUGAUAAAUCAUCACCUUGCUGGAAAAUCUCAUGAUCACCUCCUCGAUGCUAAUUCUGUAAGGCAUGUGAAGUGUUACAUCCUUAACUUGCUAAGGAACAAGGACUGUGAUGCAUGGCUAUCUAUAUUUUAUGAUUGAGAUGGUUUAUUUUAAAGAUUUUCCUGGUUAGGAGGUAAAGUGUCACUUUUGUGCUUUUCUUCCAUGAUAAAUUGUUUGAG
rnacentral:lncRNA from 1 species